rnacentral:lncRNA from 1 species
UCAAAAAAUGUGCCAUUGCUUCAUGAUAAGACUAUCUUUCAAGAUUAAGCUGAGAAUUAUCCGUGCAUGUCAUGUCACUAGAAUUAGCAUGAAAAUAACUAUAAAAGGAAAAAAUGACCUAAACAAAACUGAUUAGAACUAACAGAAAAUAGGAGAUUGCAAUAGACAGAUGAUGAAAAGGGUUUGAACAAGACAAACAAAAUAAACAUGUGUUACAACCCUGGAACAACCCGAAAUAACGAUAUACAAGUUACUACAAACUAAAUGAACUAGACAAAACUAGAAGAAGAAGAAUAGUUUGAGCCACGAGACAAUAUCCAAAUUACAAUCCUGAAAUAAACCGAACAAACAAGAAAUGACAACAAAAUAAACUACCAAAACUCCUUGAUGGCUAGCCGAGAAAGGAGUGUCUUUUCAAUCGCUAAGCUCGAUGUCUUAGCCACUGGAUUGCACAUCAAAAUAGCUAGGACUUUCACCAAUUCCAAUUUCAUUAACUUCACUCAGCAAGUUCCUAAAAGGACUCUUAUACUCCUUGUCACCACGCAUCUCACCCACAAAGUGUGCAUAAUCAUGUGCAGGUAAAGAAAUUUGUGCGAUAUUCUGGGUGUCACUGUCCUAGACCACAAUUAUCCCUUCUUGAAUCAUUUUUUCUAUCUCCCUUUUCAAUGAAUGGAAAUAUUCAAUGCUAUGCCCUUGGACAUUAGAGUGAUACAUGCAAAGCAUAGUAGGAUCAAAUCCUUUUGCAUAUGGGUCUGGGGUAUAGCCGAGAAGCGGCUCAAUCAGUCUAGAUUGUUUCAACUUUUCAAACAAACUUGUGUAGGAUUCUCCGAUUGGUGUGAAACAAUUUCUUUGCCUUUGUUCCCCUCUAUGCCCCUGUUUCCUAGGGUUUUUGGGUGCUCGAAUAUGCUGUGAAGGAGAAAGAGUAUUGUGCGGUCCUGGUGCUCGCCAUAAGGAGUGACCCAUUGGUUGAACAAAUUACUGGGCAUUGUUUGGAGGAUAAUGUUGAGAUGGAAUAUGUGGAGCCCGAGGAUAGGUUUGGAGUUGGGUGAGAAAGUGUAUUAUGCGGUGUUGGUGCUCGCCAUAAGAGUGACCCAUUGGUUGAACAAAUGACUGGGCAUUGUUCGAGGGAUAAUGCUGAAAUAGAUUAUGUGGAGCCCGAUGAUAGGUUUGGAUUUGGGGUUGGGGUCGAGGCUGAGUAUAUUGGUGAGGUGGACUCGUUAGGCCAUGUCUCGAUCCUGAGACAACCAUGGCAACAUCAUCAUGUUUCUUCUGACCCGGAAAGCUUCUUGUGUCGUUCUGAAUCGCCAGUGUUGUGGCUUUCAAGGCAGAAUAGCUCAUGAUCUUACUCGACUUGUUCCCCUCUUCCACCAUUUCUCCCAUCUUCAAGACAUCAUUGGAAGACUUACCAAUGGCUGAGAUCAAGUGGGUAUAGUAAGUGGGCUCCAGGGCUUGAAGAAAGUAUUUAACCAUAUCGCCUUCCUCCAUCAGAUGAUUGACUCGUGCAGCUUGCUCCCUCCAUCAGAACCCAUAUUAUCUAAAGCUUUCACCGGUCUUCUUUUCUACCUUGGUCAGAGACAGAUGAUACGGGACAAUUUCUAUGUUGAACUGAAAGUGCCGGGCGAAGGCGUGAGCCAUAUCGUCCCAUGCGUACCAUCCGCUGGUGUCCUGGCGAGUAUAUCGUUCUAGAGCUGCCCCACUUAGACUCUGGCUGAAGUACACCAUCAGUAAUUCAUCUUUUCCCCUAGAGCCUCUCAUCUUACUGCAAUAGCCUCUCAGAUGGGCUAUAGGAUCCCCAUGUCCAUCAUAUAAAUAAAACUUGGGCAUCAUCUUGAACCUAACAGGCAAUUAGACAUCAGGGAACAUACAUAGAUCCUUGAAGGCAAUACUCUUCUAAUCUGCCGUACCUAGCAUAUUUUUCAACUGUCGUUGUAAGCUUUUCAGUCUACUGGUCAUUUCUUCAGAUGCAACCUUUGGCCCAGGCUUCUCAAUAUUUGCAGGAAGAUCAAAUAGGUAAGGUGGUACUCAGGAGAGUGAUAUUGUUCUUGCUGGGAAUCAAAUUGUUACUCAUAAGUUUUUCUCUGCACCACCGUCGGCCGUGGGAUGGUAAGGACAUGCAUAACUGUAGUGGUUGUCUGACUUGUUGUCAAUGGCAUACUUUGGGAGUGCGCAAUUCGUAUAAGGACUGAACCUGAAUGGAUGGAAUUGAUCGGACAAUGAAAUCGGAGUGGUAGAAGCAGAGAUAUGUGUGAACUCCGGGAAAGCAUAAGAAAGGGGUGGUCCUUGACUAUUGGCCCAUGCUUGACACAUUUCAGACAUUUGUUAUUUCAACCUUUGGACCUCCUCGUUCAAUUCAGAUUUCGACUCCACAAUCUUCCUCGAGGGGUCGACAACUCUCUUAUCCAAGUUUUUGCUAGCCAUGACUUCCUUACUUCUUGACCUUGUGUUGCACAGAUGAAUCGCCAAAGUGCCACAAACUAACCGCCCUUUGUUAUGAAAACAAAGAAAGUAACAAAGAGGAACAAAACAAAGCCAACAUGUUAGGGUUAGAGCAUUUAUCAGAUAGAAAUAUCACAUUGCGUGCAAUGGCCCCUAUCAACAAUUAACGGUUCUAGAAUGACUUCGAGGGUAUGAAGGUCAUAUGGCAUCAUCCCAAUUUUACCUUUUUGGCCAUUUUCCUUCUUCAUUUUCCUUUUAAAAACCGCUUGAUUUUUCAUUUCUUCCCCCCCCCCUUUUAUUUUGAUUAACAUUCUUUUCUUUCCUCUCAUUUCUCAUGUCCAAAAUUUCCAUAUCAUUUUUCUUCUUUUCUCUUUUUUUGUAUUUAUUUUUAUUAUUUAUUUUUUGAAAAAAUAAUUCGAUCGAACCCUAUAUAGGUUGCCUACGUAUCUGUCCCUCAUGAAUCAGAUCAAGCGUUGUUCUUGAAAAAUAAUGGACAAAUAAACUAAAAAUAAAAAUCUUUUUGGAUUUUUUAUUCAUAAUAAUAUUAUUUUUUUUGUUUUUCAAAUACAAAAUUGGAAGUAAUAUAACAAAAGACUCGAUAUUAUUGUACAAGACUAGAAAGUAAAAGACAACAUCAAUGACAGACUCAAACACAAAAAUAUCUAUAAGCAACUCCUCAAUGCAUUGGCCCUAGGUUGUCAUGUUCAAACUCUAGCAAAUUGCUCCAUACCUGAAUGGGAAAAAUAAGAUCAAAAAGCUUUAGCAACUCAAGACACAUGUGACGCCAUGACACCUUCUAUUGGAAACAUGCAAGGCAUGAUUAGGGUUUUUUUUUGUAAAAUGACCUACGUAACCAAAAUGUGGCUAUUAGCGCAAACUCAACGAAGAUAACCCCAAAGAUAUGGACAAACCCCCUCAGUCUUAUAUGGAUUCAAACUCCCAAUAAUUAAGAACCUAGGAAUUACUUUGCAAAAGUGACUCAUUUUGCAAAAAUAGCCGAUAUGGCCAGAAGUGGCUAAAGAUGCAAACUCAUAAGGAAAGACCUUAAAACAAUACGACACCUAGUUGUAGACUAAAAGUCUUAAGACAUGGAUUAUUGAACUACUUUUACCAAAAUGAUCAUAUUUUGCAAAAAAUGGCCAUGUGGCCAAAAAUGGCUAGACAUGCAAGAUUUGGCUGACCCCGCAAAGCCAAGAACCUAAGACGCUAGAAAUAUCGGACCCUAUAUGGGUUGCCUACGUAUCACGUCUCGAAAAGCAAGAAUCAUGUUCGUGUAGUUCGGAAAGAUUAAAUAUAGGAGGAUUCAAAAAAUGCAUCUAAUUUGAAAAACUAUUUUUGUCUUUUUGGAAACUAAAUGAUGGAAAAUACAACAUCUCUUUGGUUUUAUUUCUCUCUUUUUUUUUUUGAAAUUUUGGAAAAUUAUUGGGAAAAUGAAAAACCUUUUUUUUUUGGAUUUUUUGGAAAAUAAUGGGAAAACGUAAAAAUCUUUUUUGGAAUUUUUUUUCAUUUUUGUUGACCUUUUUGGAAGAUAAAGGAAAAGCGUAAAAUAUUCUUGGAUUUUCUACUUUUAAUUUCUUUUUUAAUUUUUGAAAGACUAUAAAAGAAAAAUGCGGUGGGCCCUGCUUGCUUUAUUUUUCACCAUUCUUUCCAAAUAUCAGUCUACCAAAUGACCUUUUUACCCUCAAAUAUACAACAUGUAUCACACCGGGAUGAUUGAAUGUCUUUUUGGACCACGGGCCCAUUUUGAAAAAAAUUAGACGGGCUCCGUACAAAGGAACGCGGUACCUGAGACCGAGCCCUACUAGGUGUAAAUGACAUGAUGCAAAUAAAAAUGAUCUAAAGGCUGACCUAAGUUUGGGGUUCACUAACAAGGCAAUUCGGGGGAGCGUGUGGUCGAUGGUGGCUGCUCAGGCUUUCAACCCACUCCAUAUGUCCGACGCCCCCCCUUCCUAAAUUAAAGGUGACUCAAUAAAGAGUUCGUGCACGCGACACGUGCUCCGAGACUUGUUCCAGAAAGAAGACCCAUGCUUAUGCAAAUGAUUGCAAUUUAUAAAGCAGUAACACUUAAAGGAAAAACAUGUAAACAAGUAAGCAACUAGCAAAUAAUAAAAGACGUAAAAAAAUAUAAAUCAAAUAAAGCAAACAAAAUACAUAUAAACCUCAACCGAACAUCCUAAAAGACAACAAGAUCACACACUAGCUCGAACCAGCAACUCUCCAGCAGAGUCGCCAGAGAUGUCACACCCCUUUUUAAAACCAAACUCUACUAAGCCCUCUUAAUAAAUAAAAAAAAGGAUUUAGUAAAAGCUUUAAAAGGGUUUUCAAUUUUGAAAGUGACAAAAAUUGUGUUUCAAAAGGAAAUAAACUCAGAGUCGCCACCUGACAUUGAUUUCGGUGUGCCAGGUCACCAUUUUUUUAUAAGAUAAUUUUUCCGUUCAAAUACUUGAGACUCCAAAACUAAGUCUACACCAUAAAUUCAGGUAAUGAGGUUCAUUUGACUCGCGGAGAAGGUGUUAGGCACUCACCAAGUCCGUGAAGAUCAGGGUUGCAUACUCAAUCUAGUUGGCUUUUAAAACAUUCAAAUUGAGGUAAAAUCACAAAAAAAAAAAAGUAAACACACAUAAGGCUCGAGGUCACCCCCCACUUAAAUAAAGAAAAAUAAAGCAAAAUGAAUAAGUCUUGCUAGCCUAUACUACGCCUCCAUUGAUGUUUCCACGACCUCCAAAUACAAAUACCUCGGGGCAUUCACCGGAUAAAAUAUACACAAGUCUUCAGGGCAUUCACCGGAUAUAUUCAACUAAUGGAAUGACCUCUCGCCUCUAAACUAACAAAAUUCUAAAACUUGCUUACCCAAGUAUUGACGGCCUAAGCAUGUUCCUAGCGAACAAAGAAAAUGAUAAAGGCAAAAUUUAAGUUCAAAUAUCAUUUCAUUUUAAUAUACAAUUCCGUCGUCCCAACAAACAGUUACAUGUCCAACGUGUAAUGUGACGAUGCAAAGGUUUGCCAAGGGACAACAAGCUUCACAAUUGCAAUCAAGUACCUCAAGCUAGCUUUCUUUGAAUAAUUACAAUUAAAAGAAAACACGAACAAAUAUGAUACUGGCCUGCCGAACCUCAAACAUAUAAUAGCUAUCUAAAACUAAUUCUAAAAGGAAGUCCAGAAGGCGAAUCUGUUGCUAACUUACCAGAAGAAGAAAAUUCUGUUCUAUUCAAACAUUUCCAUUAGACAUGACUAAACUAAUUUUUUUUAAUUUUAGGACCAAUCGGCAAUAAUAAACUUACUAAAAAAAAAUUCCAAACUUACACGACUGGAAACCAAUGUAAAAUCAGUAGUUUGUUCUUCCACACAUGUUUAUAUUUGCAUAAAGUUUUCUUAUACGUGAAUAUUAAAAAUUAAAGAAAUCAAAGACUACCCAAAUCAAUAUGAAGCAGAGAAAGCAAAUUUUCCACAUAACAACAGCUAAUGGUAGGAUAGCAAAUAAAUACAACACAUUCACAUGAGAAAAUAUAAAGAAGAAAAGUUUAGACCGGACCUCUAUAAUGAAUAUGAUACUGACUGUUUUAAAACUUGACGACGCAUACGACCUCGACCGAACCUCGACGGGGGAAAGACUGACCGAACAAAUGGGUUCAACUGUUUUCAGUUUCUUUUUUUGUUCGUUCACUACCUUUGCUUCUCUAUUGCUUCAGUGUGUGUGUGUGUGUUUGAGUUCGAGAGGAAGAAGCCUUGAUGACUGAUGAAGGAAAAUAACGAUGGGGUCUUUGGGUGUUGAACGACUUAUUGUUGGUUUGGUUUCCAUCGGGUUUUCGGCGUGUUCGACGGGGUGUUGCAGAAGUAGAAACGAAUGGAGAUGGUUGUGGAUGUAAGGUGUUGGUUGGCAGCGGCGCUGUGAUUCAUGUGGUUAUAUAUGUUGCUAUGGUGAAAGAGACGAAGGGUGUGAAGCGUGGUCGACGUGGCUGGAGUGAGAACAACAACGCUUUUUAUUUUGUAGUCUAGGUUUUCUCCAUUGUUGUUAAGGUUCAAGGUCUAGGAAGAAGGGUUAGCUUAUGUUCUAGGGUUGUGUAUUAGGUUAUGUUAUGUUAAAGAAAAAGGUGGGUUAUGAAGAAAGGGUAAUGGGUUGGGUCUCCUUGGGCCUUCAAAUUGCGCUAAGAGAAAUAAAAUUUUCACCUCUAAGUUAAAUCCCUCUUAAUAUAAGACAAAUAUAGUACGUAAUACAAAAAAUGAUCUAACUAAUUAGAUUAAAUCAUAUAUAAAAUAUGAAACUAUUUAUAUAUUUUUUAAAUGUUAUAUUAAAAUAAAAGAGGUUCAAACUAAUGUAUCCAUCUAAAAAUUAUCCAAUACUCGAAUUAAGUACAGAAAUACAGAACUAUUUUUGUUCUUAAUGUAAUGUAAAAGAGCCGAAAUUAGUUGAAGUAACUAUAUUAAACCUAAAUUAAAUAUUUUACGCUAAAAUGGAUGAAAAAAUGAAAAUAAACACACAAAAGGAUCGAGGUCGUCCCCACCUAAAUGAAAUAAAAAGAAAAACAAAAAUAAAAUAAAAAUACUAAGAGUUCUACUUUUCGUGUCCAAUUACAAAUACUUCGGGGCAUACCCCAGAUAAUAAUAUAUACAAACUUCACAGGGCAUUACCCAGAUAAAUUUAACUAAGAGACAACCUCUCACCUUCAAACUAACAAAAUCCUAAGGUUUGCCUACCCGAGUGUUGCCGGCCUAAACAUAUUACUAGCGAUUCAAUGAGUAUCUAGUAAAAAAUUUCGGAGAGGGUAAAAAAUCACGUGUCUACACUAACUACCUCUCCCCAAUACUUCUUAGACCUAUCCCCUACCAUUAGUCAGACCAGCAAUGGACAACCUCUCACGCCUCCUGACUAAAGUAUCUGCGUCUCUCCUCUUCACAUGCCCGAAUCAUCUCAACCUGGACUCCUGCAACUUGUCCUCCAUAAUUUCCACUCCAACCUUUUCCCUAAUAACUUCAAUCCUGAUCUUGUCCUUCCUGGUAAGACCACACAUCCAUCUCAACAUCCGCAUCUCAUCUACUGUUAUCUUUAGGACAUGAGACUUCUUGACGGGCCAACACUCAACCACAUACAACAUAGCCAGCCUAACUACCACUCUGUAGAACUUGCGUUUAAGUCCACGUGGCACACUCUUAUCACACAAAACCCCUUAGCCGAACCUCCACCUCAUCCGCCCUGCUUCAACACUAUGGGUAACAUCCUCGUCAAUCUCCCUGUUGCUUUAAAUAAUCGACCCAAGAUACUUGAAGCUAUCGCUUUUGGGGAUGACUUUAGUACCAAUCUUCACUUCCCCUCUUCUUCGUGCAUCCCAUCACUGAACUUGCAUUCAAAUACUCAAUUUUAGACCUACUCAACUUAAAACCGCUAGACUCCAGCGUGUCUCUCCAAAAUUUCAAUCAAGCGUUAACUCCAUCACGCAUCUCAUCAAUCAGGACUAUAUCGUGAGCAAAUAUCAUAGACCACGACACUUCCCCUUGUAUAUGUCGCGUCAGCACCUCUAACGCUAAGGCAAACAAAAACGGGCUAUGAGCAGAUCCCUCAUGCAACCCCAUCUCCACUGAAAAAUGAUUCGAGUCUUCUCCCGCAAUCCUUACCUGAUUCUUCGCUCCCUCGUAAAGUUUAGUGACUUAUUGUUAUAAUAGAAAAUUUAUAUACUUUUAAUGUGACAAUAAAUAUUAUUGUAUCUUAUUGAAUAGUAAAUAAAGUUUAAUAACCAUAAAAAUUAACUCCUCUUUUACUUUUACUAUUUUCAGCAACUUAGCUUGAGCUUUUACAAUCUUAGAACCUGGGAGACUCUUAUAUCUUUCUAUUGAAGAACGGUAAAUACUUUUUGUCAUUAUUUUAAACAUAAAGGAACAAAUAAAGUGACACUCAACGUUGAAAAACUUUCAAACGCUAAAAUAAACUAUCCCUGAAAUGUUUUCUAUAUAUGUUCAGGUCAAUCACCAAUUCCUAGAGUCUAAUUAUAAUUAUAAAGUACUUUAAGAUAUAAAAUUAAUCUAGUCUGCCAAAAAAGUGAAACAAUUAUAAAAAAAGAUUUUAGAUCUUGAAGUAACGUUUUAUUAUACUUCGUACAUAGUCUAUCUCUCUGUAUUUAUACGUGAGUAACUUUAUGGUUUUUAUUCAUUAAAAUUGUAUGUAUACCUAAAUGUACCUUUUCCUUAAAAAAUAGUAGCUGAUAAUUUCGUCUAAUUUUUUUUAUAAUGAUAGAAGGAUCUAAGGUUCACAUGUAGGGAAUAUAAAGAACCUUUUGGGGUGGGAAAGGUCGUGGGAUGGGUCAUAUAGGCAGAAGUAAGAUUUAAAGUUUAUGAGUUCGGAAUUAUAAAUUUGUUAAAUUAUUAAGUUUUUAAAUUAAUAAUUAUGUAUAUUUAAUAAAUAUUUUAAGAUAAAAAUAAAUUUAAUUUGGCCGUACCCGUAACCUAAAAUUUAGAAAGAAAAUGGAUAGCACAAAAAGGGAAAUGCCCACUAACAAAAAGAGCUUUUUAAUGUUAAAGAAGAGUAUUUAGUUAGAGGGGAAAGUAGACAUGAUCUGUCAUUAACAAAAUGGGUAAGGGGGAAUAGGAAUGAAGUGAUGAACUCCAUGAAACUAUUCCAUUAGUGGACACUUCCUUUUUGUUAAUUAACUUAAUCAAAAGUUAAUAAAGACAAAUCUAUUAAUCUCAAAACCCCUAAUUGUGCGCUACUGUAUAUAUAUGAUGCUCUUUAUUAAGGUCCAGUCAUGUGGGAUUUCACUAAGCCUAUUUUUAUUCCUUUUAACUCCCUAAACCGAUUCUCCGUAUGCUUUAUGACAACUAAUACCACUUAUUUAUUCUCACUUAUAUGCCACUGUAGUCUGUAGUUACUGACUCACCACUCAGGGAGGAGCCAAUCCAUUAUAUGACUCUUUUCUUUUUCUCCUCGGAAUUAAUUUUAUCUUCUAAGUUCUUUUCUUUGAAAAUAACAAGUGAAUACUUAAGCCGACAAUCUUCCCACGAUGUAGAAUGACUCCGUGCAUAUGUUUUAAACUAGGAAAGUGUAAAAGGUGCUUUACAUAUAUCAUAUAAGAAGAAAUAUUAGUCUCAUGACAUGGAAUCUGCGCCCACUGAAAUAUGGUUCGCGAAAUAAUUUUCUAGCCACUUAAAUUUGUAUGUUUUUUAAAAGUCAAUACACGAAUUUUAAAUUUUUCUAUUGAAAUAUUUUUACUUGAAAAAAUAUUUACUAAUAAACACUUUUGAUCGUUGGCUAUAUUUAGAUGGAAAUAUUAUAGCUAAUGUGGCCAUUUGCAUAUUAAUCACCAGUAUUAAACGCAUGAAUAUGAUAAAUAAUUAAAAAAAGAUAAAUAAUUAAUUAUAAAAAAUAAAAAAAUUCAUUUUGUUCGGCUAUUCUUCAAUUUUUAACCAUUCAAUCUUGCAAUUCCAAGCGGUAGAGAUUGUUCUCCACACCAAGAACUACCUCUUCACAAAAAAAUAGGAGAUUUCGCUAUAGGAAUCGCCACUUCUGAUGACCUGCAACUCUCUCACGGACUCUAGUUGGUCGAAGAUGGCAUUCCAGUGGUCCAAAUCGCCCAAGAGCAAUACCAAUCGAUUUCUGCUGCUGAGGAGGUCAUGCCAAUUGGUCACUACAACAAAGUAAUUGUCACAACUUUAAAGAAAACCAAUUCUACACAACAGUGAACGAAAAUUUCUCCGGCAAUCUACCAAGCUAAAAAAAUAAAAAAAUUGGAGAGAGAGGAGAGGACAAAGAAGAACAUAGUAAGGGAAUGCUGACAUGAAAGUAGACGAAUGAGUUGCAUGGGGGAAGGGGGAUGAUGGGAAGGAACAUAGUAAGAGGAAGCUAGAAGGGUUUAAGUUUUUUCUUUCUUAUUAUAUUUAUUUUUAUUUUUAAAAUAUAAUAUAGGUGAUACUUUUAUUUAAAAAUUACAUAUGUCAUUAGUUUGGUAUGGUCUUACUUUUGGUUUGGUCAUUUGCUGACUGGAUGGAGAUAUUUAUGUAUGUGUAAUACACACGCAUAGGCUUAAGAGUCAGAUAUGUUUAUUCGUUAUGGGAAUUAUUAGUUUGAGUGUUCAAAUAAAAAAAUUCAAAGUUCAUAUAUCACCUUUCAAAAGUCUUACAAAUUUAAAUGGUCAGGAAGCAAUUUCUCCAAUAUUCUUUAUUAUUAGUUCGCUGAAUACAUGUGUGCCCCUUAGAUUUUUGUGAAUUUAUAAUUUAGAUAUCUAAACAAGGAUUUAUACAUAUUGAACGAUUGAACUCAAAUUAAAUAAUAUCUAUUAGACACAACCUGUUGAAUAGUUCACAAACCAAAAUGCGUGUAGUUCACAUGCCGAUGAAAUUGAUGAUGGAUUAUAAUAAGCAGUGGAAGCAAUUUUAGUAUCAAAAUAUAUGUAAUUUAGAUAACUAGCAUAAACGAGAUUUCACGGUUUAUCUCUUGAAGCGUGAACAUAUUUUUUCUACCACGUGAGCCUUCAGUUCCAUAACUUCUCAAUGGAAUCUCCAUCACCCGCACAAUCGUGAUCCUCGAACGUCCAACGGUAAUACCGGGAAUAGCAAUUUCGUGUGGCCGAAAUUUUUAGGAAAACUUGGCUGAAAAUUUCAGCCACCAUCUAUUUUUCUUCUAGGUGGAAAACCUUAUGUAUUUAUAGCACAAGUUUUAAGGGUUAAGACCCUUUUCCGAAACCUGUUGAAUUUUCUUUUCCACCAGAAAAAGGAUUCAUUUAUUUCCUAUUAUUUAGGCACAGUAGGGACCACAUAAUUUAAUUAACAAGACUUCCAAUUAUGAAAUUAAUUUAUAAUUUUUGAAAUUAAUAUCUACCAUAAUUAAUUACGAAUAGGACCACAUAAUUUAAUUAACUAAGGCUCAAAUUAUGGAAUUAGUUUCUAAUUUUUGUAAUUAAUAUCUACUAUAAUUAAGUACGAAUUAUUCCACUAAAAAUUCAUAAUUACACUCCUUAUUCAAUUUCGAAAUUCAUCCAUUAAAUCUUAUUUAACUCCCAUGUUAAGAUUCAGAUACGAAUCAAUCAAAUUAAAGUACUGACUAUUUAAUUUAUUGAUUAUUUCCUUUAGACUUUCGAUAACUUAUUUCAUGUGUCGGAUACAAACUUCACCGGCCGGGGUUACACAUGUUAACUUAUAACAUAUAGGUGUUUCAUCAAUAUCUAAACCGAGACAUGGAUUCCAUCAGCUAACAAUUACUUCGCCAAUGUACGUUAUUAUUAUCCAAUUUACCAGGCAUAUUGACCCACGAAAGAAUCUUGCCUUUUAAUAAAUCAAAACAAUAAUACUAUUCACACCUAAUAAUAAUUAUAUCAAGAUUAAGAGUAUAAGUACAUUUAAUGGCUAGAGAGACUAUUUUAUUAAGUCAGUAUAAAAUACUUAUAUCUACCUGGUCUCACACCUAAUAAUAAUUAUAUCAAGAUUAAGAGUAUAAGUACAUUUAAUGGCUAGAGAGACUAUUUUAUUAAGUCAGUAUAAAAUACUUAUAUCUACCUGGUCCGUUCAAUACAUAUAAAAUGUACUAGCAUAAGAAGCUGGAAUUAAACCAUUCCCAUAAUCAAGAUAAAUUAUAUUUAAUCUCGUGCUACAAUCAUUCCUGAUGGUUUGUCCAAUUCCAUCAUUAGAUUGUGAACUCAAACUUUAUACUUAUAAGAACCGAUGAUUUAAUCUUCCGUGUUCCCAUAAUCAAGAUAAAUUAUAUUUAAUCUUGUGCUACAAUCAUUCCUGAUGGUUUGUCCAAUUCCAUCAUUAGAUUGUGAACUAAAACUUUAUAUUUAUAAGAAUCGUUAAUUUAAUCUUCCUUGAAUAAGCUAAACUCUAUACACUAAAUCAUCUACUAUAAAAGCAAAGAACACAGACUAUUAUAUGAUCUAUUUAAAAUUUUAUUAAAACUGAAUAAACAAUUAUUUCAUAAUAAAUACUAUAUUUAAACCAAACCCAUAAUUAAUGGUAUAUAUCCUUAACAGUGAAAACUCUCAAAGCUGCUUCCCAAUAUUCUUCUUUUGGUUGUUGCAUGAACUGAGAGUGAACAUGCGCACAAAGAUAAUUCUAGCCUUGUGAAACACAAAUAGACGAGUCGUCCAACCAAACGACGAUAACUUUCAGAAUCUUCUAGAUCUCGACCAUUUGCCAGCGUUAGCUGAUGUUUCUGCUCUAAAUUAUCGACAUAAAUAAGUAUAUUUAUUCGAACUUCACCUCUUUAUAAAGUAGAUAGAGAAUAGCCAGAGUACGAAUGCUUGAAUGCAUAACCUUCCAAGGCAGUCCAUAACUUAGUAAACCAACAUCGGGGUUCUUGCUUCAACCCAACGAGAGCUACCUAAAGUGUGCACACUUUUUCUGGGCUUGCAACCUGAAACCCAGGGGGUGCUUUCAUGUAUACCUCCUCUUAAAGAUUCCCGUGUAGAAAAUUAUUGUGCAUGUCCGUUUUAUGUAAUUCCUAGUGUUUUGUUGCGGCCACCGCCAAGAACGUGUGCAUAGUUACUAUCUUGGCCAUUGGAGUAGUACAAUCCUUCUACUUGAUGAUUGCUAAAAAUAAUUGAUUAGACGAGAUUUAUGUCAUUCAAUAGUUUUGUUUGAGUUGUAUUUGAUCUUGUAAACCCAUCUGCAGCCAAGAGCUUUAUUAUUAGGAGGUAGAUAUUCUAUUACUUAUAAAGAAAUUAAUUUGGUCACUUAUAAAACGAGAUGUUCCAAACGUUUGAGCCAAAGAUCCAGUGAGCCUGAGCCACCUACCUUCAAAGCAUAUACCCUUAAAUUCUUUUUAAGAAAUAAUUGAGUUCAUCCUUCCGUUCACCCGCUCCAAUCAGCAUCCUCCAGGUGCGAUCCUGUAUAACGCACAAAGUUUUUGUGAAUAAGACAAAACAAUCUGAAUUAUCUAUCAAUUGUGAACAAAAGUUAAAUUGCAUGUCAAGCCGGGCACACAAAAAAUUAUUUUUCAAAUUAAAUUCCCUUUAAGUUCCAUCAAGCCCUUGUUGGUAGCUAAGAGGACAUCUGGUUGUUUUUCGGACAUUAUAAAAUAUUUUUAAAUAACCUAUUAUAUGAUUAGAUGCCCCUGUGUCGAUGAUACAUGAUAUUUUAUUAUGUUUACCGGUCAUCUCAUCGUCCUAAUUUAUUUGUUGAUAAGAUUUUUCCAUUGCUCGUUGCUCAGGCUCGGAGGUCCUGCUUUUUUUUUUUUGCAUCUACCACAGCUGAAGAGGCACCACCUCCCGCGACUUUCUAUGCAACGUUGUCACGUACCGUACCACCUCUCCUAUGCCCUUUAUUCAAUCAUCCUCUCUAAUGUUAUUGUUGUCUCUACUACUCCCACAAGUUUUCCAUCACCACAGUGACGGUCUUCCCGCCAAUCUGGAUAACCUACAAGCUGGAAAUAUUUUUGGGUUCAUGCCAUGUGCGAUUGCAAUAAGAGCACGUCAUAUUUUAUCAUUUCCUUCAUAAUGACUCCUGUAAGGAGAUGUGCCUUGUACAACGAAGGUCAUAGCUUCGCUAUGCUUGUCUAUGCCUCGAGCCAUCAUUUUCACUCGUUUGUCUUGCACAAGCUUUGACUAAACCCUAUUUAGUGUCGACAACGGGUCUUGAGCGAACAAGUUUGCUCUUACUCUCUCAUAUAUGAUAAAGUUUUUCAACCCUAAGGAACCCUAGAAAUAUGGUAUGACUAAUACAAGUGAUCCUAAUAUAACACAAACUCUAUAUACGACAUGUACAAAUAUUUUACGCUCCUAAUACCUUUCCAAAAGAACUGUCAAUACAAAAAGUUGCAGCAGUGAUCCACGUCCAAUCCACAAUCAAUAGUGAGUGGAAAAGGUUGUUAUAAUUAUAAUACCCAACUAGAAUCGGGGUCAAAUUUCUCAGGAAAUUUAUAAAAGGUGUUAAGGUAGUUCCUUGAAAAGAGAAUGUGAAAUAACUAAAUUAUGCUUCCAAACAAAAGUGAUUGUUGUCCAAAUUAACACUACAAUCUACAAGAUUAAACUAAUUAAAAUUAACUAGAAAGAGAAUAAUUAUUUUUGGUGUUUUUAAGCAAAUGGGGAAAAGCCUUGGGAUGUAACCUUUACCUAGGUGCAAACCUAAUAGGUAUAUGAAGUUAAUGCUUGUUUUGUAGAUCGAGGUAUAUAAUAACUCUCAAUUCUCAAGUAUCUACUCAAUGCCUCUCUGUUAUAGAGUAUUUAUGUCCAAAUUGGCUUUCUCAAAUCUAAUUGGGUAACGAUGCAAAUAAUUUAUAUGAGUUCAAUUUGGUUUUUCCCUAUUUCUAGUUUGAACCCUUUAAUCAAACUAGCCAAAACUUUCACCAACUCAAUUUCUAGUUAGCCAAGUUUUCCUAUACUAGGUUCCUCUUUCUCAAGCACGAACUAAGUCAAAUAGAAAUGAAUUAAUAUUCACAACUAAUAAUUCUAGAAAUAAUGCGUCAACAAGGCUAAGAAAUAAACACCCAAUCAUAAAAAAAUAUUUAAAUUAAUAACCCAUAAGAUUUACACAGUAGAUUGGUUCACAACUCUAGAUAAAUCUAGCUAUUCAUGAUAGAAAGCAAAGAAAACAAAAUAGAAGAAGAAAAUUAAAGCCAUAAAAUACUAUUAAUUGAUAACACUAACGAGGUUACUCCAAUAUUUGUCACUACUUUCCCAGAAGGGUAAAAUAUAACCGAUGCAGCUGCAAGGAACACAAAACAUGUCCCGAACCCGUCUUUAUAGUGCCAAGAAAUUCGCCGACAAAAAUAUCCUUAGGGAGGUUCUGCGACCGUACAAUUCCAUGUACGGUUCGCUCUUUUCUUCUUCUUCUCUUGAGUUAGGAGGAAUUCUACAGUCGCAUAAUUGCAUCUCCGGCUACACUUCAUGUGACGACCCUACCAGUCGUCUCAUGCGCUACUGCUCUGUUUCCCCCAUUUAUGCUUCUUAUUGCUUUGUCAAUCGGUUCUGUAUAUGAUCGGUUUGGUUGGCUCGGGUUCGGAGAGGAUUUGGUUAGGUUUGAGACACUUAGUCUCUUUUGAGGAAGCUUAAGUUGGAAAAGUCAACCGAAUAUUGACUUAUAUCUUGGAGGACUCGGAUGUAAGUUCUGAUGGUUUGGUUAACUUCGGGAGGUGAUUUAGGACUUAGGAGCAUGAUCGGAAUGAGUUUUGGAAGUCCAAAGUAGAUUUAGGCUUGAAUAGGCGAAAUUGGAUUUUUGGCAAUUUUCGGUUGGUAGGUGAGAUUUAGAUAUAGGGGUCGAAAUGGAAUUUCGAGAGUUUCAGUAGUUUCAUUGUGUCAUUUGAGAUGUGUUUACAAAAUUUCAGGUCAUUCGGAUGUGCUUUGGUUAGGUUUUUUAUCAAAGCGUAAUUUAUAAGAUUUUGGAAUUCUUAGGCUUGAAUCUGAUGCGAAUUUGGUGUUUUGAUGUCUUUUUGAGAAUUUCUAAGGUUGAAAAAAGAUUAAAUGAGGUUAUGGGAUAUGUUGGCAUGUUUGGUUGAGGUUCCAGGGGCCUCGGGUGAGUUUCGGGUUGUCAAUCGGACCAUUUCAUGAUGUUUGGAGUUGCAGAAAGUUGCAGAUCGGUGUUGUAGAGAAAUGACCUUCGCGUUCGCAAGUGGGUCCUUGAAUUUGCGAAGGGUCAGUUGAGGAAUCUGGGAUUUAAACCUUCACGUUCACGAGGAAGGCUUUGCGUUCACGAAGGGCUGAGUAUUUGUGCAUCGCGUUCGCGGGGUGGUGUCGCGUUCGCAUAGAAGAAAAUGGGAAGCGGAGCUUCAAGGGAAUUUAUUCAUGACGCUCGCGAGAGAGGGAAAGCGAUCGCAAAGGUUGGUCUGAAACCUCGGAUUGCACAUCGUUGUUCUAUAUUGAGGUGAUGUACACGGUUAAUAACGAGCAUUGGGUCGUGCACUGUUGGGGAUUGUGACAUAGUCCGUCCUGAAUGAUUAUUUUACCGCAUAUUUAACUAAAGUAUAUUUUCUAUCAUCAUGAUUUGGGCUAAAUGCUAUAUUUGGGUCUCGUGCUAACUAUUUGAACCCUUUGGGGGAUUUUUAUCGAUAUUUCCUUACUGUUUUGACUUUAUACUUGAACUCAGUCAUAUUGUAUUCCGCUGUUUUCAUACUCAUCCAUGUUUACUAUGUUUUAACACUCAAAUGGUCUUUUAAAUGAUAUUUGGGCUGAGAAUCAUAUUUUACUACUGCCCAAGUGACUUGUGUGGAUUUUGAUUGAGCAAGGCCGAUGGCCUAUGUUGUGAGGAAACAUUGGUUAUAGUUAUGAGGUUGAGCGCGUGAGAUAUGUACGCCACGAGGUGGCUUGUUGAUAUGAGGUCGAGAACCUAGUGAUGAUGCCAUGAGAUGGCUUGACAUUGUGCUUGGGCCGUAAGGGGCUCCUCCAGGAGUCUACACACCACUAGUGAGCACGGGUACCCAUGUGAUGUGAGAUAUAGCUCAAGAGGCUGGUAUUGUUCUGAUAUUGCCCGAGGGGCAAACCUUUAUGUGUUUAUUCUUCUUAAUUGCCUAUCUUUUACCUACUUAUUUGUUGAAAAAGGCUUUUCAUGUAGUUUAAGUUGAACUAAAAUGACAUUGACAUAUCUUUACUAAUUUAUUAUUUUUACUGGUUUUACCACUCCGUUAUAGCAUGUAAUGUGCCUUACGUUACUUCCUGCUUUCAGUCUUUGUUUAUGAUUAUUAAUCAUGAGUUUGAGUAAUCACUUUACUCCCUGCACCCUGUUUGCAGAUUUAGGCGUUGUUGAUCCUUCCAGAGCGAGUUGAGAGCUCCGGCAGACUUCGGAGUCCACGAGGUAGCUGCUUGGCAUCCACAGUCUCGUGUUUCUCCCCCUUUAUCAUUUCUAUAUAUUUAUCAGACAUUUUGUAAUAGAUUAUAGACUUUUCAAGCUUGUAUUAGGAUUGAUAGAUGCUCAUGACUAGUGAUACCCUGGUAUUGGGUUGUUCUUUCACAUAUUUAUACUGUUGACUGCUUAAACUUUGGAUUAUUUUAUCAUGCUUUAGACUUGAAUCUUAUUGAUUAAUUGUUUAAAACUACAAUGGGAAGCGUGGGCUGGCCUUCUCUUCAUGAGAGACGUCAUCACGACUAGGUCCGAGUUUAGGGUUGUGACACUUCAGCUUUUGCGGCAGCAUAUUUUGACUGCAGAUUGCACUUUUAUGAGGCUUCACACUUGGUCUUUUUGCAUUUCUCUAAGCUUUUCAAAUCUGGUUAGUCUGAUCAGCUUUUGCGGCUGCACAAGUAGGUGAGCGGACCACUCUUCUUCAAACUCCUAUGGGGCUUCAAGGCUUUUUCUUCGACCGCAUCUGUAUUUCUACGGACUGCACAAUCUUUUGCCGACCGCACUUUUACCUGCAAUUCUCCUUCUUGCCUUGUCAAGCUAAAAUACUCCUUUUUGUUAAGCUCCAAUCCUCGAACAUGACUGUGAUUUGCAUGAUUUAAUUAGUUUUUGGAACAAAAAUCAAUAAUUUCGGACUUCAACUAAAGCAUAAAGGUACUAAUAAGUGGUUAAAAUCUAUACUUCUUAACUCUUCCAAAACUUAAGUCUUUGCUUGUCCUCAAUCAAAUAGAUUAGUUCCCAUCUCGUCAAUGUGAAAAGUGUUGUGCCCCCUUUUUGCUCGAAAUCGGGUUUAUGACAUUUGGGAGGAUAACUCAUUUCUUUUGGGAAUUGGAUUUGCAUUUGAAUAGUCGCCACCUAAUGAUUAGGAUACAUUAGGACACCAAUAAGGUUUGAUUUGAGUAACCAAAGAUAGGGUAAGGGCUUGAAAUUAUUUUAAGACAAAGGUGUUAGGCACUCAUCAUAAUCCAUUAGUGUGGUUCCCCGUCACACAAUUAUUGUGAAUUUAGAGUGCAUUUAACAUAUAAGCAGAUAAAGGCUCAAAUAAGAGGGGAUUUUUACACAUAAUGGUUUGAAGUAAACAAAGAUUUAAAGAACAAUUAGGAAAGCUGAUUUUUAAAAGAAAGAGCUGAAAUGCUAAAGAAAUAAAGAGUAGAGGGAGGGGUCCUAGGCUUAUUAAAAAUGUGGAUCACCCCACACAAUGUUCGGUAAUCACUCCUCAAUGAGGGGCUACACAUGAUAUUAUCGCGUGGUCAUCAUAUCCAUAUCUACCCUUUCUCACCCCUUAAAGUUUUAAAGCGUGGAAUGAUCUCGAUUACUUAUUGCAUUCAAUUACCCAAUCCUAUCAGUCCUGAAGGUACUUAGGACUACUAAACCUAACCAGGGGGGGGGAAGGGGAGGGGAUAUUGGGAUUAUUUGGAGUUUCAAAGGUAAAAAUCUAAGGUGACAUACAAAAACACAUAUUGCACAUCUUUAGGGGAAGCAUAUAAACAAACAGAGGCUCAGUUAUACCUACUUGAACAAAAAAGCACAUAACUAGCAUGACUUUCACAUACUAUUUAAGGUCUGAUUAAAAUAUUAAUGACGAAGGAGUUUAAAUAUUGAGACAGAUUACUUUAUUUCAUAACUCAGACAAGAAGUUUGAAUCAGGUCUGCCUGCUGGUUGUAAUAAUUAACAAAAACAGAUUUAGUUUAUAGUUAUUACCCUAAGGCUUGCCUAAGUGUUCGGACGAGGGUCCUAUAGUCAUGGUAUCUACUGGAUUCAGGAGUUAAUACAUUAAAACUUGAAACGAAUUAUUUGAAAUCCCAUAUGAAUACUUGUUAAUCUAGUUAAGUGAGGGACUCAGAUUUUUAAAGAGAGGCUGAAUUUAAACGAAUUGAUUAUAAGUUCUACAACUGAUAGUAUAUGUUAUUACUGAUUUUAUAUCUAACACUGAGUGAAGCAAAUUAAAUUCAGUUAGAAACUCCUAUGUUCAUGCUUUCUAUACAUUACUGAUUUUAAACCUUAUAGACGUAGGAUCGAAAUGCAGAACACCUUAUGACACGGUAUCUAAAUGCAGACUUUUUUUAAACCUUAUAGAUAAUAUCCAAAAGUGAAACUUUGUUUAAAACCUUAUGGGCAUGAUUUCUAUAUGUAUUGAGUAUGCAAAAUUAGAGCAACCUAUAGGCAUGAUUACUAUAUGUGUUGAGUAUGCAGAAUUAGAACAACCUAUAGGUAUGAUUUCUAUAUGUACUGAGUAUGCGGAAUUAGAACAACCUAUAAGCAUGAUUUCUAUAUGUAUUGAGUAUGCAUAAUUAUAACAAAACCUAUAGGCAUUAUUUCUACACUUUGCAUGCGUAGUUACUCACCCUUUUUUACUAGCUAACCCCAAGUGUUUAUUAUAACAUACAAGCAAGAAUGAAUAAAAUUACAUCAGAAAAAGUAAAAAUAAAAAAGAAUGAAUCAGAGAAAGCCUGAUUCUUGACUUAUUCUCUAAGUUUUGAGAUAAACCAACUCAAAGACCAUUGAUCCAAAGCAGUUCUCCAACUAGACUGUGUCAGAGUCCCCUAAGAGCCUCGAUGGAACUCUGGGAAGUGCUCACACCCAAACUGUAUUAUCAGAAUGGGGAUAAGUGUAGUGUGGAAAGACCAGCCCUCAAGUGUCCAAGUUCAGAGGGAGCUCUAGGGGUCCCAAGGCAAUGCUCAUAAGAGUGGGUCCUAAGAGAGAGUGCAAGUGAAGAAUCAGAGUUCUAAGGGGAUAAAAGAGGGAAACUGCCACAAGCAAGCUGAUAAAUUCACAAAAAACGGGUUCAGGGGGUAGGGAAGUUGCAAAGAGCAUAUGUAUUUAGGCAUUAGCUAAUUUUGGGCAUGCACAACAAUAGAGAGUAAUGUUAUUCUUACAAAUCAACAAGAGUACACAACAUAUGAUGGUGACAUAAAGGUUAUGGUUCCAGGGGAAUCAUGUUUGAGCAAUAUACAAUAAUUCUUAAUAUUGUCAUGCCUCAAACAAACCAUUAGCAUUAAAUACAUUAGGUUAGGGGGUUUGGUCAUAAUAGGAGGAAAUUAUAACAUGCUAAAGUAAACACUGGACUAAACACAAGCAGUAGGCAGACAUGCAAGUAAAGGUAUUAAGUAAAUACAUUGUUUGUGAUUGCUUAAAAGCAUAACCAGGACAUACCAGUUUCAUAGAAGCAAAAUGCAGUAAAAGCAGUAGCAGGAAAACAGUCCACAGUACCAGUAAAAAGAGAGAAUGCUUUUUUUAAUGUGAGUGUGAGUUCAGAAAAGUAAGUGUUCGUUUGUCUUUGUCAAUGAGGAAGCCAUGUAUUUAUAGUAUGAAAAACAUGCAGAAAAUAAGGCAAGAAAAUAACGAUAGAACUAUGUACCAAUUAAAAUCAAUCAGUAUAAUAACUUCCUUUAAUUAAGGAGUUAAAAUCAAAUGGUAACAUGUAAGUUCUAAAUAAGGAAAGAAAUCACAUAGGGCUGAAUAUGACCAAUAAGGAAGUAGUUCCAGCAUAGUACAAGUACACAGUGGGUAAUAGAGGCUAGGUUCAUCAGACUCUAAUCAAGUAAAGGUCUGUAAGAAUCCAAUACCAAUGUAACCAAGAUAAGGGGAUUAAUCAAUAUUAAGUUGAAAAGGUAAGGGUCGAAAGUUCAAAGGAAAGUAUUCAAAUAGGUCCAAGAAAUAGGGUAAUCAGUACAACAAGGAAAGAAUCAAUUACAAGACUGCAAUCAGAAUCACACAAAGGGGUUUGAAAUCAGUCCACCAUUAAGGGUUAUUUUGAGAGGAAAAUUUAACAUAUAUAAAGAGUGCACAAACAUUAGGCACGUGAGGUAAUGGCAAAGAGAAGCAACAAUAAUAAUUACAAAGUCUUUAGAUAGUGAAACAUGAUAGUCACAUAGGUCGACUUAGUAAUAAGGAGAACAGGGUAUCAGAUGCAUGCAAAAGAAUCAAGUAAAAGACCUUUCUGGAAAGUAUAAUUUAGUUCAAAGGUUGCAAGAAACCAAAUCACAUAGAGAAAUAGAAGUUGAAACAAGGACUUUGAAUCCAGUCGAGAAACAUCAAACAGACGGAUCAGUUUUCAGAAGCUCGAAUACUUCCAAAGGAAUUAGGGCUUUGAAAUAAAAAAAAAUUCAGAGUGGAGGAACAAGCAAAUCACAUAGCAAAUAGUCUAACUCGAAUGAGCCCCAAAUUUUAGGGUUUUUACCAUCAAUCGAGUAUAUAGAUGAAAGACAAGAGAAUAAGGCAAAAAUAUCAACAAAAAAUAAAAUAAAAUCAGAAACCUUAAGAAGAACUAAGACUUUUAACAUAAAGGAACACAGUGGAAGAACAACAUAAGAAACACAGUAGGAGAAUCAACAUAAGAAAUACAGUAGAAGAACAACAUAAGAAAAACGGUAGGAGAAUCAGCAUAAGAAACACAGUAGAAGAACAACAUAGGAAACACAAUAGAACUUUUUAAAAAUAAAAAAAUCUUAGAAAUGACUUAACAGAACCCUAACUCGAAAAAGGUAAAGUUUUGAAAGAAACUUUGAGAAAAUGUUUAAGACCUUAGAGAAAACAAAGAUCUACAACGGAUCUAAAAGAAUCAGAAGAACCUCGAAGGUUAGGGUUUGAGAAGAAUCCAGAUAGUGAGAAAAGCUUGGAAAGUCAUUGAUCUAAACAGGAGAAGUCAUGAUCGGGCUUGACUAGCCAUGGCUGGCCGGAGCAAGGUCGAAGACAUCCAUAGAACUCCAAUCAAACAAAGUCUGGGCCAAGCUUCUUCAAGUUCUAACCUUGAAUCCAUAGCAAUCAGGCAUGUAGAAGUCGUAUGAGGCAGGUACAGGCCUUUAAUGGCUUUGGAAGCCAUGGAUUCAGGCAAUCUUAAGGUGGAAGUGGAGGGAGGCGGCUAGGGUUUCUGAGAGAGAAUUGGGGGAGGGGGAAUCCACAGGUGCCUACAGGUGAGAAAUGAUCAAGGUUUGGGGGGUAAUGGGGAAUUAAAACAGAAAUGUUAAAUGGUGGCCUUGAUCAUUUUGAUCCACAACCUAGAUUGAAUAGGGAUUCGGGCGGGUUAUUUUAAAAGGGUCGUGGGUUGGGUAGGUUAGGAUUUUGGGCUGGGUAAUUGGGUUUUAGAAUAGGGUCUAAUUAGAGGUUCAAAAUAUGGCUAAAAUUGAAACGCAAAUGGGCUAUCAUUUAAAUAGCGAGUUUUCCUCAUUUAUUUUAUAAAAAUAGUAAAAUAAUUUUUGGAAAUAAAUUAAAAGUACUAAUAUUAUUAAUAAUAUAUAAUUAAUAAAUUAAAAAUAUUGGAAUCAAUUUUUAACUAUAAAUAUAAUUAAAUCUUAAAAGAGGCCAAUAUUACAAUUAUAUGGAAUUUAGCUUUAAAAAUACCAAAUAAAUUUAUUAAAAUAUGAAAAACUUAUGUUAGCUAUAUUUUAAGAUAAAUAUGAGAAUCUAAUUAAUAAAUCACCAAAAAUAAUAAUUUUUGGAAAUAAUUAUAGGGUUUUUCUUGAUAAAAUAGGGCAAUAAAUUGAUUUAAAAAUCUUUAAACAUUAUGAAAAAAUAAUAAAACAUUGGGACGCACUUAAAUAUGCACAAAUAUGUUAUUUUGAAAGUAUUUGGAAUAUAAAAAAUUAUAUAGGAAAAAAUUGGGUACAACAGCUGCCCCUCUUUACCCGGGAAGGAUGAAAGAGUUGUCGGGUAAAUAUAUGAUGGCCAAUUUUGACAGGACAAAAUGGUUUGAAGAGGUUUAGGCUGUGCUUCGGCUUUUGAACUGCCUACAUAUCCUCGAUCUUACAUUAAUUAUGCCACAUGUAGUUUGGGAUUCAUCGGCAGAGUAUGCUGAUGGAGAUUUUUCAAGAAUGGACGCAAUAUUCAGGACAGGGUGAACGGUUGAAGUCUGAUAGAGCUUCGGGAACUGGAGCGGAAUUGCUCCUGCCGAGAUAGCAGUUGCUCUCUGGUUUACCUGCAAAUAAGCAACACAAGCAUAUAUUUUGCAUAAAUUUAAACGUGAUGCAAAUUCCCCGUCAGACCAUGAAUGUUGUCUUUGGACGGUUUGGAUGACGUCCUUAGACCAUGAUGUCCUGGGCCACGAAGUGUAUAGUAAAGGAUUUGCAGGCCAUAAAAUUAUGUUCUCGGGCUAUGGGAUGAUGCCUCAAAACCAUGACGCCUUUGAAUAAUGAUAUGCAAAGAUUAAAGGCGUCCUCAAGCCAUGUCAUGGUGCUCUCGGGCUAUGAAAAUGGUGCCUCCAAAUAAUGGCUCCUUUGGAUAAUUUGAUGAUCUUUCAGCCCCAGAGAUGCAGUAUUUAGCAAUCUUUCAGCCGUGCAAAUAUAGAGUUGCCUUUCAGCCAUGCAAAUGUAGAUGUUGCUAUCUUUCAGCUAUGCAAAUGUAGAUGUGGCGAUCUUUCAGCCAUGCAAAUGUAGAGGUGGCGAUCUUCCAGCCAUGCAAAUGUAGAGGUGGCAAUCUUUCAGCCAUGCAAGUAUAGAUAAGGAGGCGAUCUUUCAGCUAUUCAAGUGUAAAUAAGGUGGUGAUCUUUCAGCCAUGCAAAUGUAAAUAAAGGUGCCGAUCUUUCAGCCAUGCAAGUAGAGGUAGAGCUUAACCUCGGAGGGAAGAAUGAUAGCCUUAUGCGAUGCAAAAUUCAGAAGGAGACAACGUUUAGUCUCGUAAGGCAGAAUGGUAGCCUUAUGCAAUGUAAGAAUGCAGAUGGAGGUAGAGCUUAACCUCGGAAGGCAGAAUGGUAGCCUUAUGCAAGAAAAAUGCAGGUGGAGACAACGUUUAAUCUCGGAAGGAAGAAUGGUAGCCUUAUGCAAUGCAAAAUGCAGAUGGAGACAGUGUUUAGUCUCGGAAGGCAGAAUGGUACCUUAUGCAAUGCGAGAAUGCAGAUAGAGGUAGAGCUUAACCCCGGAAAGCAGAAUGGUAGCCUUAUGCAAUGAAAAAUGUAGGUGGAGACAACGCUUAGUCUCGGAAGACAGAAUGGUAGCCUUAUGCAAGAAAUCAAAGGCAGAUAGAAACAAAAUGGAAUUGUUAAUAUUUUCCAUUAGUAGCUUAAAUCUUAAAUAUAAAAAUAUUACAAGUUUUUAAAAUCGUUAACAAACAUCGAUAUUUCAAUCUUAAUUUCAAUACCCGAUACUACCCACAACCUGUCUACGGAGCCUCUAAAUACAACUGAAAAAUAAUUCAGAAAUGCCGGCAACAAGGAUCCAGCUAUACCUUACACAUAUACAAAACAAUGGACUCCGAAAAAACAACGACAUAAGCCACGCAGGACCUCGAGUGGAAAGGGGCUCACCAAUACAGCUGACAGAAAGUGGAGGAGGAGCUACUGCCUGUGGAUUGGAGUGCCUGCUAUAGAACCACCUAUAAUCAUAACAUGAAUGUAGCGCCCCCGGCAAAAGGAAUGUCAGUACAUUUGAAUUGUACUAGCAUGUACAACUAAACACCAUCUCAAUUGAAAGAAAUUAUCAUACAAGAUCAAAGAAAUCAUAAGCAUUCAACCAAAGCUUUAAACAAUCACAACAUUAUGAAAUACAAAUAAAGGAUCACGUAGCUUUCACAUAAUUUCAUAACUUUAGUUUGGGGCAUUCCUUUUAUAUGUUCAUCACCGUUCUUAAUACCACCGCUAUCUUGAGCGGAGUCCGAUCACGACCCGACUGGCUAGGUCACCUUAUUGGAGGCAUAUAUCUUAAUUACUGUUCAUUUCCCUUAUCAGAAAUUCAAUAUCAUCACAUUACCACCAUGUGUGCGGCAUGGUGUCCGAUCACGACCCGAUCGGCUAGGUCGCCUUACCUAGGCAUUAUCCUUUUCUCAUUAGUCACCACAUCCGAAUUUUUAUUUCAAAUGUAUCAUAUCAAUUCCUUGGCACUUAGGGCCAUCAUUAUCACAUAGUACUUGGCACUAGGACAUAUUUCACAACUCACAUUCCACAACACUUUCACUUUCAACAACAAACUUACGAUUUAAGAUAUUAGGCAUACACAAGAAUUUCCAAGUUAUUAGCAUAGAGAGGAAUUCUCAUGAUUCGGCACAACAAUCACAAUUUAAACUUGAUUUGAAAUUUAGGAAAUUUAUCAUAUACUUCACAUACUUCAAUCUCAAUUAUUGUUUAAGUAUUUCAAUACAUGAUUCACAUUCAUUGCACAUUUUCAAGUUAUCAAGAAUAGCGCAUUGGUCACAUUGAAAUACAACCUUCACAACUAUAGGGUCAUAUUACUAAUUCAUAUAAAGUAUCAAUAAAAGCAAGAACCCAAAGUUCAGUCUUACCACAUUUACACAAGCAUCGAUAUUGCUCAAUUCCUAAAGGACGAGGUUUUAGCCAUACAUACCUUUCUUUAGCUUUCGCUCAAUUACUACAAUUUUCCGGAAAUACUAUCAACUUCAAUCUAUUUUUAGAUAUAGAAAAAUCGAACACAAAUUAGGAAGAUAUUCAUAAUUCUAGCUCAUUUGAGCAUUUUAUCAAAUACUAGAUGAGCAUCUUGAUUUCAAAUCCCCCUUUUCAAGAUUUCCUUCAUUCUGUGACCCAAUCUUUACUUAUUUAUGUAAAAAAAUCUUCUCCAUAAACCUAAGUUGUACAUGCAUGUAUACACAAUACUAAUAUACGCAAGAAUCAUACCUCAAUAACCCAUCUUGUACUCCAAACUCGAAAUUAAAAACUAGGGUAUAGAACCGUACCUUUUAGAUGAAGCUCUAAUGAUCGGGUGCUUUGAUUUUUGAAGAUUGAUGCAAUAUUUGGAUGAUUUAAAUAUUGGGUCCCUCCUUCUCCCUCUAAAAGUCUCUCACAUCUCUCUAAAAUCAGUAAGAAAUGACCCCAAAAUGAACCGUAGGACCUAUCUAUCCAAAUGGGGUCGGGUUAUAAAAUAGGGAAAUCAACCUCCAAUGUCAGGUCUGCUAUAUCAAAAUGGACCGCAGAACGCGAAUGCUGGCCGCAUAAAGCACCGAAAAAUCGGCAUCCAAAACUGGGCUAAAUUGGUCCAAUUUGCGACCGCGGAUCAAAAAUGCGGACCGCAUAAUGGCCAUUGAGAUUGCAGAUCUGACAUGACACAGGAUCACAUUUUCGAGCCUUUGGUAAUUCGAUCAUAACAUUGUGUAGGAAUGUCCAAAUGAUAAACGGUUUGAAGCGUUGGAAACUAGACUCAAAUAAUUUUCAUAUGAUAGAUUGUUCAUCACAGAAAACCUCAUACAUAGUUAGAUAUGCUUUUUUAAUGUGGAGCCUUGUGCGAAUCCAUUUGAAAUUUUAGCCUAUUACGAAAUAUUUCUCAUUUGGCAUGCACUUAGACUUCCAUUUGGACCUCAUAUCACUUAGCGUAAGACUUAUACUCAUAUUUACCAAGUCCAAAUGAUGUCAACCAGGUUAAUAGAACAUAAAAUCUAAUAAUUAGCCUACGUGGCGCCACAAAAUCCUAGAUUACUUAGCAAAACUUUCCUUGGCCUUACCUUCUCCCCCCAUUAGGAUCAUUCGUCCUCAAAUGAGGAGUAGAGUCUUCCCCAAACACUUUAACAUCACACAUCUUUUUUCUAACCUAAUACAGUCCCAAUCUUUUAACUAACUCCAAAAAUUUCAGAAAUUUCGGUAGAGUCUCCUUUGUAACUAGACAUAUCCACAUGUCAAAGAACCACCAAAACAUCCCAAAAGCACAUCCACAACUAGACAAAGCACCACAAUUUAUAUAUCAACAAUACUAAUAUCACAAUUACAAGCACUAUAUUAUCAUAAUGAUACUUGUACAUGGACUGCACAUUUUUAAUUCAUAAUACCUAUAAGGUACCUUUCAAAUCAAAACUAAUUGUUAUACAAUCAAGCGAAAGUAUUUUCAUUCCAUGACACUUUCGGCCUUCAAGGUGGCCUCCUCGGCUUACAAGCCUUACCACAACCCAUUUGCAAAAACAAUUCCAAUCUUCAAACUUAUCUAAAAAGGAUGACAACUAGAUACCUCACAUAACCCAACAGUCCAGUAACUUCACUUUCAAUAGUUUCCACCGGGAUGAUAUACAAAAGGUCUCCAACUACCUUAUUAGACAUAGACAUAUGAAAACAUAAUAUAAAUGUAUUACAAUGACGGUAUACAUCAGCCUCAUAGCACGACCUAAUAUGAAUUACACUUAUGCAACCUCCAUUAUCAACUCAUCUAACAUCUUUAGAGGAAAGUAUUAAGAAUAACUCUUUCACCUUUCUAAACUCUAAAUCUUUACACGAACAGUCACACUGAACCAUUGAUGAUAUUUAACAAUCACCCUAGGAUGUGCUAUCAUAAACUGACGAUAAAAUUACCUAUCUAAUAUAUGGAAUCAUACAGGGAUACUUCUUCUUUGACAUGUUUGAACCUUCAAUACCCAAUAGAUCUAAUAAAGUAAGGAACAACAUUGUUCAAGAUUGGGCUUGGGGGGAUACUUCUUCUUUGACAUGUUUGAACCGUCAAUACCUAAUAGAUCUAAUAAAGUAAGGAACAACAUUGUUCAAGAAUCGGCUUGGAAUUAUUUAGGAAUCCAUUUAAUGUGUUGUGCAGAGCAUUUGAUGAGGUUAUAUGCUUAGAUACAUGGAAGGUUACAACUAAAGAUACUGACAUGGUUAAUCAUUGUGAGGAUAUUAAUUAUUAGACAAAUAAGGCAUAGGGGUAACUCGUACAUUGUCAAUAGGAACCAUCAAGGAGGAAUACUCAAGUACGCAAACCACUCAUUUCCUAGAGUGUAGGGAAAACCCGUUUAUCAAGAAUACGAAUACUGCGGUACCUUGAAUGCGAUCGGGGUUUCAAGAUACAUGAAGUUAAAUUACACUCUUAUUAUUACCUAACACACGAAAUCUAUGCCACAAGCCCAUGAGGAUGAAAUGAAGUUGUACACUUAUGAGAUCAUCAUAUUCUCAAACAACUUUACCCGCCAUGAUAGUUGAUCCUAUAUGAGAGAACUAAAGAUACAACAACUUAGUCUUUCAAAUCAAUAUGCUCAUGAUAUGUGCAAAAAUCUAAAGGCAUCUAAUCUCAACCUUUUACGAGUGAAACCACCUAUCUAGGACAUCUAAACAUAGGGAUGAAAAUCAUGUAUUGGUUAGAGGCGUUCCAAUGGUUAAUAUGAUUCUCCAGGGAGAAAAACAAAUGACACUCUUAUCCACCCAAGGAUGUGGAACACCAAGGGUAGCAAAGCUCCCAUCACAUGACAAUGAUAUAGUCAAUUAUUCUAGAAGUUGAGGGAGCAGAAGACCAUGUGACCUAUCUAGUCCGAGCCAUCUAAAACCUUUUGAAAAGGGGAUGCACUUUGGUUUUGAAAUCAAGGCAAUAUAAACUUGAACUUAGGGGAAAUCAUUACUUUUGGAACCCGUGAGACAAUCCCACGUAGCCCUAGAAAAUUGCCAACCAAUGGCAAGAAGGCACUUAAAAUCAUUACGAGUUGGUAUAGAACAAGGACUCAAAGUGCCCACAUGGAUAAGUUUAAAAGAAUGAGCCGUCGUAAUGCAUUUAUCAUGGAUAAGUAACCUAGGUUAUCUAGUCACGGGGACAAGCAGAGCAUAUAAAUGAUUGUUAGAAGAGCAUCUAAAAGGAGUACCAGCAUUAUUUAUUUAUUCUAACAUAAGGAAUAUGUUGCCACCCUUGAUGAUAUAACACUUUCUCUUUUAUUCCAUAAAACAUAAAAUGAGUUUUUUUUUCACAAUAAGAUGAUAAUAGAUGGUAAAGCAGCACAACUAUGAGCAUCACUUGAAAUCGACAAGCUUAAACAGCUGAAGACAUUAGAAGCCUGUAGAAAAGGGGAAAUUUUCUCAUUCUCAGGGCGCUUGUAGAGUACAUCAAAGUAAGCUUAAUUAAAUCAGAUCAUAUCAUUGGAUAACUAGUCAAGACAUCGAGAUAAAAUCGCAUCGAAUAUUACGGGUAAACAACGCACGAUGUAAGACAAAUGAAAAGAAAGGGAAAGAGCCUUAUGGAAGUAACCUUUACAUUGUAACCACUAGGAUCAGUGGUAAUAUAAAGCGAUUAUAAGAAGAUGCAUUUUUUAAAAGAAGAUCUCUCUAUGUAGUCACGUGAUGUUUAGCUGUAGAAUUCAAAAAUCCAAUUAUAUUUAGCAACUCUACUUCAUAAUGAAGCAGUACAAAGCACUUCUACACAAAUAGCUAUUACGAGCCAUAUUGGGAGAUGUUAUAAGGCAUGAACGAGAGAAAGUCUUUUACCUAUGAAUGUGUUUUAGGUGUAUUUCUCCUUGGUCAACCCAAAGCCAAUAGGUGAGAGUUAGACAAAUAAGCAGAUCGUUGGACUAGCACAUGCGUAGAUAAUCUAUUAUCGAGAGAAGAUCAUUCAAUCUCAGCAAUUGCGACAUGCUAUCAACCCUUGAUGAACUUGAAGUGAUAUGGGAACCCAAUGAGAUAGUAUAGAAUAAUCAUGGAGGGUUUGCUGAUGUUCUUAAUAUAUUUUAACUUGAGAACUACCUAGAUGCUAAUGAAAGACAGAAAAACAUGAGAAACCAUAACAACCCCAAAAGGUGAAUGUUCUUAAUAAGUUCUUCAUAGAUUUUAACUUGAGAACUACCCAGGUGCUAAUGAAAGACAGAAAAACAUGAGAAACUGGUGUUGCGCUAUAAAAACCCCCAAAUGUGUGCUUGGUCUUUAUAGAUAACCUAGUAAGGGUCCUUACGAUGCAGAGUGCAUAGCAAUGACUCAUAGAAGGAUAUGUUCUCUCAUGGUUAUCGAACAAGUGUUGGAAAACUACUACAAUGAAUUCUCUAACUAGAGAACAGAAUUAACAUAUGUUAUAGAGGCGAAAAAAAGAGAUAAACAUUUCUCAUAAGUUGGACACACUUCUUCUAUAUUAGCUCCCAACUAUAAUAUACGACCAUGCCACGAGCAACUAUAAUACUAGGACAGGUGAGCUACUUACUACAGGAUGUCCCAAAUGGACACAAAAGUUAUGGCGACACAUGAUCUUCCUAUGACAUGGACUUGAAGAUCUCAUUUCAGAGAGACUUUAUAUUCAUGCACACGGUGACCAUUUCGAUUGACAUGCACUCAUUUGAGGUGUUAUGGUACGCUCUUAUGUUACUAGGCGGUGAGAAGAUUUCAUGAUGAUGUUCUCAAGAGAGUAGAUUGACUGUUCAAACCAUAUAAGCCAUAUGCACAACAGAGUAAAAGAGUGACUCGAGACGUAUCGCAACACUGGGAUGCUUUGCAUGGAACUUGACACUUAGGUAAACUUUACGACUAUGCAUGUAUAGGAACAAGCAAGUAGAUUUUGUCCAUUUAAAUAAAAAGAUCAUGUAAGAAAUCCAUCAUAUAUAAUCCCUUGGUGAGAAAUUUUAGGUAAAUAAAGUGGGAAAUAUCAAUCCUAGAGUUAUAACUCAAUUAAAUGGCAUAAUUAUAGAACUUAAUUCCACAAGAAUGUAAAUAAGAGAAUUCAUAAUAGAGUGUUUUUCACGAAUAGUGCAUCUCGUUCAAAGACUUGAUACAUGCAAUGUUUUGUUAUUCAACACCUUGUUCAUACCAUGUUUAUGAGAAUUCUUCAAUAUCGAUGUACACAUACAAUGAGUAAAAAUCUUUAUUUGACUCCCUUAAUGACGUUAAGUUGGUUGGGAAAUAGCUUAAUCGAUACCUCUCGACUCCACAUCCCUAACGUACUUUGGUAAUAGACUGAUAUACUACAUGAUCUGAUGGUACAGAUACAUCAAUAGGGACAAGCAUACUCCCCUCUUAGCGAUAUGUUUUACCAAUCAAUCCACAACUCAAUAUAUCCUCCUAACAAGUACUUGGACAAUCCACUUGGUCUCCAUCCCUCCUUACAUGGUUCUAAUUCAUGGAUUAUAAUAUCAAGGUUACCAAUCUUGAGAAUAAGACUUAGAGAGGAAAUCAGCUCCCUAACUUUGGCUAUAUCGCACGAUUGGAGUACUAAAGAAGGGUGGAAUUUCUAAUUGACCGAAUAGCCUCCAACUUAUUGAUAUGGUCAACAACACACCGGUAAGAAGGACUCUACUAGACACGGCUCCGACACAUGCUAGGACACUUUAAAACCUUAGGCUCUGAUACCAAGUUUGUCACACUCCAAAAUUCGAGGAACGCGACCGUCGCUCAACCGAGUAAAUCCGACUGAGCAAGCAUGACAUGUUUCCUACAUACUACUCAACCCAACUCAUAAUUAAAUAAGAGAUGGACUCCAUUAAUCAUACUUAGUAAGUAUUUUAUUNNNNNNNNNNNNNNNNNNNNNNNNNNNNNNNNNNNNNNNNNNNNNNNNNNNNNNACUCCAUUAAUCAUACUUAGUAAGUAUUAUAUUAACAAUUCCAUUUUAUUUCCAUCAGCAGCUUAAAUAAAUAUCAAAAUAUUACAAGUUUUGUAAAUCUUUGCCAAACAUCAAUAUUUAAAUCUUAAUUCCAAUACCCGACACUACCCAUAACCUGUCUACGGAGCCUCUAAAUACAACUGAAGAAUAAUACAGAAAUUUCGGCAACAAGGGUCCGGCUAUACCUUACACAAAUAUAAAAAAUGGACUCCGGGAAGAACAAAGGCAUAAGCCACGUAUGGCACCAAGGUGAAAGGGGCUUACCAAUACAGCUGGCGGAAAGUGGAGGAGCUACUACCGGUGGACUAGAGUGCCUGCUAUAGAACCGGCUACAAUCAUAAUACGAAUGCAGCGUCCCCGGCAAAAGGGACAUUAGUACAUUUGAAUUGUACUAGUAUGUACACCUAAAUACCAUCUCAAUAGAAAGAACUUAUCAUAAAAAGACUAAAGAAAUCAUAAGCAUUAAACCAAAGCUUUAAGCAAUCACUACAUCAUCAAAUACAAAUAAAGGAUCACGUAGCUUUCACACAAUUUUCAUAACUUUAGUUUGGGGCAUUCCUUUCAUAUGUUCAUCAGCGUUCUCAAUACAACCGCUAUCUUGAGCGGAGUUCGAUCACGACCCGAACGGAUAGGUCACCUCAUUGGUGGCAUAUAUCUCAAUAACUAUUUCAUUUCCCUUGUCCGAAAUUCAACAUCAGCACAUAACCACCAUGUGUGCGGCAUGGUGUCCGAUCAUGACCCGAUCGACUAUGUCUCCUUACCUAGGCAUUAUCCCUUUCUCAUUAGUCACCACAUCCGAAUUUUCAUUUCACAUGUAUCAUAUCAAUUGCUUGGCACUUAGGGCCACCAUUAUCACAUCGUACUUGGCGCUAGGCCAUAUUUCACAACUCACAUUCCACAACACUUUCACUUUCCACAACAAACUACGAGUUAAGAUAAUAGGCAUACACAAGAGAAUUUCAAAGUUAUAAGCAUAGAAAGGAAUUAUAAUGAUUCGGCACAACAAUCAAAAUUUAAACUCGAUUUGAAAUUCAGGAAAUUUAGCAUAUACUUCACAUUCUUUAAUCUCAAUCUAUUGUCUAAGCAUUUCAAUACAUGAUUCACAUUCCUUGCACAUUUUCAAGUUAUCAAGAAUAGCACAUUGAUCACAUUGGAAUGCAUCCUUCACAAAUAUAAAGUCAUUGAUAAUAGAUGGUGUGCUAGUAAAGUCACAUUGAAAUUCAUCCUUCACAAAUAUAAGGUCACAAUAUUAAUUUAUAUAAAGUAUCAAUCAAAGAAUGAAUCCCAAGUUCAGUCUUACCACAAUUAUAUAAGCAUAGAUAUAGCUCAAUUUCUAAAAUAUGGGGUUUUAGCCAUACAUACCUUUCUUGAGAUUUCCCUCAAUUACUACGAUAUUUCGGAAAUUCUAUCAACUUCUAUAUUUUUCUAGACAUAGCAAAAUUGAACAAAAAUUAGGAAGAUAUUCAUAAUUCUAGCUCAUUUGAGCAUUUUAUCAAAUACUAGUUGAGCAUCUUUAUUUCAAAUCCCCUUUUUACAGAUUUCAUUCAUUCCCUAACCCAAUCUUUACUUAUUUAUGUUAAACAAUAUUCUCCAUAAACCUAAGUUGUACAUGCAUGUAUACACAAUACUAAUAUACCCAAGAACCAUACCUCAAUAACCCAUCUUGUACACCAAACUCGAAAUUAAAACCUAGGGUAUAGAGUCAUACAUUUUAGACAAAUAUCUUGUGAUUGGGUUCUUUGAUUCUUGAAGAUUGAAGCAAAAUUAGAUGAUUUAAAUGUUUGGUCCCUCCUUCUCCCUCUAAAAUUCUCUCACAUCUCUCUAAAAUUAGUAAGAAAUGACCCCCAAAAUGAACCCUAAGGCCUAUAUAUCCAAAUGGGGUCGGGUUAUAAAAAUAGGGAAAUUCACCCUCCGAUGUCAGGUCUGCAAUAGCAUAAUGGACCUCAGACUCGAAUGCUGGCCGCAUAAUGCACCGCAAAAUUGGCGUCCAAAACUAGGCUACACUGGUCCAAUUUGCGAACUGAUUUGCGACCGCGAAUCAAAAAUGUGGACCGCAUAAUGGACAUUGAGAUCACAGAUCUGACAUGACACAGGAUUGCAUUUUCCAGCCUUUGGCAAUUUGAUCAUAACUUUGUGUAGGAAUGACCAAAUGAAGAACGGUUUGAAGAGUUGGAAACUAGACUCAAAGACCUUUCAUAUGAUAGGUUUAUCAAAUAAAAACUCAUACAUAUUUGGAUAUGAUCGUUUAAAGUGGAGCAUUGUGUGAAUCCAUUUGAAAUUUUAGCCUAUUACGAAAUCUUUCCCAUUUGGCAUACACUUAGGCUUCUAUUUGGACCUUACAUCACUUACCAUAAGACUUAUACUCAUAUUUACCAAGUCUAAUCGAUUUCAACCAUGUUAAUAGACCAUAAAAUCUAAUAAUUAGCCUAUGUGGCACCACAAAAUCCUAGAUCACUUCGCGAAGUUUUCCGGGGCCUUACAUUCUCCCCCUUAGGAUCAUUCGUCCUCGAAUGAGGAGUAGAGUCUUCCCCAAACACUUUAACAUCACAUAUCUCUUUUCUAGCCUACCUCAAGUCCGUAAAUUUUGUCUAACUCCAAAAAGUUUCAAAAAUUUCAGCAGAGUCUCCUUUGUAACUAGGCAUAUCCACCUAUCAGAGAACCAUCAAAACCAUCCCUAACACACAUCCACAACUUGACAAAGCACCACAAUGCAUAUAUCAACAAUACUAAUCUCACAAUUACAAGCACUAUAUUAUCAUAAUGAUACCUAAACAUGGACUGCGCAUUUUUAAUUCAUAAAUCCUAUAAGGUACCUUUAAAAUCAAAACCAAUUGUCAUACAAUCAAGCGAAAGUAUUUUCUUUCCACGGCAGUCAAGCAAAUGUAUUUUCAUUCCAUGACACUUUCGGCCUUCAAGGUGGCCUCCUCGGCUUACAAGCCUUACCACAACCCAUUUGCAAAAACAAUUCCAAUCUUCAAACUUAUCUAAAAAGGAUGACAACUAGAUACCUCACAUAACCCAACAGUCCAGUAACUUCACUUUCAAUAGUUUCCACCGGGAUGAUAUACAAAAGGUCUCCAACUACCUAACAGUCCAGUAAAUUCACGUUCAAUAGUUUCCACCGAGGUGAUAUUCAAAAGGUCUCCAACUACCUUGUUAUACAUAGACAUAUGAAAACAUAAAAUACAUGUAGUACAAUGAUGGUAUACAUCAUCCUCAUAGCACGACCUAAUAUGAAUUACACUUAUGCAACCUCCAUUAUCAACUCAUCUAACAUCUUUAGAGGAAAGAGUUAAGAAUAACUCCUUCACCUUUCUAAACUCUAAAUCUCUACACGAACAGUCACACUGAACCAUUGAUGAUAUUUAACAAUCACCCUAGGAUGUGCUAUCAUAAACUGACGAUAAAAUUACCUAUCUAAUAUAUGGAAUCAUACAGGGAUACUUCUUCUUUGACAUGUUUGAACCUUCAAUACCCAAUAGAUCUAAUAAAGUAAGGAACAACAUUGUUCAAGAUUGGGCUUGGAAUUAUUCAGGAAUCCAUUUAAUGUGUUGUGCAGAGCAUUUGAUGAGGUUUUAUGCUUAGAUACAUGGAAGGUUACAACUAAAGAUACUGACAUGGUUAAUCAUUGUUAGGAUAUUAAUUAUUAGACAAAUAAGGGUUAGGGGUAAUUCGUACAUUAUCAAUAGGAACCAUCAAGGUGGAAUACUCAAGUACGCAAACCACUCAUUUCCUAGAGUGUAGGGAAAACCCGUUUAUCAAGAAUAAGAAUACUGCGGCACCUUGAAUGCGAUCGGGGUUUCAAGAUACAUGAAGUUAAAUUACACUCUUACUAUUACAUGACACACGAAAUCUAUGCCACAAGCCCAUGAGGAUGAUAUGAAGUUCUACACUUAUGAUAUCAUCAUAUUCUCAAACAACAUAACCCACCAUGACAAUUGAUCUUAUAUGAGAAAACUAAAGAUACGGCAACUUAGUCUUUCAAAUCAAUAUGCUCAUGAUAUGUGAAAAAAUCUAAAGACAUCUAAUCUCAACCUUUUACGAGUGAAAUCACCUAGCUAGGACAUCUAAACGGCGGGAUGAAAUCAUGUAUUGGUUAGAGGCGUUCCAAUGGUUAACAUGAUGUUCCAGGGAGAAAAACAAAUGCCACUCUUAUCCACUCAAGGAGGUGGAAUACCAAGGGUAGCAAAACUCCCCUCACAUGACAAUGAUAUAGUCAAUUAUUCUAGAAGUUGAGUGAGAAGAAAGCCAUGUAACCCAUCCAAUACGACCCAUUUAAGACUUUGGAAAAGGGUAUACACUUUGGUUUGAAAUUAUGGCAAUUUAAUCUCGAACUUUAAGGAAAAUCAUUACUUUUUUUUUAAAUCUAAGAACAAGCCCAGACCAUGUCACCUAUCCAGUCUGAGCUGUCUAAAACCUUUUGAAAAGGGGACACACCUUGAUUUUGAAAUCACGGCAAUAUAAACUUGAACUUAGGGGAAAUCAUUACCUUUGAAACCUGUGAGACAAUCCCAUGUAGCCCUAGAAAAUUGUCAACCAAUGGCAAGAAGGCACUUAAAAUCCUUACGAGUUGAUAUAGAACAAAGUCUCAAAGUGCCCACAUGGAUAAGUUUAAAAGAAUGAGCCAUCGUAAUGCAUUUAUCAGAGAUAUGUAACCUAGGUUAUCUAGUCAUAGGGACAAGCAAAGCAGGUAAAUGAUUUAUAGAAGAGCAUCUACAAGGAUUACCAGCAUUAUUUAUUUAUUCUAACAUAAGGAAUAUGUUGCCACCCUUGAUGCUAUUAGACUUUCUCUUUUAUGCCAUAAAACAUAAAAUGAGUUUAUUUAUAAUGAGAGUUAUCAGAUGAGAAUAGAUGGUAAGGCAACACAACUAAGAGCACCACUUGGAAUCGACAAGCUUAAACAACUGAAGGCAUUAGAAGCCUGUAGAAAAGGGAAAUAUGCCCACUCUCAUGGCUCUUGUAGAGUACAUAAAAGUGAGGUUAUUUAAAUCAGAUCAUAUCGUUGAAUAACUAGUCAAGACAUCAAGUUAAUAUCGCAUCGAAGAUUACGGGUAAACAACACACGAUGGAAGAUAAAUGAAAAGAAAGGGAAAGGGGUUUAUGAAAGUAACCUUUACAUUGUAACCACUAGGAUCGGUAGUAAUAUAAAGCGAUUAUAAGAAGCUACAUUUUUUGAAAGAAGAUAUAUCUAUGUAGUCACGUGAUGUAUAGCUCCAGAAUUCAAAAAUCCAAUUAUAUUUAGCAACUCUACUUCAUAAUGAAGCACAAUAACACAUUUCUACACAACCAGCUAUUACGAGCCAUAUUGAGAUAUGUUAUAAGGCAUGACCGAGAGAAAAGCUUUUACCUAUGAAUACGUGUCACUAGGUGUAUUUCUCCUUGGUCAACCCAUAACCUAUAGGUGGGAGUAGACUGAUAAGAAGGUCGUUGGACAAGCACAUGUGUAGAUAAUACAUUAUCGAGAUGAGAUCAUUCAGUCUCAGCAAUUGCGACAUGCUAUCAACCCUUGAUGAACUUGAAGUGAUAUGGGAACCCAAUGAGAUAGUAUAGAAUAAUCAUGGAGGGUUUGCUGAUGUUCUUAAUAUAUUUUAACUUGAGAACUACCUAGAUGCUAAUGAAAGACAGAAAAACAUGAGAAACCAUAACAACCCCAAAAGGUGUGCUUGGUCUUGACAGAAUGCCUAGUAAGGGUCCUUACGAUGCAGAGAGUGUAAGAAUGACUCAUAUAAGGAUAUGUUCUCUCAUGGUUAUCGAACAAGUGUGGGAAAACUAGCACAAUGAAUUCGCUAACUAAAGAACACAAUUAACACAUCUUAUAGAGGCGAAAAGAGGAUAUAAACAUUUCUCAUAAGUUGGACAUGCUUCUUCUAUAUUAGCUCCCAACUUCAAUAUACGACCAUGCCACGAGCAACCAUAAUACUAGGACAAGGUGAGCUACUUACUGCGGGAUGUCCCAAAUGGAUACGAAAGUUAUGGAGACACAUGAUCUUCCUAUGACGUGGAUACGAGGAUCUCAAUUUUUAGAGAGACUUUAUAUUCAUGCACUCGGUGACAAUUUCGAUUUACAUGCCCUCAUGUGAGGUGUUAAGGUACGCUCUUAUGUUACUAGGCAGUGAGAAGAGUUAAUGAUGAUGUUCGCACGAGAGUAGAUUGACUGUACAAACCAUAUAAGCCAUAUACACAACUAAGUAAAAGAGUGACUCGAGAUGUAUCCCAAUGCUGGGAUUCUUUGCAUGGAACUUGACACCACAUAGGUAAACUUUAUGACAGUGCAUAUAUAGGCACAAUCGAGUAGAUUUUGUCCAUUUAAAUAAAAAGAUUCUGUAAUAAAUCAAUCAGAUAUAAUCCCUUCGGGAGAAUUUUAGGAAAAGCAAGUGAGAAAUAUCAAUACUAGAGUUAUAACUCAGUUCAAGGGCAUAAUUAUAGAACUUAAUUCCACAGCAAUGUAAAUAAGAGAAUUCAUAAUAGAGUGUUUUUCACGAAUAAUGCAUCUCGUUAAAAGAGUCGAUACAGGGAAUGUUUUGUUAUUCAACACCUUAUUAAGACCAUGUUUAUGAGAAAUCUUCAAUAUCGAUGUACACAUACAAUGAGUAAAAAUCUUUAUUUGACUCCGUUAAUGACGUUAAGUAUAUAGGGAAAUAGCUUAAUUGAUACCCCUCGACUCCACAUCCUGACAUAUUUGGGUAACACACUGAUAUACUAAAUGAUCUGAUGGUGCAGAUACAUAUAAUGGGACAAGCACAUUCCCUUCUUAGAGAUAUGUUAUACCAAUCCAUCCAAGGCUCAAUAUAAUCUCCUAAUAAGUCCUUGGACAAUCCACUUGGACUCCAUCCCUCCUCUCAUGCUUCUAAUUCGCGGAUUAUGAUAUCAAGGUUACCAAUCUUGAGAAUAAGGCUUAGUGAGGAAAAUCACCUCCCUAACUUGAGCUCUAUUGCACGAUUUUUUUUUUGAGUCCACUAGGCAAUCGCCUAGGGUUAGUUUUCAAAAAUAAUAGGAAAAAAAUUACAACAAAUAGGAGAAGUAUAAUAAGGCGGAUUACACCAGUAAUGUCACCCAUAUAACACAGCCGGCAUAGACCUUACCUUAGUUAUCCUAUUGAGGCAAAUAAAAGCCUCCUGAACUAGCAAGCAUGCAAAAAGAAAGAACUCGCAAGAACUAAGAAAUUAAUGAUCAUCACAGAGUUUAUAACAUGCUCUGUGAUGAUAUUACAAAGGAUAAUACUAAUGUGAUGGUAAAAUAAACAGAUGAAGAAGACAUAGAGAUGCCCCUUUUUUUCUUUUGAUGUGAAAAUUUCGAUUUGUAGAGUGAUGUCUUCUUCCACAUAAUUUUUCAAGAAUUCUUCAAAGUACAUGCUUUAUUCUUGAGACGAUUGGAUUUUGGGUGUGUUGUUGAGGGACCUAUUUUUGUUUCGCAGAUCUCAUUGGGGGCCUCCUUAUGUUUACAUAUUCAAACUCCCUGCCGUCCCAACUUCUUUCCCUUUGAUGAGACUUCUUAUUUCUUGCACUAUGCAUUGGUGACAAAUCUCCUUUUGUUGAAGCGUCUGCUCGGCAUUGGUUUAUGAAAUCCUCUUCUUCCCCUUCUUCAUAAAUAUGUCUUCCUGCCAAAAUUGUAUUUGGUAACUCUUGAAAAACGCCUUGAGUUGUAAAUUGUACUUUAUUGAUAACUGCAUUUUUUUUGUUUUUGCGCUUUGUUCCUGUUCAUGACAGAGCUACCAGAAGUAGGAUUAGUGUCUGUAUUUACCAUCGCUUCUAAUAGUUGUCUUUCUUCGGACGAAAUUACUAAAGCAGUUGUGACGAGCUGCCCCGCCUAUGACCAUACUACCGUAUUGCUAUCAGCAGUAAGAGAGUUAGAUGGAAUAUUUGCAUUCCUUUGCUGCUUCUGAUUUGAGAGCAGAGUUUGCGUCAUGACAUCCGAACAUUUUCUGUCCUCUAUAUUAGCGAGUGGUUCUGAUGUAUUAGCCUGAUUCUGGCUUGUUGAUGGCAGCAUUGUUGGGAUUGGAUUAACAACUGAUGAUUGGACUGAGUUAGGUUGACGAUUAUGAGCUGAUUCAUUUUUGUUGAACUGUGAUGUCGCUACAAUUGGACUAGUUGUUUUAGCAUUAUUUCUUGGAACAAACACUGGAGCAUUAUGGUUUAAUCUGCUGUUUGGAGUUUCUGUUUACUUCGAAAUUGCACGACAGUUCUUAAUUGUAUUUUUCUUUGACAUUUUUGCUUGGCUGAACCAUCACUGUCCUCUUCAGUACUAUCCUUCUCACAUUCUUGGUCAUCUUCUUCCCAUGAAAACCAGCGAGUCCGUCACCCAAGCUCUCCUCAUCAUCAUAAUCUCGUUGGUCUUUCCAGAAUUUCGAUUUAAUGACCAAGUCCCUACUCUUUGUCACAGUAGGAGUAUAUAUGGUUGGAAAACUUUUAAGUUUGGACUGUAUUUGCAUACUUGUAGCAGUAACAUUAGUUGUAGCCUCUGUAUUCUUAGAUGAAUUCUGACUGACAUUGGCCAGCACGGCAAAUGAGUUUGAAAUUGAAGGUAAAGCUGGAUUGUUUUCUGCGAUCUAGAUUUUAUUUUUGGAUUUAGGAGAUAUUGCUUUGUUGGCCAUCGAUGACCAUUUCCCCUCUUCCCUUGUGUGUUAACGACUGGCAGAAGAUUCUAUAGCAGAAUUUGCUUGAGCUAAUGCAGUAUUGGAGACAACAUUAGCAGCUGUACUUUCAUUCACUGCUUCAAGUGUGUCAAUCUGUGAUGCAGGUCCAUGUUCUUUUUGAAAUGUCCAGUUGGCUAAGGGUGAGUUUUUAUUUACCCCAUUACAUUCUGCAGUGAUGUUUGAAGCAUCAAGCAUUUUUUGCAAUGUCGAGUUCUCCCCUAGUUGAACCUGGGAAACAACAGAGUUUGUAACAGCUUUGGCAGGAUUCAGAGCCUCCAAAUUUGUAUCAUUUCCUUGACACAACAUUGUACGUCUUUUAUUGUUGCAAUUGUGUAACCAAUGUUGCUUUUCAAACACCAGAUGAUCAAACCUGUUUGACUUAUGAUUUGCAGCCUCAGUUGAUGCAUCAAUCACGUCUUAUACCACUUGUUCACUUAGAACACUGGAUGGUACAGUAGGUGUAUUUUGACACAGCUACUCUAUAUCAACAUUCGACAUUGAAUGAACUUCUACAGCUGGAAUAACUGGAACAGAAUCACUAAAUUGUCCUGCAUCACCAGUUACAAUAUGAAGAAUCCCAGCCAAAUUUGACCCUAGUUGUUCACUGUGAGCAUUGGCUGGAUUUUUACAUAUUUGUGCAUUAUCACCAGUGGGCAUUGGAUGAACUUGUAUAGCUGGAACAAUUGGGACAGAUUCAAUAUAUGCAUCAAUAGGUUUUGGCACUGUCAAGUUCUCCCCUAGUUGCACAUGGGAACAGUAUGAUUUGCAACAGCUUUGGCAGGAUCAAGAACCUCUAAAUUAGUAUCAUUUCCUUGACUUAACAGAGUCAUAUUGUUACACAUAUGUAACACAUGAUGUUGUUCACACUCCAAUUAUUCAUUUCUGCUUGCAUUAUGAUGUGCAGCCUCAACAGAUACACCUUUAAAUUUACACAGCACCUGUUCAGUUGGAGCAUUCAAAUUGAAUGGAACAGUAAAUGAAUUUUUACACAACUGUGGUAUAUCAGCAUUUGGCAUUGAAAGAGAUUCUGUAGCUUGAAAAGUUGGAGCAUAAUUCAUAUUCUGUCCUGCAUCAGUAGUCUCAUUAGGAAGAGCCCCAGCCAAAUUUUACAACAUCUGUUCAUUUUGAACUUUCAAAACAGAAGAACACAAACAUCAUUCAGCAUUGAAUGAACUUCUGCAGGGGGAACAAUUGGAUCCAAAACAGUUUGUCCUGCAUAUGCAGUUACAGUAGGCAGAAUCCUUUCACUGCUUCGUGCUACACGAUUAGCAUUUAGGAAUUCUCUGGCAUCACCUCUUACUUUUGUCAAACUUCCCCGACCUUCAGAUUCUCGAUUAUGACAUGCUUGUUCAUUACAAUCAUCUGAACUCCAACGACACGAUUUUACAUCAUGACCUUGAUGAUUACAAUAGGUGCAGUAUUUAGGAAGGUUAUCAAAGACGAUCCGCUGGUCGUAUUCGACAAUUUUCUCAUAUUUGAUAUCAACUAUCUUGAUCUUUACUUUCUUUGGAUAGUUGUCUAAUAAAUUAAUCAAGACUUUUACUCGUGCCGUACUAGGUCUCGUUCGAUCUUUAGUAGCCAUAUCUACUGCUAGAGGGUUUCCUACUGCAGCAGCGAUUGACAGUAAGGAUCUUUUUGCGAAGAAAUUUGCUGGAAGUUCAGGAAAGGAAAUCCAAACGACAGCUUUUGACGUUUCUUCACGUGGAUUAAAUCCCAUUGUCCAUGGGAAUAUCCUGAAGAAGUAGUUGUCUCCUUUCGCCUUAACAUAGCCUGUUUUUCUUGAAACGACAUUUGCAAAAUCUUCAAAUAGAUCAAAUCUUACCAGAAUAUGUCAAUAUUCUAGCUGCCCAAUAUUGCAAUUACCUUUGACAUCGAGUUGCUUCGGUAAGAUCUGUCUCAACUUCUGAAGCUCGGGUUUUUCAUACGAGAAUUUAAUCACAACUGCUUGUUGAAGACCUUCCUCCUUGGUGAAUGAAUUCACUUCGUCUACUCGAGAAUUUAAUCACAACUACAUGUUGAAGACCUUCCUGCUUGGUGAAUGAAUUCACUUCGUCUACUGUGAAUUCAACACUAGGUAUUCCAUUCUUUACCGUUACUGGACAGAGUUCAAAAUUCGAUUUUGUUGCGGCAGAAUGCUUUCGAACAAGUUGUGAUGCAUAAGACUUUUUUGGAUUUUGAGCUGUUUGAUUUUCCGAAUGAUUUUGAUUUUCCUUUCCCACAGCACAGAGCUGGGGAGAGGGUGAAACUUCCAUAGUUGCGAUGAUCGUCAACCAGGAUCCAUCACUAACAUUCUGUCGGAGAGAAUGAAAGUGCUACAGUAAAUCAAAAAAAAAGAUUUAAGAUGUAGGAAGAUUGGCUAUAGAUUUGAGGAGAAAAUCUAUUGGGGAUUGUUCGCAAAGAGAAGGGGAUGUAUUGACACCAAAAUUGUGGCAAUCCACGACCGGAAUCCGGUGAUUUUUCCGAUGAAUAGUGACGGAGUACUAUUCACAGAAUAGUAUCGCUGGGAGAGAAACAAAAUAGUGACCUAUGGCACGAUUGGAGUACCAAAGAAGGGUGAAAUUACUAAAUAUCCAAAUAGCCCUCAUAAUCUGAGGAGCACGACUGACGCUCAACCGAGUAAACCCGACUAAGCAAACCUGACAGGUUUCAUACGUGCUACCCAACCCAACUCAUAAUUAAAUAAGAGAUGGACUCCAUUAAUCAUACUUAGUAAGUAUUUUAUUAACAAUUCCAUUUUUUUCCAUUAGUUUCUUAAAUCAUAAAUAUAAAACUAUUAUAAGAUUUGUAAAUCGUUGCCAAACAUCAAUAUUUCAAUCUUAAUUGCAAUAACCGACUCUACCUACAACAUGUCUACAGAGCCUCUAUAUACAACUAACAAAUAAUAUAGAAAUGUCGUUAACAAGGCUCUAGAUAUACCUUAGACAAAUACAGAAAAAGGGACUCCGGGAAGAAUAACGGCAUAAGCCACGCAGGGCCCCGAGGGGAAAGAGGCUCACCAAUACCUUAGACAAUCACUACACCAUCAAAUACAAAUAAGGGAUAAUGUAGCUUUCACACAAUUUCCUUAACUUUAGUUUCGGGCAAUCCUUUCAUAUGUUCAUCACCGUUCUUAAUACCACCGCUAUCUUGAGCGUAGUCCGAUCAUCACCCGACCGGCUAGUUCACCUCAUUGGAGGCAUAUAUCUCAAUAACUAUUUAAUUUACCAUAUCCGAAAUUCAAUAUCAGCACCGUACCACCAUGUGUGUGGCAAGGUGUCCGAUCUCAACCUGAUCGGCUAGGUCACCUUACCUAGACAUUAUCCCUUUCUUAUUAGUCACCACAUCCAAAUUUUUAUUUCACAUGCAUCAUAUCAAUUCCUUGGCACUUAGGGACAACAUUAUCACAUCGUACUUGGAACUAGGUCAUAUUUCACUACUCAUUCCACAAUACAUUAACUUCCAACAACAAACUUACGAUUUAAAAUUAUGUGCAUACACAAGAAAGUUUCUAAGUUAUAAGCAUAGAGAGGAAUUCUCAUGAUUUGGCACAACAAUCACAAUUUAAACUUGAUUUGAAAUUUAGGCAAUUUAGCAUAUACUUCACAUUCUUCAAUCUCAAUCUAUUGUCUAAGCAUUUCAAUACAUGAUUCACAUUCCUUGCACAUUUUCAAGUUAUCAAGAAUAGCACAUUGAUCACAUUGGAAUGCAUCCUUCACAAAUAUAAAGUCAUUGAUAAUAGAUGGUGUGCUAGUAAAACUUGGAAGGAGGAACGAUGACUAAAUACACAUUUGUCACAUUGUAAUGCAUCCUUCACAAAUAUAGGGUCACAACACUAAUUCAUAUAAACUAUCAAUCAAAGAAAGAAUCCAAGGUUCAGUCUUACCACAUUUACACAAGCAUCGAUAUAGCUCAAUUUCUAAAAGACGGGGUUUUAGUCAUACAUACCUUUCUUGAGCUUUCCCUCAAUUAUUACGAUAUUCUGAAAAUUCUAUCAACUUCAAUCUAUUUUUAGACAUAGCAAAACUGAACACAAAUUAGGAAUAUAUUCAUAAUUCUAGCUCAUUUGAGCAUUUUAUCAAAUACUAGUUGAGCAUCUUGAUACAAAUCCCCUUUUUCAAGAUUUCCUUCAUUCACUAACCCAAUCUUUACUUAUUUAUGUUAAACAAUCUUCUACAUAAACCUAAGUUGUACAUACAUGUAUAUGCGAUGCUAAUAUACCGAAGUAUCAUAUCUCAAUAACCCAUCUUUUACACCGAACUCGAAAUUAAAACAUAGGGUAUAGAAUCGUACCUUUUAGAUGAAGAUCUUGUGAUUGGGUUCUUUGAUUCUUGAAGAUUGCUGCAAGAUUUGGAUUAUUUAAAUGUUGGGUCCCUCCUUCUCCCUCUUAUCGCCUCUCACAUCUCUCUAAAAUCAGCAAGAAAUGACCGCCAAAAUGAACCCUAAGGCCUAGCAUAAUGCACCGCACAAUUGGUGUCCAAAACUAGGCUACACUGGUCCAAUUUGCGACUUGAUUUGCGACCGUGGAUCAAAAAUGCGGACCACAUAAUGGAUAUUGAGAUCGCAGAUCUGAUAUGACACAGGAUUACAUUUUCCAGCCUUUAGUAAUUUGAUUAUAACGUUGUGUAGGAAUGUCAAAAUGACAAAUGGCUUGAAGCUUUAGAAACUAGACUCAAAGACCUUUCAUAUAAUAGGUUGUUAAUCACAUAAAAUAUUAUACAUAUUUAGAUAUGAUCGUUUAAAUUGGAUUCUUGUGCGAAUCCAUUUGAAAUUUUAGCCUAUUACAAAAAUUUUCGCAUUUGGUAUACACUUAGGCUUCUAUUUGGACCUCACAUCACUUACCAUAGGACUUAUACUCAUAUUCACCAAGUCCAAUUGAUGUCAACCAUGUUAAUAGCACACAAAAUCUAAUAAUUAGCCUAUCUGGCACCAUGAAAUCCUAGAUUACUUAGCGAAAUUUUCCGGGACUUACAUCUGGGUACUCUCCUUUUGCCAAAUAUUCCUUGAUAUCAUGAAACCAAGGCUUUCUAUCUGCUUUUUCUUCAGCAUGAGCAUAAUAAGCUAGCUGAUCGUGGAUCUUUACUGGAAUGGGAUCAAUGAUGUCCUUGUCUAGAUGUUGUAGCAGAUGAUUGGGUAGUCAAUGCAUCAACGAACAUAUUCUGGACUCUGAGAACAUGUUGGAAUCCUGUCUUUGUGAAUCUCUUUCUCAACUCCUGUACAUGAUGCAAAUACGGGAGUAUCUUGGAGUUUUUGGUUGCCCAUUCUUCUCAGACCUGAUGUAUAAGUAGGUCUGAAUAGAUCACUAGCAACUCUUGAAUGUUCAUGUCAAUAUCCAUCUUGAGCCCUAGGAUGCGGGCUUCGUACUCGGCCAUGAUGUUGGUGCAAGGGAACCUGAUCUUGGCAGACCCUGGAUAAUGUUGGUUGAUUUUAGAUACUAGGACCGCUCCUAUGCCAACUCCUUUGAAAUUUGCUGCUCCAUCAAAAAACAUUCUCCAACCAUCAUAGGAUUCUGCAAUAUCUUCUCCUAUGAAUGAUACCUCUUUGUCAGGAAAAUACUUUUUUAGGGGUUCGUAUUCUCGGUCCACGGGAUUUUCAGCAAGGUGUUCUGCUAGUGCAUGUCCCUUGAUUGCCUUGUAACUUACAAAGACAAUAUCAAAUUCACUCAACAGGAUUUGCCACUUGGCUAGCUUUUCGGUGGGCAUGGGCUUCUGAAAGAUAUACUUCAAAGGAUCCAUCCUUGAUAUGACAUAUGUAGUAUAAGCACAGAAAUAGUGCCUCAGCUUCUGGGCUAACCAAGUCAAAGCACAACAGGUGUACUCCAACUGUGAAUACCGGGCCUCAUACGCGUGAACUUCUCACUGAGGUAAUAGAUGGCAUGCUCCUUCCUCCCCAUUUCAUCAUGCUUCCCCAGAACAUAACUGGAGUUGAGGCCUAAAUGAGGUACAGACCUCAAAAAUACAAUCAAAACAUGCCCCUAAGACCAAAAUCACCCAACAGAGCUAACAAAAUUGACGAAAUUCCAUUUUAGAGCGUUUUCACACUGUUCUGACUGCGGUCUAAGUUAUAAGACAUAAGCUAAACGAAUCAUUUCGGCAAAUCACAAUAGCAGAAUUAGAUACGGGGGAAGUAGUUAUUAAGGAAUCGGGGCGUUAAUUCUCGAAACGACCGGUCGAGUCAUUAUACUCUCCCCCUGUUGAAACAUUUCUUCAUCCUAGAACGAGCAUAUAAACAUAAAUGAAAUAGUAAAAAGAUGGGGAUAACGGCUACGCAUAUCCUGCUCGGUCUCCCAAGUCGCCUACUCGACCGGCUGACCCUGCCACUAAACCUUUACUGAUGCAAUGUUCUUUGACCUCGACUUUCAAACCUGCCUGUCCAAUAAUGACAAUUGCUCCUCAACAUAGGAUAGAUCCUUGUCCAACUGUUCAAAGCUGAAACCCAAUACGUGAGCUGGAUUACUAUGAUACCUCAGGUGUCACGCCACAAAUUCCUGGGCAUGACCGUCACUCAACCGGGUAUCCCCACUCGAGUGGACCUGGGUGCCUUUCCUAUUCCUCACGCAUUACCCCACAUUAUUCAAUGAUAGUUAACCAAAAUAUACCAAAUUUCAAUUAAAAGAACGUAGGAUUUUUCUUUUAUAGCCACACAUUAUGAUUAACAGAGAACAUCUUUUACAAAACAUAUAUUUGAUUAGCAAGGUAUGUGGUACACAAGAUUACAACGCCCAAACAUACACUUUUAUACAUAAGUCAUGACCCACAUACCACUGUCUAUGGAGCCUCUACGAGAAUGAUAGUACAACACUUGCCUGUGAGAAGGCCCCUACUAUACCUUUACCAAAAGAUACAAACUCCAAAAUACAACAACAGGCGUGGCGUAGGCCACACAUGGCCCAGAAGGAAGGGGGCUCACUCGGCUAUACCUUUACCAAAAGAUAGAAACUCCAAAAUACAACAACAAGAGUGGCGUAGGCCACACAUGGCCCCAGAAGGAAAGGGGCUCACAAAACACGAAUACUGCCGAUAGAGAGGAGGGGGAGGAGCUACGAAUGGUGGACUGGAGUGCCUGCCACGGAUCCACCUACAAUCAUAACAUGAAUGUAGCGCCCCCGGCAAAAGGGACGUCAGUACACUUGAAUUGUACUGGCAUGUACGAAAUAACUCUGUCCCAAGUAAACUCAAGCCAAAUUGCAUGAAUAAGUAUAGAACUGAACAACAAUAGUACAAGUACAACCAGGAAGAAACAACCAAACAUUUCACAACAAUUAUUCACGUAGUCAUACAAAGGGGCAAUCAAUGCCCCAUAGGUUACAAACUCUCCUGCUGUCUCCUUUCACAUUUUAACAUUUAUCACUUUAUGAUUCAUAUUCACAUCGAUAGUGAUACUGGAUCACAUUUCCACCCUCAUUGUCUCGUCAACCCUUAUUACCUCGGCCACCCUUAUCAUCCCAACCCACACCUUAUUUCACCGUGUUGUGGCGCGUAACCUAAACCCACCCGACAGUUUUGAAUUCACAACAACAAACAGCACAACAACAUGUACAAGAAAUCAACAAUGACGCUUUGUUAGAAUAAUUCCACAACAAGGGUAUUAAAAUCCCACAACUAGCAACACCAAUUUCCUCAUUUUUAUCAAAGUUGAUACACAAUUAGAUCAUCACAACAGCCAUUCACAAUUAAUGACACGCGUUGUUCCACAACAUUUCCAUUUCCACUAUUCCACAUUAUUUCCAUUCCCACUAUUCCACAUUAUUUCCGUUUCCGUUGUUCCAAUUACAAGUUCCACAACAUUCACCACAAGGUACUACCACACAAUUUGUACAAUAAUUAUUUCCAUUCCCACUAUUCCACAUUAUUUCCGUUUCCGUUGUUCCAAUUACAAGUUCCACAACAUUCACUACAAGGUACCACCACACAAUUUGUACAACACGAAAGCUUCAAAAUUGUUUUCAUAUAAAUAUCAGCUAUCAACAAUUUCACAACUAGCAUAGGCUAUUUCACGAGGAUCACAGUUAGCCAUACAUACUUGAAAUUGAAUAUGCUCUUUAACCUCUACUCCAAUUCAUCAAGCAAUCAAGAAGGAUCGAUCUAGUUCAUGAUUAAUACAUAGACCUUUAGAAUAGGAACUCACAAUUUACUACCCAGUUCCCUUUUUUCAAGAUUUUUGGGUUUUGAAGACAUGCAUGUGGAUUUCUAACAAGAAUUUUUAAAAUCAAUGUAUGAAACUCCCUCCCCAAACCUGAGUUCGAAAAUUAGGGGAAAAGGGUUAGGGAUUGUACCUUGAAAUCAGAGGGGAAGGAAAAUGCUCAAGAUUUUCCAGGCUUUGAUAAUUUUUGAAAGAUCAAUUGAUGAAGAAAUAGCUUUCUCUCUCUAGAACCCUCUCUUCCCCUCUCUUAUUUUGUUCAGAAAAUGGGUUAAAAAUGAGAGAUGGGGUGUUUUAUUAAAAGAGGGGUCAGGCUUAGAUGUUUAGAAAAUAACUGAGCGAACAUGCCCUGAGACGCCUAUCUGCAAUCGCAAAACUGACAUGUGGUACGCAGAAUGGACCGCAGAAAUGGCUCAAGUUUCAAACCUCUCGGGUUGGGAAUACGGUGACUAUGCGGUCUGCAUUUGCGUUCUGCGGUUGCAGAAUGCACCGCAGAACUGACCUUUGAAUUUCUUCAGGGACAAUAUGCGAUCACUCUGCAAUCCGCAUAUUGAUUAUGCGAUCGCAAAUUUGAACGCAUUUUCAACAUUAAUAUUUGGUUGCUCUCUGAGUCAUUCUGCGGUAGGAAUGCAGUCCGCGUAGCUUAUCGGCGACCGCAUUCUGGACCGCAUUUUGACACUUUUCUGAAAAAGUUAAUUCUUUCAGUUUAUAAAGGCUUAAAUCACUACCAAGGGUCCGAAACUCUACACAUUCAUAACGCAUAAUCAGAGAGACACCACAGUUUACUAAGUUCUGAGAAAAAAUUAUUUACGGAACCUUACAUUCUCCCCCGCUUAAGAUCAUUCGUCCUUAAUUGAGAACAUUGGAAAUAACGAGUUGGAAAACAUGAUAUGCAAGUUUCUACACCUUUUAUUAACUUUAAACUCUAUUUUAGAAAAAUUUCUCCAGAGUUUCCUUUGUCAUAUGGACAUAACCACCUGUAAGAGAAUCCCCAAAAUACGUUCCUAAGAACCAUUAUACAACUUGCUACCUUUACAACAGUUAUAAAAUGCAAAAUUCUCAUACUUGCACAUAUUCAACCCCUCGACACACUUCUAGCCAUUUUGGCACAUUACAUGGAAUCAAAUUAAGCAUUAAUUAUCGGUACUAUCAAAACUGUUUACCUGACGCAUAAGUACGACACAGUUAUUUCUCUCAAUGCAAAUCCUCCAUGAAAAAACUAAUCAUUAUACAAUUAGAAAACUUUGAUACUCUCAAUCCAUGCAAGAUUAAUCAUUGGCUCUUACAUCACCUUAUCACGAGAGCACAAAACCUUCAUUACCAAAAAGGACUGCACAUUGUUCAAAUAAUCACGUCACAUAAAUUUUGUUAGCACAACUUGGAGAACUACCAUAAUAAGGCACUUGGAAAGAGAAGGGAUGACUCUUACACCAAAUGGAACACAACACUAGCUUCCCUAGGGACAAGAUUCACACGAUCAUUCCUAGCUUAUUCAAAUAGAUUGGGGUAUUUCGUCUUCAUCUCAUCUUCUGCUUCCCACGUGGCUUCCUCGACUUGUUGGUUUCGCCACAACACUUUGAAUGAAGCAAUCUCCUUGUUCCGCAACUUUCGGACUUACCUAUCCAAAAUAGCAACCAGAAUCUCUGCAUACAACAACUCUUCUGUAACCUUGAUGUAUUCAACUAGCACAAUCUUAGACAGAUCACCCACAACUUUCCUUAACAUGGAUACAUGGAACACCGGGUGCACUAGGGAUAUUUCAGGAGGCAACUCCAAUCUAUACGCAACUUGACCGAUCAUUCGAAGGACUUGAUAAGGCCCGAGUACCUAGGACUUAGUUUUCCUCUCUUCCCAGAGUGCAUGACUCCUUUCAUAGGGGACACCCUCAAGAAUACCCAAUCUCCUUCUUGAAACUAUAACUCUCUCUGACGCACAUCCGCAUAAGAUGUCUUGCGACUCUUGAAUGACUCUUACCUUCUCCAUGGCCUGAUGCACGAGAUCUGGCCCUACUAGUUCCGCUUCGCCAACUUCAAACCACCCAAUCGGGGACCUACACCUUAGUCUGUACAAUACUUCAAACGGGGCCAUCUGGAUGCUAGCAUGGAAGCUGUUAUUAUAAGCAAACUCUAUAAGAGGCAGGUGAUUAUCCCAAUUACCCUUGAAAUCCAAGACACAUGCCCGCAACAUAUCCUCGAGCGUCUGAAUAGUCCGCUCUACCUGGCCAUCGGUCUGCGGAUUAAAAGUUGUGCUAAGAUUCACUUGAGUACCCAAGCCUUGCUGAAAUUUCCUCCAGAAGUUAGCUGUAAACUGAGCUCCUCGAUCCAAAAUGAUAGAAAAAAUUUUCCGCUCUUCUUGACCAUCGGUCUGCGAAUGAAAAGUUGUGCAAAGAAUCACUUGAGUAGCUAAACCUUGCUGAAAUUUCCUCCAGAAGUUAGCUGUGAACGGAGCUCCUCCAUCCGAAAUAAUAGAAACCGGUGUACCAUUAAGCCUCACUAUCUCCUUGAUAUACAAUCGAGCAUAUUGUUCUGCAGUAUCAGUGGACUUGACUGGCAAGAAGAUAGCUGAUUUGGUGAGCCUAUCCACAAUUACCCAAAUUGAGUCGAAAUUGUGCUGAGUACAAGGUAGUUCUGUCACGAAGUCCAUAUUGAUCAUUUCCCAUUUCCACAUCGAUAUCUCUAUAAGCUGAGUUAACCCUCCCGUCCUUCACUUGCUGGAAAUUCAGACACUUAGAGACGAAAACUGCUACACUCUUCCUCAUACCUCUUCACCAAUAGGUAUCCUUGAGAUCGUGAUACAUCUUCGUAGAUCCCGGGUGCACUAAAUACCUGGAAUGAUGAGCCUAUGCCAUUAUCCCCUCCCAAAGAUUAUCCACGUCUGGGACACACAGCCUGUCAUGGCACUGUAGCACACCAUCAUCGCUGCUGAGUGAAAAUGCAAAAAUUCUGUUGAUUAGAACUGCCUCCUUCAACUGUGCCAAUGCUGGAUCAACAAACUGCUUUUCUUUAACCUCUGCCACGAGUGACGAUUCUGCUGUAUUAUGCACCAUCAGUUCCUCCUCAUUCGUGGCCGAGAUACAAACCCCAAAGCUUGCCAACUGAUGUAUCUCUUGAGCUAGGAGCCUCUGAUCCUCCCUCAAGUGAGCCAAACUACCCAUGGAUUUCCACUGAGGGCGUCAGCCACCACGUUCGCUUUCCCUGGAUGGUACAAGAUGCUAUAUCAUAAUCCUUAAGCAAUUCGAGCCACUAGCCUAAAGUUUAGCUCCUUCUGCUUGAACAAAUACUGGAGACUCUUGUGAUCUGAAAACACAUUUUACGUGAACCCCAUAAAGAUAAUGCCGCCAUAUUUUCAAGGCGAACACAACUGCUGCAAGCUCCAAAUCAUGCGUCUGAUAAUUCUUCUCGUGAUUCUUGAGUUUCCUGGAAGAAUAUGCUAUGACCUUACCGUGUUGCAUCAGAACACACCCUAAACCAACCCUGGAGGCAUCACAAUAAACCACAAAUCCCUCAGUGCCCUCUAGAAAAUCCAACAUUAGUGCCGAAGUCAACCUUAUCUUCGGUUCUUGAAAACUUUUCUCACAAGUAUCUAACCACUGGAACUUGACUGAUUUCUGCGUCAAUUUGGUUAAUGGGGAGGCGAAGGUGGAGAAUCCCUCUACAAACCUCCGAUAAUACCCUGCUAACCCCAAAAAGCAAUGGAUCUCCGUCGGGGCCAUGGGUCUUGGACAAUCCUUCACCGCCGCAAUCUUUUGGGGGUCCACCUGAAUCGCCUCACUGGAAAUAACAUGACCCAGAAAUGCGACGGACUCCAACCAAAAUUAACAUUUGGAAAACUUGGCAUAUAUUGGCGCUGAUGAAGAGUCUGUAAAACCGCUCUGAGGUGAUUGGCAUGAUCCUUCCUGCUUCGCGAAUAUACGAGGAUGUCGCCAAUGAACACAAUCACGAAGGAAUCUAAGAAUGACUUGAAAGCCCGAUUCAUACGAUCCAUAAAAGAUGUCGGGGCAUUGGUUUGCCCAAAAGACAUGGCCAAAAAUUCUAAGUGGCCAUAACGAGUUCUGAAGGCGGUCUUAGGAAUAUCCUGCUCCUUGAUCUUCAAUUAGUAGUACCCCGACCGCAAAUCAAUUUUUGAGAAUAACCUUGCACCUUGCAAUUGAUCGAACAAAUCAUCUAUCCGAGGCAAAGGGUACUUAUUCUUGAUGGUGACUUUAAUAAGCUACCGAUAAUCAAUACACAUCCGAAGAGACCCAUCAUUCUUUCUGACAAAAAGAACCAGAGCACCCCACGGUGACACACUUGGCCGGAUAAACCCCUUCUCCAAUAGAUCCUUCAAUAGCUCUUUGAACUCCCGCAACUCUACCGGUGCCAUUAUGUACAGGGGAAUAGAUAUUGGCUGGGUAUCCGGCAAUGCAUCAAUCACGAAACAACUCUGGCGUUGCCAUUCUGUACGGGGAAAUAGAUAUCGGCUGGGUAUCCGGCAAUAUAUCAAUCCAGAAAUUGAUCUCCCUAUCUGGCGGGAUCCCUGGAAGCUCAUCUGGAAAUACCUUAAGGAACUCUUUCACAACUGGCACGGACUCGGGGGCAGGAACCUCUGGAGUAGUGUCCUCCCCCCGGACUAAAUGAAAAAUACACCCUUUUCUGAUCAUCUUCAAAGCCUUGAGGUAGGAAAUAAACUUACUCCUCAGCACAACACCAUUUCCCUUCCAUUCAACAACCGGCUCAUUAGGGAACUCGAGUCUCAUGACUCUCGUCCGGCAAUCAAGCUUAGCGAAGCACGAAUAGAGCCAAUCCAUCCCCAUGAUUACAUCAAAAUCCACCAUCCCAACAAGCUUUGCGAAACACGAAUAGAGCCAAUCCAUCCCCAUGAUUACAUCAAAAUCCACCAUCCCAAUCUCAAUAAGGUCGACUGUGGUAACGCAAGCACCUACCAUAACAACACAAUUCCUAUAGACCUGUGUGGCUGAAAUGGAAUCGCCCACCGAAGUUGAUACAGAGAACGACUCAAGAAGCUGUUCGGGUUCAAUCCCAAAACUCAAAGCAACAAAUGGAGUGACAUAGGACAANNNNNNNNNNNNNNNNNNNNNNNNNNNNNNNNNNNNNNNNNNNNNNNNNNNNNNNNNNNNNNNNNNNNNNNNNNNNNNNNNNNNNNNNNNNNNNNNNNNNNNNNNNNNNNNNNNNNNNNNNNNNNNNNNNNNNNNNNNNNNNNCAGCAAUCAACUGUCUGAACAGAUAAGAUACCUGUGACAACAUCUGGGGAAGCCUCAGCACUCUGACGGCCACUCAACGCAUAAAACAUGAUGGGUCCUCCCCUACCAAAAGCUCCACCUUUGGCUGCACCACUCCCUGCUGAGGUUGGAGGGUGCACUGAUGACGUAGCAACUGAUGAAUUAGAGGGAUGAGCAUGGCCCCCACCCGUGCCCUGCCUUGUACAUGGCAGUCUCACUGCAUAUGACCUCUCACUCCACAACUGUACCACACUGGAGCAUCUAAGUAACAAGCCUCUGUAUGAAAUCUCCCACACUUGGGGCAUAUACCCCCUGCUGUCGAGGUCUCAUCCCCAAAUGACUGAACUGGCGGGACCUCCUACUACCUGAACCUGGCCCCGAAGUCCACUCUUCUAGGAACGGUGCACGGAUGGCGGUGCAGUAACUGAGGAGUGAGCAUAAGACUAAGACGGUCCUGAUAACCUCGAAUGACUGAACUAGCGGGACCUCCUGCUGCCUGAACAUGGCCCCGAAAGUCCACUCUGCUGGGAACGGUGCAUGGAUGGCGGUGCACUAACUGAGGACUGAGCAUAAGGCUGAGACGGUCCUGAUAACCCUCUCCCUGGAGCUGACCACCCUAAGUGACCCAUAGACCGGGCCCUGCUGCUACUCUCCCUGUCGGACCGAAUCUUCAACUUUCUGGCCUCUGUGGCCCGAGGAAAACCCAUGAUCUUUCCAUAAUUCAUGUCUGAAUGCAAAGCCGCUGUUGUAGCUUCAUUUACCACCAAAGCGCUGAGACCCUGAACGAAUCGCCGAACUCUGGCCUCCAUAGUCGAUACCAACUGAGGAGCAUACUUGGACAACCUCAUUAACUNNNNNUGAGACCCUGAACGAAUCGCCGAACUCUGGCCUCCAUAGUCGAUACCAACUGAGGAGCAUACUUGGACAACCUCACAAACUCCAUAUGAUAUUCCCAAACACUCAUUCUACCCUGCUUAUGAACUUCAAACUCGGUGGCACGGGCUUCCAUGGUCUCGGCAUGCAAGAAAUGGUCCAUGAAGGCAUCUAAAAACAUCUCCCAUCUAGCUGGAGGGCUCCCCUCCUCACGGUAAUCCUCCCAUAUCUCAAACCAUGAACGCGCAGCUCCCUUCAACCUGUAAGAAGCCAAUUCUACCCCUUCUAUCUCUGUUGCAUUCAUUACCCGAAGGAUCUUGUACAUCUCAUCAAGGAAUUCCAAUGGAUCGGCCUCUAAGCCUAUAUCUGAUAACUCUGGAGGGGACAACAGCAGAAACUGAUAAACUUUGGAGCUGGAAGAAUCUCCCUGUCCACUGGAGGACACAGGGGCAUCAUGAGAUCUCUGGGACUGAGCGCCCACUAAGUGGGUCAGCAUACGGAUAGCUCCCCAAAGGUCUCCAUCAGAAAGGCCGGGAUCGGAAGCCUGAGCAACAUCAGGAUUAGGGGCAUUGGCAUGAGGGAUAGUGGCACCCUCGGCCGCUGCUGGAACAGGAUUGCUUGGGCUAGGAACCGAUGGAGCUUACAAGUUCAGAAUUGUGGGAUCAUUCUCCCCCACGACAGUCGGCACAUGAUCCACAACCGCACUAGAAGAGGCAUUGGCCCCUAGACCGAGUCUAGCUUUCUUCUUAGGUGCCAUAACUGAAAAUUUGAAAUAGAGCACGAAUUAGACAUAACAUCACUUCACCGCGUGAACUUGAGAUAUCAAAGAAGAGGGUAGUUUUUCUCCUAAAUGCCCAUGUAGCCCCCAACUAAUAGAUGUGGUCGACAACACACCGACAAGAAGGGCUCUACUAGGCACGGCUCCGAGACAUCCUAGGACUCCUUCAAAACCUAUGAAUCUGAUACCAAGUUUGUCAAAUAUCAAAGAACAGGAUAGUUUUUCCUAAAUGCCCGUGUAGCCCCCAACUUAUAGAUGUGUACGACAACACACCGAUAAGAAGGGCUCUACUAGGCACGGCACCGAGACAUCCUAGGACUCCUUCAAACCUAUGGCUCUAAUACCAUGUUUGUCACGCCCCAAAUUCGUGAGCAUGACCGGCACUCAACCGGGUAUCCCCAGUCGAGUGGACCUGGGUGCCUUUCGUAUUCCUCACGCGUUACCCCGCAUUAUUCAAUGAUAGUUAACCAAAAGAUACCAAUUUUCAAAUAAUAGAACGUAUGAUUUCUCUUUUAUAACCACACAUUAUGAUUAACAGGGGACACAUUUUACAAAACAUAUAUUUGAUUAGAAAGGCACGUAGUACACAAGUUUAUAACGCCCAAACAUACACUUUUAUACAUAAGUCCGACCCACAUACCACUAUCUAUGGAGCCUCUACGAGAAUGGUAGUACAACACUUGCUGGUGACAAGGCCACGGCUAUACCAUUACCAAAAGAUACAAACUCCAAAAUACAACAAUAGGAGUGGCGUAGGCCACACAUGGCCCAAGAAGGAAAGGGGCUCACCAAACACCAAUACUGCCGAUAGAGAGGAGGAGGAGGAGCUACGAACGGUGGACUGGAGUGCCUGCCACGGAUCCACCUACAAUCAUAACACGAAUGUAGCGCUCCCGACAAAAGGGACAUCAGUACACUUGAAUUGUACUGGCAUGUAUGAACUAACUCUGUGCCAAGUAAACUCAAGCCAAAUUGCAUGAAUAAGUAUAGAACUGAACAACAAUAGUACAAGUACAACCAGGAAGCAAUAACCAAACAUUUCACAACAAUUAUUCACAUAGUCAUACAAAGGGGCAAUCAGUUCCCCACAGUUUACAAACUCUCAUGCUGUCUCCUUUCACAUUUUCACAUUUAUCACUUCAUAAUUCAUAUUCAUAUCAAUAGUGAUAUUGGAUCACAUUUCCACCCUUAUUCCCUCGUCCACCCUUAUUACCCCGGCCACCUUUAUCACCCCAACCCACACCUUAUUUCACCGUGUUGUGGCGCGCAACCCGACCCCGCCUGACAGUUUUCAAUUCACAACGACAAACAGCACAACAACAUGUAUAAGAAAUCAACCAUGGCACUUUGUUAGAAUAAUUCCACAACAAGGGUACUAAAAUCCCACAACUAGCAACAACAAUUUUCCUCAUGUUUAUCAAAGUUGAUACACAAUUUAGAUCAUCACAACAGCUAUUCACAAUUACUAACACGCGUUGUUCCACAAUAUUUCAGUUUCCACUGUUCAACAUUAUUUCCAUUCCCGCUAUUCCACAUUAUUUAUGUUUCUGUUGUUCCAAUUACAAAUUCCACAACAUUCACUACAAGGUACCACCACACAAUUUGUACAAUACGAAAGCUUCAAAAUGGUUUUCAUAUGGAUAUCAACUAUCAACAGUUUCACAACUAGCAUAGGCUAUUUCACGAGGAUCACAGUUAGCCAUACAUACAUGGAAUUGAAUAUUCUCUUUAACCUCUACUCCAAUUCAUCAAGGAAUCAAGAAGGAUCAAUCUAGUUCAUGAUUAAUACAUAGACCUUUAGAAUAGGAAUUCACAAUUUAUUACCCAGUUCCCUUUUUACAAGAUUUUUAGGUUUUGAAGACAUGUGUGUGGAUUUCUAACAAGAUUUUUCAAAGUCAAAGUAUGGAACUCCCUCCCCAAACCUGAGUUUGAAAAUUAGGGGAAAAGAGUUAGGGAUUUUACCUUGAAAUCAGAGCGGAAGGUAGAUGCUCAAGAUUUUCCGGGCUUUGAUGAUUUUUGAAAGAUCAAUUGAUGAAGGAAUAGUUUUCUCUCUCUAUAACCCUCUCUUCCUCUCUUAUUUUGUUCGGAAAAUGGGCUAAAAAUGAGAGAUGGAGUGUUUUAUUAAAAGAGGGGUCGGGCUUAGAUUUUUUGAAAAUAACUGAGAGAACACGAUCCGCGAUGCCUAUCUGCUAUCGUAGAACUGACAUGUGGUCCGCAGAAUGAACCGCAGAAAUGACUCAAGUUUCAAACCACUCGGGUUGGGAAUGCGGUGACUAUGCGGUCCACAUUUGCGUUCUGCGGUCGCAGAAUGCACCGCAGAACUGACCUUCGAAUUUCUUCAGGGACAAUAUGCGAUCACUCUGCGGUCCGCAUAUUAAUUACGCGAUCUCAGAUUUGACCGCAUUUUCAACAUCAAAAUUUGGUUGCUCUCUAAUUCAUUUUGCGGUAGGAAUGCGGUCCGCAUAGCUGAUCUGCGACCGCAUUCUGAUCCGCAUAUUGAUUAUGCUAUCACAAAUUUGACCACAUUUUCAACAUCAAAAUUUUGUUGCUCUCUGAUUCAUUCUGCGGUAGGAAUGCGGUCCGCAUAGCUGAUCUGCGACCGCAUUCUGGAUCGCAUUUUGACACUUUUCUGGAAAAGUUAAUUCUUUCAAUUUAUAAAGGCCUAAAUCACUACCAAGGGUCUGAAACUCUACACAUUCAUUACACAUAAGAAGAGUAGACACCACGGUUUAAUAAGUUCUGAGAAAAAAUUAUUUACGGGACCUUACAUCCGGAGCAUCGAAACAUGGAAUACCAGAUAAACUCCUGCAAGGCUGGGAGGUAAGGCAAGCUCAUAAGCAACCUCUCCAACACGCCGCAACACCUCAAAGGAACCAAUACACCUUAGGCUCAAUUUUCACCAAUUUACGCAUCUCAUAACAACUUCAUAAUUAAAACCCGAGGCAAGACCUACUCUCCAAGCAUAAAUGAAACAUCGCUAACCUUCCAGUCUACAUAAAUGUUUUGUCUGGACUGAGUUGUGCAAAAUCUAUCAUGAAACACCUUAACCUUCUCCAAAGCAUCCUAAACCAAGUAUGUGCCCAAUAAUCUAGUCUCGCCCAGCUCAAACCAACCCACCAGGGACCUACACUGCCUACCAAACAAAGCCUCAUACGGUGUCAUCUGAAUGCUGGGCUGAUAACUGCUGUUGUAAGAAAACUUUUCAAGUAGCAAGAACUGAUCCCAAGAACCUCCAAACUUCAUCACAUAUACACGGAGCAUAUCCUCAAUAAUCUGAAUAGUGCGCUCGUACUGUCCGUCCAUCUACGAGUGAAAUGUUAUGCACAAUUCCACCCGAGUACCCAACUCAUGAUAUACGGCUCUAUUGAACUGUGAUGUAAAUUAAGUGCUCCAGUAUGAGAUGAUAGGUACCGGCACGCCAUGAAAUCUGAUAAUCCAACAGAUAUAAACUCGAGCCAGCUAUAUCAAGCUUCCACUGAGUUCGUGGGGACCCAACAAUGAAGCCCAUAGUGAUCGCUCCCAUUUCCAACCCGAAAUAUCUAACUUCUGAGGCAAGCCACUCGGUUUAUGAUGCUCAUACUUAACCUGCUGGCAAUUUAAACAUCGAGCAACAUACUCUACUAUGUCUUUCUUCAUUCAACGUCACCAAUAAUGCUAUCUUAUCUCGUGAUAUAUCUUCGUGGCACCCAGAUGAAUAGAGUACCACGAGUUGUGAGCCUCUUUAUGAAUCAACUCAUGUAUCCCAUCUACAUUAGGCACACAUAGCAUGCAUUGCAUCUUCAAAGCACCAUCAUCACCAAUAGUGACCUCCUUAGCUUCACUGCGCUGAAACAUGUCCUUAAGGACAAGCAGAUGGGGGUCAUCAUACUGACGCUUCCUGAUAAGAUCAUAAAGAGAAGACUGAGAGACCACACAAGCCAAUAUUCUACUAGACUAAGAAAUAUCCAAUCUCACAAACUGGCUGGCUAAGGAUUGGACAUCUAAUACUAUGGGCCUCUCAACUGCACGUAGAUAAGCCAAGCUCCCCAAACACUCUGCCCGGUGACUCAAAGCAUCGACCACCACAUUGGCCUUCCUCGGGUGGUACAAAAUAGUGAUAUCAUAAUCCUUAUGUAGCUCUAACCACCUCCUCUAACGCAAAUUAAGAUCCUUAUUCUCGAACACAUGCUGCAAACUCCGAUGAUAAGUAUAGAUCUCAUAAAGGAUACCGCAUAAAUAGUGCCUCCAAAUCAUAAAGGCAUGAACAAUAGCAGAUGACUCUAGGUCAUGGACAUGAUAGUUAUUUUCAUGUACCUUCAGCUAUCUGGACGUGUAGGCAAUCAUUCUACGGCCAUGCAUCAACACUGUGCCGAGGCCAACUCGCGACACAUCACAAUAGACUGUAUAAGACCUACGGAACUGUAGGCAAUAUCAAUACUAGGGCUGUAUUCAAGGUUGUAUUGAGCUUCUGAAAGCUCUCCUCAUACUCUUCCGUCCACCUAAAUGGAGCACCCUUCUGGGUCAGCCUAGUUAUAGGUGUUGCAAUAGAUGAGAAUCUUUCAACAAAUCGACAGUAAUAACCUACCUAACCAAGAAAACUCCAGAUCAUUGUAGCUGAGGAUAGUCUGAGCCAACUCUGUUGCUUCCAUUUUCUUCGGAUCCACCUUGAUCCCUUCACUAGAUACUAUAUGACCCAAGAAUGCCACGAAAUCCAACCAGAACUCACAUUUUGAGAACAUUGCAUAUAAUUUCUUUUCUCUCAAGGUGUGAAGCACUGUCCUUAAGUGCUGCUGAUGAUCUUCCCGACUCCGAGAGUACACCAAAAUGGCAUUAAUAAGGACAAUGAUGAACGAGUCAAGAUGUGGCUGGAAUACACUGUGCAUCAAAUACAUAAAUGUUGUUGGGAUGUUGGUCAUCCCAAAUGACAUAACAAGGAACUCGUAAUGACCAUACCGAGUCUUGGAAGUAGUCUUCGAGAUAUCUGGGUCCUGAAUCUUCAACUAAUGAUAACUUGAAUGCAAAUAAAUCUUGGAAAACACUCAAGCACCCUGUAAUUGAUCAAAUGGGUCAUCAAUACGAGGCAAAGGAUUCCAGUUCUUCACUGUAACCUUCUUCAGCUGGCGAUAAUCAAUGCACAUACACUUAAAACCAUCAUUUUUCUUCAGAAACAAGAUAGGAUCACCCCAAGGUGUCACACUUUUCCGAAUAAAGCCCUCAUCAAGAAAUUCUUGUAACUGUUCCUUCCACGCCUUCAACUCAGAAGGGGUCAUACGAUAAGGAGUAAUAGAGAUGGGUUGAGUGCCCGACAACAAAUCAAUGCCAAAAUUAAUAUCUCUAUCGGGCAGCACGUCCGGGAGAUUAGCUGGAAACACAUCAGGGAAAUCCCUCACUAUUGGGACUUAAUCAACUAUAGGGGUAUAAGUACUAACAUCUCUCAGAUAAGCUAGAUAUACGUCAUACCCUUUCUCAACCAUUCACUGAUCUUUAAGAAAUAAAAUAACUCUACCGAGAGUGUAAUUUAAAGUACACUUCAACUUUAAUCAUGGUAAACCUUGCAUAGCCAGCAUCACGGUCUUGGCAUGACAAUCAAAGAAUGGGGCGACAACAACUCCAUGCCUAUGAUAACAUCAAAAUCUACCAUGACGAGCAAUAAUAAAUUGGAUCUAUUCUCAAAACCACUAAGAGCAACCAAACACGACCGAAAAAUACGCACCACAAAAAGAGAUCUCCCACAGGGGUAGGCACAUAAAUAUGAGAACUCAAAGAAUCUCUAGAAACGCCUAAAUAUUGGGCAAAAUAAGAGGACAAAUAGGAAUAAGUGGAGCCUAUAUCAAAUAGAAUUGAUGUAUCUCUAUGAUAGACCGGAACAAUAUGACUACUGACAGAAUCGGAAGAAACAACCUCGGCAUGAGCAGGAAUGGCAUAGUAUCUGGCCUGGUUGAUAAUUAUGGAUUUUAGUCUAUCUUAUCCUCUCUUUUACGUAGGUUUUGGAUCAAAAUCUGUAAAAGUAUUCCCGAAAAUUGACUUAAUAAGCUUGUCUUUAGGGUUUGGUCAAAAUGAUGCAAAGAAGCCAAAGUAAACUCAUGAAUAAUAAACUUGGACAGGUUAAAGACAGGGAACUGGAGCAUUCAACAUGACGGAAAUACGCGGCAGCGUGAGGACCACUACUGAGGCAUUCACAAAUACGCGGUCCGCAAAAACAAAGUUCAGAGAACCUAAUUUAAGCAGAAAGUAUACCGAUUAUUGCGAUGGAAAAUCACGGCCACAAAAUAUCUAACGCGGGCGCGGUGGCAUUUCCGCUGAGAAGGUGAUUGAAGUUCAGAGACUAUACAAGUUGAGCUUGACUGAGGAAUAUUGUUCGCGUCCAAAUUGUGCGGCCGCAGUUAAAGCUAAUGCAGAGGCAGUGGUUUUACGUUAUCUGCAAAACCAUGUCUAGACCAAGUACUGAAUUAAAGAAACAUGGACCGCGCUCAUUAUUGCGGCCGCAGUAGCACAACCGCGGGUGCACUCACUUUUAUGCCUCCGCGAAUUCUCUGCAGGGGCAUUUUUGUUAGGAAUUUUCAAGUGUGUAUAAAUAGAUCUUUUUUAGAUUUUUAGGUUAAGUUUUAUUUAGGAGAGCACGUGAAUGGCUGGUUUUGACAUUUUUGAAUAAUUGUAGGGUAGAGUUCCCUUCAAACUUUAGAAUUUCAUCUCCUAGUUGAAUCUUACGACUUAUAUUUCAUAUUUAUCUUUGACUUCUGUUGUUAUUAUGAGUAGCUAAACCCAUAUCUAGGGUUGUGACCAAACCCUAGUUUAGGUAUUUAAUGGGUCUUGAAUUUUAGGGCUUAAUUAUUUAUGGGUUAGUGAUAUUUAGCUUGAUUCAUGCUUUAAUUAGAGAAUUGGUGGUUGCAAACAUUGAUUCGUGCCUUUAUAACUUAGAUUGAUCUUGAGAAAGAGGGACUAAGUUUAGGAAAAUUAGACUAACAAGGAAUUGGGGUGCAUUCAAGAGAUUGAUAGCUCCAAUUAAAGGGUUAAACCUAGAAAUAGUAAUACCAACCUUAUCCAAUAUCAUAUGUUAUGCAUGAAUACCCAUUUGGACUUGAGAAAACCAAAUUGGGCAAAGUCACUCAAACUACCGAGAGGUAUAGAGUGAGCACUAAUGUGUGAUGGUUAUAUCACGACCCCAAUCAUAAUAAGCUUUCCUUGAAUUCUCGAUACCCGCUAAAUACCCACCUAGGUGGAAGACACUGCCUUAGUCCCUUUUAAUCCUUGAAACCAACCAUAAAAAAUAUUGUACUUAGAUUAUUUUCAACAAUUAAUAACAUUGAAUGUAGAAUAGAAACAAAUCAAAGCAUGGUUAGAAGUGAAAUUAAAACAAAACGUAUAGCUAGAUUAGAUAGCAACCCAAUUCCCAGCCAAUAUUAACUCCUUGUGGAUAUCGAUCCCGACCUUUCGGGUAAAAGCUGCAUCGACCUCUCCUCGCCAUUAUUUAGUGGUGCAGGGUUGGAACAUAUUACUUUUCGCCGCCGUUGUCGGGGAAUUAAAUUGUUAAGGUUAUCUAUUUGACUAGUUGUUAGUCUUGUUUUUAUUUCCUUCUAUUUUACUAACCUGAGUGAGUUAAUCAAUUCAGGUACAAAAUAGCAAAUAAUGAUCCUCUCGAAAAUGUUCUGCCAGGGAGGAGGUAGAUAAUAAUGCUGAAGAUGAUGUGCCUAUAGUACCUCAAGCUCAAAAGGAUGCCGCCAGGCAAAUGAAAACAUUCCAGACCCUCCCCAGCUCCUCCGCGAGUAGCGCCUCAUGUGCUUCCAGAUGAAGGUUAGGGAAGUGCAAUUGUCCCACCCCGGAUCUGGACGGGCAAUUUCCACAUUACAAAUGUCAUAUUGACCUUAUUGGAGCAAAGAGGGUAUUUCAUAGGCACUCCCCAUCAGAAUGCAUAUAAACAUCUAAAGUGCUUUUGGAUACCUUCUAGGGAAGCAAACAGACAAAUAUGUUCGAAGAUGCAUUGAGAUUGAGAUUGUUCCCUUUUUUACUUAAAGGGAAAGCUUUGGACUAGCUCGAAAGACUCCCCAAUAAUUCUAUCACCACGUGGGAUGCGUUGGCAUACAAGUUUAUAGCCAAGUUUUCCUCACCAGGACAUAUGUCUGCAUUAAGGGAUAAGAUCUUAAGCUUUUAAAUAGGAGCAAAAAGAACCUGAUGUGUGGCAAUAAUUCAUGGUUUUGCACAUUAUAUGCUUUGAGUUUUACAUGCUUUAGUGUUUCUUAGUUACAUUUUUUUAGCAUAAUGGAAUCUAUUUUAUGUGAGGUGCCUCUGAAAUGUAAGUAGAUCUAAAAGGAUGCUUAAUGGUGAAAGUGCACUCGAGAAUGGUGAAAAGAAAAAGCCAGGCAAAAGUUAGCUCGACCAGGCUUUAUCCUGGAAAGGCUAGCUUAAAGCCAGGGCCAACGAGGCGUUAGCCUGGCGACGCUAGCUUAAAUCCAAGCUUCGCCAGGCAUUAGCCUUGUGAUGGUGGAUUGAAGCCAGGCAAAGGAUGGCGUUAACCAGGCAACGCAUGGCCUAAGUCCAGGCCCAUGCCCAGUUUUGAAGAUUUUAAUUAUUUUCCUGCUUGACUAGGAGUUGACAUACACGUUUAGGGCUUGUCCUAAACAUAUAAAUAGACCCAAAAAUGCCACAUUGAUGGACUUAUGCAAUCGGAGGCAAGAAUAGCUCAUGGAAAACUAUUUGCGAGUUAGAAUCAUUGAUGUCUAUAAUUUAAUUAUGCAAUUUACUUUUGAUAUUGUUACUAUGAGUAUGAGUAGCUAAAAUCAUAAUCUAGGGUUUUGGUAGAACUUGUUAUGAGUAGCUAAAAUCAUAAUCUAGGGUUUUGGUAGAACUUGUUGAGGGAUGAUUUUCUCGUUAUGUUAAUAUGGAUUUGCCAUAGUAUUAUCUCUGUUUGUUCAACUAUAUGCUUAUUGUUGUUGAUUGAAGGUCCCUCAAUUAACUUUUCCUAUUUAAUGUGAAUUACUCGAGGGAGAGUUCAUAUUAAUGUAGUUGUUGAACAUCAACACUCGUAACGUAUAUGAGGGAUCAAUAUGAAGGGUUUAAAAGUGAGAUUAGGGAUAACUGAACCUUGGAAGCGAUCUAAGUGAGUUGUACUUAAGGCUAGCUAGCCUAAUUCUAGAGAAUAUGUAUAGUAUAUUAUUUUAAUUGCUAGGGAGAGAGUUACUACAGUCAUAGUGCUCAUGAUUGAUAGAGAAGACUUAGGCAAAUUUAUAGCAAACAUAGUUGAAAGGAUUCCAACAAUAGGGGUAAUCAGAAUCUUAGAUCAUUCUAAUUCUUGUAUGCAAACCGUUAGUCAUUAGUUAUUGUUUAUGCAUUUUCAUUAUGUAAGAAUAGUUAAUAAACAUCCAAUCUUUUAAUUAAAUAUCUUCGAAUAUUGAAUACGUGAAUUUCUAUGAGUCCAAUUGUUUUGAUUGAUAGGUUAAUUCCCUACGGGAUUUGAUUCCAGACUUGUUAAUAAUAUAUUUACAGUGACCGCUUUGUCCUUUAUAUAAGCCACAGUAGGGCGUGAUCAAGCUUUAGCACUGUCGUAGUUGGGCGUGAUCAAAUAGAAGUUGACCUACACGCUUCGGGUUCAACCUAGAGAUAGUAAUACCCAUAGUUUUUUUUAUGUAUUCAUACCCAUUUGGACUUGAGAAAGCCAAUUUGGGGAAAGUCACUCAAAUUACCGUGAGGUAUAGAGUGAGAACUUAUGUGUGAUGGUUAUAUCACGAUCCCAAUCAUAACAAGCUUCCCCUAAAUUUCGUAUACCCGUAAGAUACACACCUAGGUGGAAGUCACUACCUUAGUCCCUUUUAAUCCUUGAAGACAACCAACACAAAUAUUGUACUUAGAUUAUUUUCAAUAAUCAAUAGCAUUAAACGUAGAAUAGAAACAAAUCCAAGCAUGGUUAGAAGUGCAAUUAAAGAAACACGUGUCGACGCCCCCUUUUUCUUAAGGAGAAAUCGGGUUUACUACAUUUGGCUGAAAUGACUCUUUUUCCCCUUUCGGAGAAUUUGGGUUAUGCAAUUUGGAGAGUCGCCACCUAACAAUUAUAGUGCAUUAGGACACUUUAGAGAAAAGAAGAAAAUUUUGAAAGAAAACCAGAGUUUGGGUAAUGGCUUGAGAUUAUCUCGAGGAGAAAGUGUUAGGCACCCCUCAAAAUCCACUAGUGUGGUUCCCGGCCUUGCUUAGUUAUGACUUCAAGAAGAGUAGGAGUGGACAACCAAAGUUUGCACAUAAAAAAUAUUAACAAAUUGGCAAUUUUUGAAAGAAUAAAGGCACAAGUGAAAAGGGAACUUUAGUUUGAAGAAAACACUAAUUUAAAUAAAGGAAAAGCAAGAAAAGAAAGGGUCCUAGGUUUAAUAAUAAUAAGGAUCAUUCGGUGCAAUACCCAGCAAUCAUUCUCACACGAGAUAUUAGCGCACCGUCAUCAUCGUAAGGUUCACACAUAGUAGUUAAAAAUAAGUUUGAAAGUUUAGGGAGUUGAAAAGAACAUAAAUGAUUUAAAAAAAAGGAAGGAUUAAUUGGAAGGAAACAUAAAUUUAAGAAAAAUAUUAUACAAAUAAAGAAAAGGGGUCCUAGAUUUAAAUACAACAUGGAUCACAUCGGUGCAAUACCUCGCACACACACUUCAGGAGAGAGGUCGCAUAUGAUAUUAGCGCAAUUGUCAUCAUCUACAUAUUCUACCUUUCCUACCCCAUUAAGGUAUUUAAAUGCAAUUAGUCUCGUUUACUUAUUGCAUGCAAAUACCCGUCCCGGCCUAUCAGGGCCGGGUAUUUGUACUUCUAAUCCUGAAAGGGAAGAAGUGGGAUAGAGGCGUAUAUAGAGUUUAAAAGGAUAAAAUACUAAGGCAUUAGUCAAAACAAAUAACAAAUAAGUGGGGUAAAAAGCAAACACUCAAGGCUCAUACAAACCUCAUAGAUCUCAAUAGCAAUUAGUUUAGUAUGACUUGCAUGUACUGAUUUGGUCUUUAAUUAAAGAAAUUAAGAGGCAUACGAAUCAGUUAAACUCAUAAAGAUGGAUACAAAGUCUGCAUCGAGUCCCUCGGGUCUGAUUGUUAGUUGAGGUUUUAAUGCAGAGGAGUUUGAAAGAAAGUGAAGACUGCAAUAAUUUUGUAAAUGGAUUUGAAAUCAGCAGACUGUUUGAGUAGAAAAAAUGCAGAAGAUAUACGAAAGAUUAUCAGAAGCAGGAACACCUUAAGAAAAGUGUGAGUUAUGGGACUAUUUAUUAAAAUAUAAUUUCAGGGACUGAGUAAAAUGUUUAGGCAGAAUGUUUAAAAAAGCAGAUUUGAAGAGUUUAAAAACAUACUGGUUUACAAGAGUUUUUAUUGAAAACGUUGUAUUAGGACAUUAAGGCCAGUUAACAGACUUUUAUUGCUUAAAAAGAAUCUGACAAGGUGAGACGGAAUCCUAUGGGCAGGUAUUUAUACCUGAUUUCAUCUGAUUCGUUACUGCUUUUAGAACAUUAAGGAACUGAGUAAUCAAUUAACCUACUAUUUGCCUAGCGUUUUAUGUGUUUCCUAUAGGCAUGUUUUCUAUGUGCUUACAAUGCAAAGUCUUACAGACAUGAUCUCCAAAUGAUUUUCACUAUUAAAAUCCUAUAGGCAUGGUUUCUAAAUGAUUUGCAAUAUUAAAGUCCUAUAGGCAUGGCGUCUAGAUGAUUUGCAAUAUUAAAGUCCUAUAGGCAUGGUUACUAGAUGAUUGAAGCAUGAAAGAUCCUAUAGACAGGAUUUCUAAAUGAUAUGCAAUAUUAGAAUCUAAUAGGCAUAGUAUCUAGAUGAUUAAAGCAUAAAAGAUCCUAUAAACAUGAUUUCUACCCAUUGACUUAUCCAAGCAAUAUAAACCCAUCUCACACCCUUUACUAAUAUUUUUCCCGAGUUAUAUUACAUAGUUAUUAUAAAACUGAAAAGAAAAAGACUGAAAUAAGUACAACUAAAUUAAAGUCAGACCCGAGGAGGCUCAAUGCAACCUUCAACAUCACACACAUAUGUUCCACCAAAUCCGAAUUCCAGAUUCCAAGGCCUUUUCUUUGAGUGUUUCAAAGUUCCAGGGGUCUUUCAGGAACCCAGGAAAUGCUUACACUUUAAAGAAUAAAUAUUGUAACGGAGUAGUACAAUGUGUGGAAUUACCAGCCCUUAGGCAUCUAAGUUCAGGAGGAACUCUAAGGUCCCUAAGCAUAACUAUAGGGGGGCAGAACUUGAAGAACUAAGAAUAAGUGUAAAGUGAGGGGAUUAGAGGAAACCAAAGCAAAGGGUGGUCAUACCCAGCCAUGGGUAAGACUGGCACACCCCUAACUCUCCACUUGGUUUUAAACAAAUAAAGAGCAGACUAGAGAAGUCAGACAGGGGCCUGGGUGGUGAUUAGGAUAAUUCCAAACCCUAGUCUUGGCUCAACACAUAAAAGGGGGAGAAGGGAAUGUGACUGAUUUGAGUAAAGGUCCAAGAGAACCUGGUCCCAGGUCAUGGAUAGCAAUAGGACGCUACAUUAACCUAGAACAGUACUCACACAUAAGGGGUCAGGGGGAAAGGGUUCACAUGGAAAAACAUGUAUAGAAAAACAUCAAGUAACAGAACUUAAAGGUGCAGAAGCAUGAAAAAACAACAUAACAGACUAGAACACAAUGACAUAAUGCGAGAAAGCUAAACGCAUAGUGAGGGACAUGCAAAAAGAGAAUUAAACACAUAUUUGUGGAGAAUGUUUAACUUAUGGGGACAUACCAGUUGAACCUUUCAAACAGCAGAAAAAACAAAGCAAAACAAUAGCCACAGAAUCUUCGGCAAACACUUGAGGAAAGCAAGAGAGAUUCCAAAGUCUAGCCUUGGUUUUCAGCCGGCUAGCCAGAACAGUAGCACAAGUAAUAGAAAAAAUUAGAGAGCUUUGAGUGUGUGUGUUUGUGUGUGUGUUUUGAACUCAAUUGUUCGUGUCUUUUAAAGAAAAGGAGUGAGGUUUUUAUAGUUGAAAACAUGCUGGUAAAUGAGGCAAGGAAUAGUUCACUAUCGGUCAUAAUCAAUCAGGAGAAGGGAACCCCUUUAAUUAAGGAGUUCGAAUCUGAAUAGGAGAGGGUAUAGUUUUUAUUUAAGGAAAGAAAAUCAAGAACACAUUAUGUAGUAAAGGGUAAAUACAUAAUAGAAGUAUUAAAAUACACGGUUUACAUAAAUAAGGUAAGAAUAAAAUUAAUUAACACAUAGUAAACUAAGGAAUUAAGGAUUCGAACUUAAUAAUGAAUUAAGUCAUAAAACCAGUCCAAAUUAAACAAGGAAAAAUUCAAAUAGGCACACAUAAUGGUGGUCUGAAAUCAACCCCCAAAAAUUAGGGUUAUUUUGAGAGGGAAAGGUCUGACUAUAAGGAUGUAUAUACUUAAACAUGCAGAGGCUAAAAUUAAACAUACAUAGUGGUCAUGCAAUCAAAAUAGAAGAACAUAGCUACAAAAGAAAUCGGAGGGUCUUGCAAAUCUUAGCAAGAAUCAGAGAACAUGAGACGAAUUUAGAGAUUAGGGUUUCUUGAAAUCAUACAGGAAACAACAUAAUCGCACAUAAGUGGUUUAAAAAACCCAAAAUUGUAGGGUUUCCUCCACAGAUUAAGUGUAACGACGUAAGCAUACAUAAUCAGGCAAAAUAAACUCAGAAAAAACCAAAGAACACAGACAUUUCAUGGAAGAAAACACAGUAAAGGAAGUCACUAGUAACCUUAGGAAAAUACAGUAAAGAAAAUACAUAGAAACUAUAGUGAAAACACUUAGGAACUAUAGAAAAGCAAAUAAUAUUGUAAGAAAUAGCAGUAGAACAAGUAAAAAAUCUAGGAAACACUAGGUUCGAGAAGAUGAACAGUUUAAAAGCAAAAAUCAGAAAAGAUGCAAAAAACUACUUUGAAAAUCUCAGAAAUAGCACGUAUCUAAAGUGGAUAUUUAGAGAAAACAGGAAAACCUCGAAAAUGGCUUAGGGUUUCAGAGAAACCUUAGGAAAAUGAUAAUGACCUGGAAAGGGCUGGUGCGAGUCGAGAUGAACUCGCAAGGCUAGGACACGCUGGAGAUGAGCCGGAGAUGGCCAUAGAACCUGAAUCGGAGGGAUUCUGAGCCAGAGUCUUCAAGGUCAGGCAUUGGUUCUUCGAGUAAAAAGGAGCAUAAAAGAACGUGGGGGUGAGUACAUGCCACCCGAAGCUUGGGAGGCCAAGGUUUCCGGCGAGAUAAGAUGGAAGCCGGUGAAAAAAGGGCUAGGAUUUCGGCGAAGACUUGAGAGGAUUUGGGAAUCAAAGGGUUUCAGGGGCGGCUGUUUGUCAGAAGUGAUUAGGGUUUGGGGUUUGGGCUGAGCUAAAAAGGAAAGGGUAAAAGUGGACCAUUGAUUAAAAUAAUCAACGGCAACGAUGUAAAAUGUGGUCCAGGCGAGUUUAUUUAAUUGUCUGGGUCGGGUAGAAAAUGGAAUUGGGUCAUUUAAUUAGGGGGUGGAUUGGGAUUGAAAUUGGGUUAUAAUUGAAAGCAAAAGAGGCUAUAAUUUAAAUAGCCAAUUUUUCCAUUUUGAAUUUAUAAAAAAUAGUAGAAUCUGUUUAAAAUCAAAUUAAAAAUACGAAAUUAAUAAACAAUAUGUAAAUAUUAGUUUUAAAAUAUUGGGAAUGAUUUUGUGGUUAAAAAUGCUAUUAAAUCGAGAAAUAGGAUAAAAUUGCAAUUUCAUGCAAUUUUAAUUUAAACCUUGUAAAAUUAUGUGAAAUCAUGAAAAUUAUAUUUUUGUGCAAAUGUAAGAAUAAAAAAAACAAAUUUUGGGAAUAAUUAUUGGAUAUUAUAGUGAAAAAUAGGCCAUAAAUUGGUUUUAAAAAUCUUAAACAAUUUGGGAAAAAUACCAAACCGUUGGGGAUGCGUAUGUAUGCAUAUACAUGCUGUUUUGAAAGUAUUUUAGUAUAAAAAUACACAGGAAAAAUUGGGUACCAAUAAUGCGCAUAGCUAGAUUAGAUAGAAACUCAAUUCCUAACCAAUAUUAACUCCAUGUGGAUAUCGAUCCCGACCUUUCGAGUAAAACCUGCAUCCACCACUCCUCACCAUUAUAUGGUAGUACAGGGUUGAAACAGAUUAGUUUUUGGCACCGUUGCCGGGGAGUUAAAUGGUUUUGGCUAUCUAUCUGACUAGUUGUGUGCCUUGUUUUUCUUUCCUUCUAUUUUACUAACUUGUGUGAGUUAAUCGAUUCAGGUACAAAAUGACAAAUAAUGAUCAUCUCAAAAAUGUUCUUCUGGGGAAGGAGGUUGCUGAUAAUGCUAAAGAUAAGGUGCAUGUAGUACCUCAAUCUCAAAGAAUAGGCCACCAGUCCAAUGAAAACAUUCCAGACCCUCCCCCAGCUCCUCCGCGAGCAGCUCCUUGGUGCUUCCAAAUGAAUGUUACGCAAUUGUAAUUGUCCCACUCCGGAUCCAGGCGGGAAAUUUCCAAAUUAGAAAUGUCAUGUUAACCUUAUUGGAGCAAAGAGGGUACUUCAUAGACGCUCUCCAUCAGACUGCAUAUAAACAUCUAAAGGGCUUUGUGGAUACCUACUGGGGAAGCAAACAGACAAAUAUAUCAGAUGAUGCAUUGAGACUGAGAGUGUUCCCUUUUUUUCUUAGAGGGAAAGCUUAGGAAUGGCUCAAAGUACUCCCCAAUCAUUCCAUCACCAUGUAGGAUGAGUUGGCCGACAAGUUUAUAGCCAUGUUUUUCUCACCGGGACAUAUGGCAGCAUUAAGGGGUGAGAUCUUAGCUUUUAAACAGGAGCCAAAUAAACCUGAUGUGUGGCUAUAAUUCAUGGUUUUCACAUUAUAUGCUUUUCAUACAUGAUUUAAUGUUAAAUUACAUUUUGAGUGAGUGUAAUAGAGUCUAUUUUAUGUGUAGGUGCAUCAAAAAAUAAAGUAGAGCUAAAGGGACGCUUAAACAAUAAAAGUGCACUCGAGAACAGUGAAAGUGCACUCGAGACUGGUGAAAAGGAGAAGCCGGGCAAAAGCCAGCUCAACCAAGAUUUAUCUAGGAAAGACCAACUUAAAGUCAGGCCCAACUAGGUGUUAGCCUGGAAAUGCCAACUUAAAGCCAGGCAUUAGCCUUGAGAUGCCAGCUUAAAGCCAGGCAGAGGCGGGCGUUAGCCAGAUGACGCUAGACCUAAGCCCAGGCCUAGGACGUGUUUUAAUGGCUUUAAUUGUUUCCCUACUUGACUAGGAGUUGACCUACACAUUUAGGGCUUGUCCCAAACAUAUAAAUAGACCAAAAAUGCCACUUUGAAGGACUUAUGCAAUCGGAAGAAAGAAUAGCUUGUGGAAAAUUACUUGGGAGUUAGAUUUAUUAAUGUCUACAUCCCUUUGUCUUUACUCUAUAAUUUAAUUAUGCAAAUUACUUUGGAUAUUCUUACUAUUGGUAUGAGUAGCUAAACUCAUAAUCUAGGGUUUUCGAUGGAACCUGUUAAAGGAUGAUUUUCUUGUUAUGUUAAUAUGGAUUUGUCAUAGUAUUAUCUCUAUUUGUUAAACUAUAUUCUUAUUGUUGUUAAUUGAAUGGCCCUUAAUUAACUGUUCCUAUUUAGUGUGAAUUACUCUGGAGAGAGUUCAUAUUUAGGUAGUUAUUGAACAUCAUCACUCCUAACGUAUAUGAGGGAUCAUAUGAAGUGCUUAAAGGUGGGAUUAGGGAUAACUAAACCUUGGGUGCGAUCUAAGUCAGUUGUACUAAAGGCUAGCAAGCGUAAUUUGGGAGAAUAUGUCUAGUAUAUUAUUGUAAUUACUAGGGAAAGAGUUGCGACAGACAGAGUGCUCAUAUCAAUAGAGAAGACUUAGGCAAAUAUAUAGCAAACAUAGCGGAAAGGAUUCCGACAAUAGGGGAAAUCAGAACCUUAGAUCAUUCCAAUUGUUGUUCACAAACCGUUAGUAGUUAUUUAUUAAUUAUUGCAUUUUCAUUACGCAAUAAUUAGUUAGUAAACAUCCAAUCUAUUAAUUAAAUAUAUCUAAAGAUUGAAUACGUAAAUCUCUAUGAGUCCAAUAGUUGUGAUUGAUAGGUUAAUUCCCUGCGGGAUUCGACUCCAGACUUGUUAACCGAAAUAUAUUUGCAAUGAUUGCUUUGUCCUUUUUAUAAGGCAUAGUUGGGCGUGAUCAGAACCCCUUCAUGAAAUCUGGGAGAGAUAUAGAACGAUGAUGAAGAAUUUCCCUAACAAUUAUAUGACCAAAUUAAUGAUCCAACAGACAUUUUAUCAGGGUAUAAACAUGACCAAUCAAUGGGUGGUAAACCAGCAAACAUGGGUACUUUUAUAAAGAUACCUUAUGCCGAGGCCUGUGACAUUCUUAAUGAGAUGGGUGACACUCCUCAGCCUGGUAGAGUAGGGAAAGUGUUCCUCAAGGGGACCUCAUGCCAUAAAUCUUCAUCGGGAACUAAAAUGCACAAGCCAUAGUUGAAUUGAAAACAACCAUGAAACAGUUAGUCAAAGCACAGCUUCAGCAGAUUCAGGGACCAAAGCAAAUAAAUGCAAUGAAAGGGGUUAAUCUAUUGGUAAGCAAGAGGAGAUAACAUGGUCAACAAGUGCAAAGCAAUCGAGAUCAAUAUGAGAAAAGUGGAAGUGGCUACAACUGAGAUGACUCGUAUGAUGAUCAAAGUGAGGAAGUUUAUGCCAACAACUAUCAAGGACAAUGGGGAAUUGCUCCAAAUAAACAAUGGAUAUCGCAAAGGAAUAAUCAGAGUUAGGACAACCAAGGCUAAGGAAAUUGGAAUAAUAACAACAACAACUCAAACAAUUAGGGGAACAACAACCAAAAUUGGGGUGCAAUAAUAAUUGGAGUGGCAACAACAGAAACGGGUGGAAAUGGAAAUCGAAGGUGGGGCUUUCAAAGUCCCAAGAUGUAUCAACAAUCAAACAAUCCACCUCCAUUUCCGUCUCAAGCUCCUAGCUUGUCAAACAAUAAGAUGGGACAAAUUGAGUCAAAGUUUGAGAAAAUGAUGAAGAAAAAUGCCGACUCUGAUGCCCAAUUAGCAUCCCAUAAUACUUCUAUCUGCAACUUGAGGUCCAACUGGGCCAUAUUUCACAAGCUUUGAACAUUCUCCCUAAGGGGGAACUACCGAGUGACACAGUAGUAAAGCAGAAGGGUGGCAACAAUACCAGCCAUGCAAUGGCGGUUACCAAAAGGAGUGGUAGAGGUGGUCAAGCAAGUACCUCAUAGCAAAAGAAAGUUGUGAGUGAUGAUGUUUAAGUGAAAAAUGACGAUGAUCCAAUAUUUGAUGAGCAAGUGAGUGAAGAGAGUUUUAAUAGUUAGGUAAGAACUGAUCUUCAUGACAAUGAGGAGGAGAUUCAAAAUGACAUGAACCCGUAUAGGGAACACAUGAUAGACAUACUAGAAAUGGUAAUGACUAAAGUCAAGGCUCCUUUGUCAAGGCCUAAUCCGCCUUGCCUUAAUAGAAUUGCAAAGAAAAAGAAUGAAAACCAAUUCAAGAAGUUUAUUGAGAUGAUGAAAAUCUUGUCAAUCAAUGUGCCCUUGGUGGAAGCUCUUGAGCAAAUGUCGAGUAUGCGAAGUUUAUGAAAGACUUGGUAAAUAAAAAGAGAUCUAUGGAUUGUGAGUUUAAAUAAUGACUCAUCAAGUGAGUGCCAUUGGGCACUCGAUGGCUCCAAAUCUUGAAGAUCCGAACGUAUUUACCAUUCUAUGUACCAUAGAGAGUGCGGAUUUGGAAAAGACCUUGUGUGAUUUGGGAGACAGUAUAAAUUGGAUGCCUUACUAUGUAUUCAAAAUUUUGGGUAUUGGUCAACUCAGAGAUACUUCAAUGAGAUUGCAAAUGGCGAAUCAAACAACAAAGAGGCCUCUUGCAAUUAUUGAUGAUGUUCUUGUCCGGGUUGACAAGUUUAUUUUGCUUGGAGAUUUAGUGAUUCUUGACUUCAAAGUCGACUAUGAGGUUCCUAUAAUAUUAGGAAGGCUCUUCCUAGUUACAUGGAAGGCUUCGGUUGAUUCGAAAGCAGGGGAGCUCACCUUCUGGGUGGGUGAUGAAAAAGUUAUGUUCCAUGUCUGCAAAUCAAUGAGGCAGCCCAAUAGCAACAAAGUAUGUUCCUAUGUUGAUCUUGUGACCGAGGUGAUUAUUGAAGAUACCAGUGUUGUGAUAAAUGUAGAGGACCCUUUGGAAGUUGUUUUGUUGAACCAUGAUAUUAUUGAGGAUGAAGGCUUGGCAGAGUAUGAAAAUGCUUUGCAAGGAAUGGGUUCUUACACAUGUGAGCCCGAGAAACUUUUCUUGGAUCUUGAGAACCGAAAGACUCCACCAAUAAAGCCCUCAAUCGAUGAACCUCUCAUAUUGGAGUUGAAGCCUUUGCCUUCACACCUCAGGUAUGAAUUUUUGGGUUUUUUUUCAACUUUACUUGUUAUUCUUUCUUCGUGCUUAACUAACAUGUGGGUAGAUGCCACCCUUGAGGUGCUCCAAAGAAGAAAGAAGGCAAUUGGAUGGACUCUAGCUAAUAUUUGGGGGAUAAGCCCCUGCAUUUUGCAUGCACAAGAUUAUACUUGAAGAUGAAUCCAAACCCUCCAUAAAACAUCAAAGGAGGUUAAACGAGGCAACGCAAGAGGUCCUCAAGAAGGACAUUUUCAAGUGGCUAGAUGUUGGGGUUGUGUACCCCAUUUUGGAUAGUUCAUAGACUUCGCCGGUACAAUGUGUGCCAAAUAAUCAAGGUAUGGUUCUGGUCGCAAAUGAGCAAAAUGAGUUGAUCCCCACUAGGACUGUCACCGGAUGGAUGGUAUGCAUGGAUUACCAAAACCUGAACAAAGUGAUCCGAAAAGAUCAUUUUCCAUAACCCUUUCUUGACCAAAUAUUGGGUAGACUUAUCGCGCGUUCCUACUAUGGAUUUUUGGAUGGGUACUCAGGUUACAACUCGAAUUUGAUUGCACAAGAAGACCAAGAUAAAACCACCUUCACAUGUCCAUAUGUCACAUUUGCUUUCUCACAUAUGCCAUUUGGUUUAUGUAAUGCACCAUCUACCUUUCAGUAGUGUAUGUUGGCUAUAUUUAUGGAAAUGGUGGAGGACUUCUUGGAAGUGUUCACGGAUGAUUUUAGUGUUGUGGGUGACUCCUUUGAAGAAUGCUUGAAUAAUCUUGACAAGGUAUUGUCUCAAUGUGAAGAGAUCAACCUAGUGCUUCAUUGGGAAAAUUGCCACUUUAUGAUCGAGAAGGGCAUUGUCCUCGGCCAUAAGAUCUCAAAGAACGCUAUCGAAGUGGAAAAGGCAAAGAUUGAAGUGAUUUCAAAACUCCAUCCUCCUACUUCCAUCAAAGGAGUGAGAAGCUUUCUUGGGCAUGCGGAGUUCUACCGAAGGUUCAUCAAGGACUUCUCAAAUAUGGUGAAUCCCUUGUGCAAAUUGUUGGAAGAGGAUGAAAAGCUUGUGCUUAAUGAUGAUUUCAUGAAAGGUUUUGAGCUUCUCAAGUAUAGAUUGACUACCACUCUCAUCAUCACCGCACCCAAUUGGAGCUUUCCAUUGAGCUCAUGUGUGAUGCUAGUGGCAUUGUGGUAGGAGUGAUUUUGGGGCAAAGGAUCAACAAAAUAUGUCAUCCAAUCUACUAUGCAAGCAAAAUGAUGAAUGAUGGCUAAGUCGAUUAUACAAUGACUGAGAAAGAGUUACUAGCCAUUAUCUUUGCCAUGGAAAAGUCCAGGUACCAAAGGGAUUGUGCAUACGAUCACACAGCACUCUAUUAUUUGAUGACAAAGAAGGACUCUAAGGGUAGGUUGAUGAGAUGGAUUCUUUUGCUUUAAGAGUUUGACCUCGAGAUUACUGAUCAAAAAGGGUGUGAAAAUCAAGUGUCGGACCACUUGUCCCGCUUCGAGGAGGAGAGGGCCCAUGAUGGCCUCGAAAUUAAUGAUUCGUUAAUGGAUGAGCAAAUCCUCUCCAUUUCUUUGAAAAGUAUGCCCUUGGUUCGCCGAUGUGGCAAAUUUUCUUGUGACCGGCAUUAUCCCGAGUGAUCUCUCUUCUAACCAAAGGAAGAAGCUUAAACGGGACACCUUGGAUUAUUAUUGGGAUGAGCCAUAUUGUUUGAAUAUUUGUAAUGAUAGUGUGAUCCGGAGAUGUGUUCCAAAAGAGGAGAAAAUGAGUAUUCUUGAGGCCUGUCAUUCCUCGCCCUACAGUAGUCAUCCUCGUGGGGAAAGAAUUGCUCCAAAGGUUCUUAGCUGUUGAUUUUAUUGGCAUGUUCUAUAUAAAGAUGCAUGUGAUAUUGUAAAGAGAUGUGAUGAGUGCCAGAGAACUAGUGUAAUUUCCAAUAAGGAUGAAAUAUCUCUCAACACUAUUCUUGAGAUUGACACUUUUGACAUGUGGGGCAUUGACUUCAUGGGACCAUUUAUGAGUUCAUAUGGUAACACUUAAAUUUUUGUUGUUGUUGAUUAUAUUUUCAAGUGGGUUGAAGUUGUGGCUUUGCCCAAUAGUGAAGCACGGAGUGUGGAGGCAUUCUUAAAGAAAAAUAUCUUCACAAGGCUUGGCACUCCAAGGGCGAUUAUCAAUGAUGGGGUUUCUGAUUUUUGCAACAAGGACUUCGAUACUUUACUCUCCACAUAUGGUGUCAAUCAUAAAGUGUAAACCCUUAUGAUCCCCAGGCGAUUAGACAAGUUGAGGUCUCCAACAUGGAGAUAAAGAGCAUAUUAUCAAACACUAUCAAUGCAGACCAGAGUGCUUGGUCAAAGAAACUGGAUAAUGAUUUAUGGGCCUACAAGACUGCAUACAAGACUCCAAUUGGUAUGUCUCCGAACCGGUUGGUAUUUGGGAAAGCAUGCCAUCAUUUGGUUGAGUUACAGCAUAAGGCCAUGUGGGCGCUGAAGAAGUUAAACCUUGAAUGGGUUGUCACUGCAAAUCUCCAUGCGGAGCAACUAAAUGAACAUGAUGAGUAUAGGUUUCAUGCCUAUUCCAUCUCGUCCUUGUAUAAUGACAAGAUGAAGUACUUACAUGAAAAAUAUGUCUGGAGCAAGGAAUUCAAGGAGGGUGACUUGGUUCUUCUAUUCAACUCUCGGUUACGACUGUAUUAGGGAAAGCUCAAGUCAAAAAGUAGUGGCCCUUUUGAAGUGGUGCAUGUAACUCCAUUUGGUGCCCUUGAUUUGAAAAACAAAAAUGGUGAAAUCUUCUGAGUUAAUGGACACCAAGUGAAGCACUAUCUUGGCAAGUUUGAUGACAACCACGUGGUGGUAGUGAUCCAUUUCAAGUGACUGAUGGUAACAUGCAUCGUGUCACGAUGUUAAAUCAACCACUUCUUGGGAGAAAACACAUGUGUUUUUCUUUCUUUUUAAUUUUUUCUUAGUGUAGGCUAUGUUUUGGACUAACUGAUUGUGAAGUUUGUGUAGGAACUAUUUGUGCAGUGCAGGACUGUUGCUAGGAAAAAUUUUCCUAAGUGUAAGAAUUACGCUUACCGUGUUCAAAUUUCACAGUUAGCGGGUGCUUUUUGCGGGGGCGUAAAUGGUCAAUGGAUGCGGACUUGAAAAUUCUAGAAUAGCAACUCUCUGAAGUUAUAUUCGCGUCCACGGUUGAAAUUUUGCAGUUCGUGUUACUCUUUUGCAGUCGUGCUUGUUUUUCGCUCUCAGUGGUUGUUGCUUGGUAACAACCUUUCAAAAAGGUGAAAGCGCGGACUGCGAUGGAAUUCCACGGGCCGUGCUUGGGUAAGUCUGUAGGCCCUUUUACUUUUAGAAUAAAUAUAAGGUCUUUAGAACUUUUACUGUUUUCGAACCACUCACUCACACUCUCAUAAGAAAUAGAAUAUUGUUCACUUUCCUCAGAUCUGAUCCUAAUUUCAUAGAAUUAAUCAGGAGUUAGUUUCCACCAUAAAUCAAAUAACCGGUAUGCUCAAAUCAUCGCAUUGCUUUUAUAUUUUUGCUAUCCUUUUCUCUUCAUUUUAACUUCUCAUUUUUAAUUAGGGUUUGAUUACUUCCUAUAAGCUAAUCAUUAAUGCUAAAAAAUUCAUGUGGGUACUUGUUAUGCAUGCCUAAUGGGUAAUAUGGUUGUUCAUUAUGCUAAAAAGUGAAACCCUAGGUCUAAGAGGAGUUUAAAAUGCCCGCCUGGUUUCAAAUUUCGUGGACAGCGAUCCAAAUUACGUUGUCUACGUUCAUGAUUUAUGAGAACUGACUUAAUUAUAGGUUCGAGGACACGGUGCUUUUUCCCCGAUCCGCAGUUGCCUUUACGCAGCUGCGCCAAAUUUUUCGCGAUCAGUGUUAAAAAGUUUCAAAGAAUUGGUAAAUUGUAUAUGCGGCCACGUUCGCUUUUACGCGGUACGCGUUGCAUGUUUCGCGGUUGCGCCCCUUUUUCUGCUGUCAGCAGCACCUUAACUUCAGAGACUAGGUAGUCUGAUCCCCAGCCUUUAACGGCCAUGCUCCUUUUUACACGAAUCGCAUUGGCCUUUUCGUAGCCGUGCUUGUUUUUUUUGCGGUCUGCGGUGCUUGAUUUUGAAGAGCAGUAUAUGCAAGUCAUCUAUAAUGUUUUAUUUCCAUCUGCAAUGUUUUAGUUUCAUCGGUAUGCUUAACCAUAUGAUUGUUACCUUGUUAUGGCUUUGUUUCAUGACUUGUUCUCUGAAAAUAAUGGUCCGAUCUAAAGGCGGAAGUGAAAAACAAAAAGGCAUAGUAGAAUCCACCCGAGGCAGGGGAAAAGGAGGUCAAGAAAGGACCAAGUUACCACUAGUGCUCAAAAAAUCUAUAGGGAAGAUUGGGGAACCAUCAAAGCUACAGACAAAGCCGCAUCUUAUUCUGAAGGUAGUGAAUAUGUCCCUUCUCGGGAAGUUUCAGAAGGAGACUUGGUGCCAACCCAUGUUCCCUAUAGACUUUCAAGAGAAAUUCCAGUUGAGAGAUGAGCAUACACCCUCUUCUUCUUCUGAGUUGUCUGAUAGCUCAGAGGAAAGUAGUGAGGUUUCAGCAUCAGCUUCCCUACCUACUACAACUUCGGCCUCACCAGCGGAUCCUAUAGAUGUUGAUGUUGAGAUACCAGAUGACGAGAGAGGAGUAACACCAAAGUCGGGGGGGUUGGCAAGAUCUAGAAAAGUUGUAGUUUGGGAGGAAAGAUUUGUUAGUGAAAAAGCCUACCUCAAAUUUCAGGAAUGGUAGCAACAGAGUUCGCUCACCCUCGAGAAGGAAUUCAAAGGAAGGGAUCUUCUACCCCACAAUUCUAUUGUGAAGAGGUAAUUUGAUAAAAGAGUGGGGUGUAAAUUAUUCAUGAGCAAACUGCUGGAGGCGAAUGAACUUUUAGUUAAAGAAUUCUAUGCCAACGUGGCACACAUCAAAAAGGGCAUCUAUGUAACCAAGGUGUGGAAUCGAAAUAUCAGAUUUGAUAGCAAGAAGCUGAGUGAAUAUGACGGGUUAGAUGAUGUGGAUGAAUCCUUGUACUUGGAUAAAGUGGCAUCAGAUAAGGAAGCCCAUCCAUGGCUUGCAGAGGUGAUAUCCAUUCCCGGGACAUCACCGGCUUGGCUUACACCUUGGGUCCACAGAGCUAGAAACACUCUAAGCUUUGAAGCGAAGGGGUGGUCUACUUUUGUGUGCAACUGGUUAGACCCUACUACACAUGACAGUGAUAUGCUGGUCUCCCGAGCUAUUGUUGUGGGGGCUAUCAUGGUGGGGUACCUGAUAAAUGUCGGGAAUAUUAUGGCCAAGGUGAUUACCAGAUCGGUUGUCAAAGAUGAGAGCUCACAUCCUUUCCCAAACUUCCUCACCAUGUAUCUAGAGGACUAGGAAGUAUAAGAAAGGGACUUUAACACAAAGAUGAAGCCAAAAAGGCCCUUCUCUUGGUACAACCUUCAGGGAGCAGACAACCCCAAGUCCAAAUGCAAAGCCACUACCUCUGUUAGCUAGUUUGAAGAACCAAGGGUAGUGGACACUAGUUUCGAGCCUUCCACAGUUGAAGGUUCUUCUGCUGUUAUGCUACCUCCAUCAUCCAGCCUUUCUAUCACAGCCCCAUUGGUUGUGCCCCCCACCUAAGCUUACCCUCUAAUUGCACUGCGGGCCCAUCAAACUUUAUCCAGCAUCAACAAUUAGAUACAGAAGCUACAUCAAAGCUAUCUGCCUUAUCAGUGCAGUCACAACUCAGGCAGCUCCAACAAAGCCUCAAGUUCCUGCUUAAGUGGAGGAAUCACUAAAGGAGCUUCUAGACAACCAUAAGAAGCUCUGUGACAACCAGAAGCUUGUCAUGGCCACAUUGGAUGCACAAGGAAAGGCAAUCAAGGACCUGGGCAAACAAACAAAAAAGAUAAAGAAGAUUCGGGCCUCAAAGGAGUCAGUAAAGAUGCUGAGGAAGGAAGUAGAGAGGAUUACAUCAGCUGGAGACAUCCCACUAGACUUACUCUUGGAGGAGCAAGUUCCAUCAACAUAGGCACCAGAGCAAGAGGCUGACAGAAAACCUAUAAGAAGAUUUGCGGUACCCAGUCCGAGGAGUUGGAGAUACAGUUAGAGGAUCCAAAGAGAGAGCCGACCCUACUAAUGUGCAGGACUUGAUGCAAACCACAUAGGGAAUUUUCUAUACUCUCUAUCCCUUAUUAAUCUUAUUUUUUCUUUUAGCAUUGAGGACAAUGCUAGCUUUUAUUUGAGGGGAUGGUCCUGUUUUGAUUUGAUGACUGGAAAGUAAUUAUGAUACUUAUUUUUCUUUAUCGUUAUUUUUCACUUUGGAAUGUAUAUAAUUUUACCAUUAAUUUUUUUACUUUUGUUAUUUUUCACUUUUGGUAUGUAUAAAAUUUACCAUGUAUUCAUUCCCAUUAUGUAUUUAUUUAUUUAUUUCCACUAUUGUACAUAUUCGUUUUACUUUCCCUACUUUACUUUAUAACUUCUUGUGUUCUUUUUCCUUAAUAGCAUAGUUAUUUUACUUCCACUAAUAGCUUCUUUUUGAGUUCUUAGCUUCAUGACCAAUAAGUCUUUGGUUAUCUAAUACCAUGGUUCUUUCCAAAGGUGGAGGUUGUGUGAACCGGGUGGUUCUUCCCGAUGAUGGAUGGUGCGACAACCUUCUUAAGGGUUUGAGUCCGUUUUCUUUAUGUUUUUGUAUAAAUAGUAGUAAUGAAUAAAAGUGUCUCAAGCAAGCAUCACUUGGGUCUAACACAUUCACCUUUGAACUUAUGGCUAGAAAUAAGUAGAUUUUCAAAAAAUGAUGCUAGUUGUGACCUUUAGACACUUGUGUUGGUUAAACAAUCAUUAAGUGGCUUCUUGGAACCAUUUGUGUUGAUCAAUCUUAGCUAGGGUUGUUGUGGGCCCUCGACUACAAGACUCGUGAAGUGGGGUAUUGAUUUUCAAGUCCAAGUCUCGUGCCAAUAAGUCUAGAACUUUCCCUGAAUGUUUGUCUAGGCGAUAUUCUAAGUGUAGCUCUACUUGAAAAUGAUUAUAGGCUCUCCUUGAUCCAAGUUGAAACUUGAAAGCAUCCGUAGCCCACCAAAUAUGAUAUCCAUAUUCAACCCUAUUGAGCUGAAGCCAUUAUUCUUUCGAUAACCAUGAUACAAGCCUUUAUCCAUUCUAAAAUGACCCUCUCUUGGCACCCGAUAUUUCCUUAGCACAAUUGGCAAAAGCAUAAGUUUGGGGGAGAACGAGGAAUGCAAAAGUGAUAAAAGGUACAAAAUGAAGAAAAGGGAAGGGCAAAGAAAAGAAAUAAAAUCCAAAAAGUCAAAAAGAAAGUGAAUAAUAUAGAAAAAUGAAAGGAUUUAAUGAAAGCAAUGAUGAAAGGCUUGGAAUGAUUAGAAAGGAAAACAAUGAUUGCCAUGAAUAAGAAGGAGUGAUAGUGUGUCUCUCUAGUCUCCAAAGGAAGCAGAAAAUGACUCAAAGAGUCAAGAAAGUGUGAGACGAAAUGAGAAAAUGAAGUGCUUAAGGAAAGAUGAAACCUUCAUCAAAUGAUAUACCCUACCUUGAACCAAAAGCCUUCAUUACAUUCCCACAAAAUCCCUAUAUAAUUUCGAGUUGAGUGAGCUUACAUUAGUGGUAAUUUACAUAAGGGGAAAUCUUAUGGUAUUUAGAGUCGUACUAGUGACCUUCCUUUGAGAGAGAUGAGCAUACUUUUCCACAAAUGAUUAUGCUGAGUGCUAUGAUCUAUAGUAAUAUUUUCUUAUGGAGAGUAUAGGAGAAAGAGUUUGGGUUCCACAAUGACCCACGUAGCAGAUCGAGCUUCAUUGAUGAGUUAAGUCAACUCUUGAUGCUCUUGUGUUCCACUAGAAUUAUGGUACUAAAAAGGUUGUGUGUUGUUAAUAAUGUAUUUUUGUUGAGGGUAAUUGUUAGUCCCAAUUAGUGCUUGAUGAAGUCACCUUAGGACAGCUAAAAUUUUCCUUUCUUUUUUCUUGUGGAGGUGGGAAUUACUUUCUUUGCUUGAGGACAAGCAAAAUUUUAAGUUUAUGGGAGUUGAUAACUACGGAUUUUAGCCUAUCUUAUGUUCUCUUUUGCUUAGGUUUUGGAUCAAAAUGUGUAAAGUAUUCCCGAAAACUGAAUUAAUGUGCUUGUCUGCAUGGUUUGGUCAAAAUGAGGCAAAUAAUCCAAAGUAAACUCAUGAAGGAGUAAACUUGCACAGGUUAAGGACAUGGAACUGGAGUGUAGACCACGAUAGAAAUAUGCGACCGCGUGAGGACCACGGCGGAGGUGUCCACAAAUAUAUGGCCCGUGAAAGAAAGUUUAGAGAACCUAAUUUGAGCAUAAAGUCUGUCGUUACCGCGAUGGAAAAGUGUGGCUGCAGAAUAUCUGACGCGGCCACGGUGGCAUUUCCACUGAGAGCGGUGAUUGAAGUUCAGAGACUCUGCAAAUUAAGCUUGAUUGAAGAAUGCGGUCCGCGUCCAAAUUGUGCGGCAAUAGUUGAAGCUAACGUACAGGCAGUGGCUUUUACACUAUCCAUGAAACCAAGUCUAAACCAAGUAAUGAAUUGAAGAAAAAGGACCGUGCUUAUUAUUAUGCGGUCGCGGUAGAUCAAGCGCGGGCGUGCUCACUUUACCCCUCCGCAAAUUCUCCGUAGGGUCAUUUUUGUUAGGAAUUUUUAGCUAUGUAUAAAUAAAUCCUUUUUAGAUUUUUGCGUUAAGUUUUGUUUGGGAGAGCACGUAAAUGGCUGGUUUUUACAUUUUUGAGUAAUAUUAGGGUAGAAUUACCUUCAAACUUUAGAUUUUCAUCUUGUAGUUCAAUCUUAUGUAUUAUGUUUCAUCUUUAUCAACUCUAGUGUGGGUAUUCAAUGGGUCUUGAAUUUUAGGUAUUAAUUGUAUAUGGGUUAGUAAUAUUUUGUCUGAUUCAUACUUUAAUUGUAGAAUUGGUGGUUGCAAACAUUGAUUCGUGCCUUUAUGACUUGGACUCUUAUUGAGAAAGAGGGACAUAAGUCUAGGAAAAUUAGGCUAACAAGAAAUUGGGGUGCAUUCAAGAGAUUGAUAGCCCCAAUUAAAUGGUUAAACCUAGAGAUAGUAAUACCCCACUUGAGCCAAUAUCAUUUGUUAUGUGUGAACACCCAUUUGGACUUGAGAAAGCCAAAUUGGGCGAAGUCACUCAAACUACCGAGAGGUAUACAGUGAGCACUUAUGUGAAAGUUAUAUCAUGACCUAAUCAUAACAAGCUUGCCCUGAUUUCUCAAUACCCGUUAGAUACUCACCUAGGUGGAAGUCACUACCCUAAUCCCUUUUAAUCCUUGAAAACCACCAACAAAAAUAUUAUACUUAUAUUAUUUUCAGCAAUAAAUAGCAUUAAACGUAGAAUAGAAACAAAUCCUAGUAUGGUUAGAAGUGCAAUUAAAAAUACAUACAUAGCUAGAUUAGAUAGAAACCCAACUCCCAACAAAUAUUAACUCCAUGUAGAUAUCGAUCCCGACCGUUCGGGUAAAAGCUGCAUCGACCACUCUUCGCCAUUAUAUAGUGCUGCAGAGUUGGAAUAGAUCACUGAUGGCCUCCACUUCUAGGGCAACCCCUACCUCUCUGACCUCUACCUCUAGUUGCCUGAGCGGGUGCAAUGGCAGCUGGUGUUGUAACCAUAGCGUGAGUACUCUAUGGGGCACGAUGUGGCUGAGAAGUCUGUGGAGGUACAUCCCUCCUAAGUCUAGAGAAAUCCCUCGCCAUAUGGUGUGUUUCGCCACACUCAAAACAAGCUCUGGGAGGAAGUGGUAGCUGCAAACAUCUCGGGCCAGGUCUACUGGAUUGACCACUUAAAGCACCUCAUGCAGGAGGCACACUAGAUACUAGAGGUGCAUGAUAAGGCUCCUUAGAUCUAGAAGAGCUGGAGUACCACUGGCUGCUGCAAGAGCUGAAUGAAUGGGGUGACUCACAUAGCCACUACCAUGGCAACUGCAGCUGGGGCACGGGCACCAGAAUAAUGGCUCGACUCUCGAGACCUCUUGGCCUCUCUCUCCUCCAUAUCCCGAGCAAGCAUGUCCUCUACUCUCCUAGCAAUACUCACCACGUAGUGAUAGGUGAUAUCCAUCUCUAACUCCUUAUCCAUGCUAGACCUGAUGCUGGUAAUAUGCCCCUCAAUAAACCGGCGGACUCUCUCUCGAACUGUAGAAAUCAAGGCCAGUACAUGUCUAGCCAAGACCCUGAAAUGGACAUCAUACUCCAAUACAGUCAUAGUACCCUGGCACAAAUGCUCAAAAUUUGCUCGCUAUGCAUACCUGAGGCUCUGAGAGACAUACUCCAUGCAAAACAUACCCGAGAACUGGGUCCAUGUAAGGGAAGAUGCCUCAGUCAGACUGUCUAACUCAAAAGUACGCCACCACUAAUAGACUGACCCUCAAAACUGGAAGGCAAUGAAAGAAACCCCACUAGACUCUACUAUGCCCAUGGUGCAGAGGAUAUGGUGGCACUUCUUGAGAAAUACUUGAGCAUACUAUAAUUCUAGACCACUAAAUGUAGGAGGAUCGUACUUUUUGUACCUCUCAAGCCUCCCCUGCUCCUCCUCUGAAACUAUUGUCCUACCCUCAGGUUGAGCUGGGGCUACAGGAAGUGCCGGUAUAACUUCUGGGAUCUGAUCAACAUGAACCUACAUGCUCAUGAACUAUGCAAGGGUCUCUUGGAGAGCUAGAUUAGCAGUAGUAGUAGGCAUAUCAGGUGUUUAUGCUCCGACUGGAGCUACUAGCGGCUCAUCUACAGCAGCUCGGGGGGGUGAUCUGGUUGCAUCGCGUGCACAUCCUCGACCUAUACCCCAGCCCCGCCUCGGCCUCGGGCGGCUCUAGCAGGGGGCACGGGUGCUUGGUCAUCUUUGGUAGCACGUGUCCUCACCAUCACUGAGAGAAUAGAAGAUAGAAGUUUAGAAGUUUGAAGUCAAUAAUCUCGCACAACAAGGAAUCAAAUGAAGUGGAAUUUUUUGAACAGUUACAUAGCCUCCCGAAGAUAAGUACAAACGCCUCCGUACUGUUCUGCAAGACUCUAAUAAAAUGGCUUGUGACUAACGACUCCUAUGAACCUAGAGCUCUGAUACCAACUUUUCACGACCCAAGUUCUCCUUCCGUAAAUUGUCAUGAUGGCACCUAGUCUCUAUAACUAGGUAAGCCUAACAUUUGCGAAAAAGAGUGGAAUACAUGAAAAACUAACAAUUUGACAGGUACAUUAAAUUAAGGAAUUUAUAUGCCAAGAGAGACUUCAUUUCUUCCACCUUCCCUGAACGAGCAGCGAAGAAGUAUAGAGCACUUUAGUUGGUUGUUGACUUGUAGCAGAUUUAAAAAAACAAUUGAUUACUCGGAUUGGUUCUUGCAUCCCUAUGCCAGACAACUACUUGAAUUUAAUUAAGGGGUCCUACUUGGGUGCAGUCAUUCAUAGGUGCAAUUCACACCUCCAAUCCCUCCUCAUUAGCUCUUUGAUUCUAAGGAUAAUAUUGAAAUAUGGAUCCUCAGGCCCAUCCAUUGUGCAGCUUCUGUAUAGACACCACGGAGUCUGUCUCAACCUAAGAGUACCCUUAGUUUCGACUCUUUAUCUAUUCAAAAAAUAUAAAAAAGAAGAAGAAGACAAUUUUUUUCUAAGAUGUUUCAGUUUGCUAAUUUGAAAAGUUCAGAGAGCGCAGACUAGCCACGGAGAGGCGGAGCAAACUCUUAUAUCGUCUUGCAUUUUUUCUGGAAACCCCCCCNNNNNNNNNNNNNNNNNNNNNNNNNNNNNNNNNNNNNNNNNNNNNNNNNNNNNNNNNNNNNNNNNNNNNNNNNNNNNNNNNNNNNNNNNNNNNNNNNNNNNNNNNNNNNNNNNNNNNNNNNNNNNNNNNNNNNNNNNNNNNNNNNNNNNNNNNNNNNNNNNNNNNNNNNNNNNNNNNNNNNNNNNNNNNNNNNNNNNNNNNNNNNNNNNNNNNNNNNNNNNNNNNNNNNNNNNNNNNNNNNNNNNNNNNNNNNNNNNNNNNNNNNNNNNNNNNNNNNNNNNNNNNNNNNNNNNNNNNNNNNNNNNNNNNNNNNNNNNNNNNNNNNNNNNNNNNNNNNNNNNNNNNNNNNNNNNNNNNNNNNNNNNNNNNNNNNNNNNNNNNNNNNNNNNNNNNNNNNNNNNNNNNNNNNNNNNNNNNNNNNNNNNNNNNNNNNNNNNNCCCCCACCCCGCUCCCGGUCCAUCGCUCGGCAUAUACAAUAAUCACUCUUGAGCUGAACAUAAACAUUCCCAAAUCCCGGAAUAUCAUGAGUCACAAGCUACAAAAGUAAAUAGUGCUUCUAAACUCCAGAAACUAUCAACAAAGAAAAAUACAAGAAAACCUUUUAACCUAAGAAAGAGAAGAUAGGGACUCCUAGGUCUGCGGACGCAGAAGAUAUACCUCGAAUUAUAUGCAAUCGCCUCGCCUCACUGAAAAUGUGGUUGGAAAGAGGUACUUGGAUCUGCACAUAAAAAACAUGUGCAAGAAAGGAAAUGAGCACACCAUAGUGGUACCCAGUAAGUGCCAACCCUAACCUCGAUCGAGUAGUGCAUGUCGAGGCCCUAUAUAUAUAUAUAUAUAUAUANNNNNNNNNNNNNNNNNNNNNNNNNNNNNNNNNNNNNNNNNNNNNNNNNNNNNNNNNNNNNNNNNNNNNNNNNNNNNNNNNNNNNNNNNNNNNNNNNNNNNNNNNNNNNNNNNNNNNNNNNNNNNNNNNNNNNNNNNNNNNNNNNNNNNNNNNNNNNNNNNNNNNNNNNNNNNNNNNNNNNNNNNNNNNNNNNNNNNNNNNNNNNNNNNNNNNNNNNNNNNNNNNNNNNNNNNNNNNNNNNNNNNNNNNNNNNNNNNNNNNNNNNNNNNNNNNNNNNNNNNNNNNNNNNNNNNNNNNNNNNNNNNNNNNNNNNNNNNNNNNNNNNNNNNNNNNNNNNNNNNNNNNNNNNNNNNNNNNNNNNNNNNNNNNNNNNNNNNNNNNNNNNNNNNNNNNNNNNNNNNNNNNNNNNNNNNNNNNNNNNNNNNNNNNNNNNNNNNNNNNNNNNNNNNNNNNNNNNNNNNNNNNNNNNNNNNNNNNNNNNNNNNNNNNNNNNNNNNNNNNNNNNNNNNNNNNNNNNNNNNNNNNNNNNNNNNNNNNNNNNNNNNNNNNNNNNNNNNNNNNNNNNNNNNNNNNNNNNNNNNNNNNNNNNNNNNNNNNNNNNNNNNNNNNNNNNNNNNNNNNNNNNNNNNNNNNNNNNNNNNNNNNNNNNNNNNNNNNNNNNNNNNNNUAUAAGGCUGUAAAGAUAAAUACUCACAUUUAAUGGGAAUGAAAUCACAUAAAACAACAACUGAGUACAUAGAGAUAGCAAACAGGGGAUCUCUCGUGAUACCGUCCCGUAGUCUCAAACGUAAAUAUAUUGGGGACCUCCCAAGAUACCAUCCCGUAGUCCCAAACGUAAAUGUGCAGGAAAAUCUCCCGUAUACCGUUUCGUAGUCCUAAUGUAAAUAUCUAGUACAAGGGGAUCUCCCGGGAUACCGUCCCGUAGUCCCAAACAUAAAAAAGCAGAGGGAUCUUCCGGAGAACCGUUCUGUAGUCCCAAAGUAAAUAUGCAACUCAAUCACCAUAAAUAAUAGUUUCAAAAAGGAAUUCUACAGUUUAGACUAAGUUCAUAUCAAAGAAGACGGACAAUUUGCACUAAACAUGUUGCAUGGAGUUCAUGCAGGCAGUUAAAGCAGUUAAGACAGUUAAGGCACGUAUCCAUGCUUUCCUAAGCUAAAUAGUAUAGUUACAUAUACUAGUGUUGCUCAAUUAAGGAAAACAUAUAGUUGCUUAAUAAAAAGAGUGUUUUUCAACAAAUAGCAUGUGUACGUACUCGUUACCACACGUACACGACGCUCGUAUAUCAAAUAGUAUUAAAUCCUAAGAGGAGUUCCCCCACACAAGAUUAGGCAAACCACUUACCUCGAACCAAGCUCGAAUCAAUCCGAAAUCACACUCCUGCCACUAGUAUCCAACUCUAAGUGGCCCAUUCUAAUCAAAUUAAAUACAUAAUGUAAAUAUAUAUACCACAACUAAUUUAGCUAAUGAAAAUCAAAGCUAAGGUGAGAAAUAGAAAAACGUUCAAAAAUCCUCCCCGGGCCCACGUCUCAAAAUUGGGUAAAGGUCACAAAUUAUGAACAUACAUUCUCACGAGUCUAACCAUACCAAAUUAACUCAAAUCCGAUACCAAAAUCAAGAUCAAAAUCCCAAAAUUCGGUCUAUGAACUUUUCACCAAUUUUUCACCCCAAAUCCGAAAUUAAAUGAUAAAAUCAAGCUUAGAUUAAUGGGAUAUUAUCAAAAAGAAGUUAGGAAUCAUUACCCACAAACUUCCUCCGAAAAUAUCUUUAACUUUCGCCUUCUACCGAGCUUUCAAUCAAACUUUUGAGUUAUGAACUCAAGCACUCAUUUUUUAACUUUAAAUUAUGCCCAGUGAUUUCCUUAAUCGCGAUCGCGGAAACACCCUCUCGAUCGCGAAAAAUUACUUCAUUGACUCAUAAGUUUACUCUAUGCGAAUGCAUAAAACACCGCACGAACGCGAUUUUGUGAAUCUCCAAAAUAGGCAAUCACGGACCACGCAUCACGGUCGCAGUGAACAAAUGUGUGGCCCUAGAUUAGGUCGACUUAACUCUACCUAAAUGCGACUUAUCCCACACAUUCGAGAUGCAUCGCCUGAUGAACUUACGCGAUUGCAUCCCUGUCUUAGCGAACAAGAAGAAAAAACUUAGUUGGUCUCCUGAAAUGCCUUACACGAUCACGAGCCUUCUCACGUAAUCGCAAUGAAGGAUUUUCUGCAACAUAAAUACUAGAAAUCUGCCACUUCUCAAAGUCCAAAAAUGACCCGAUGAGCAUCCAAAACACACCCGAGGCCCUCGGGACCUCAACCAAACAUACCAACCAAUAAAACAACGCUAAAAUUACAAAUCACCCUCCAAUCCAAACUUUAAAAACUUAGAAACUUCAAAAUUCUACAACCGAUGCCGAACCAAACAAACCAUGUCCGAUUGAUUCCAAAUUUUGCACACAAUUCAUAUUCAAUAUUACGGACCUACAGUAACUUCUAAAAUCAUAUUUCGACCCUGAUAUAAAAAAUUCCAGUACCGGCCUCAGACUUCAAAAAUUUAACUUUCGCCAUUUCAAGCCUAAAUGAGCUAAGGACCUCAAAAACACAAUUUGGAUAUGCCCCUAGCCCAAAAUCACCCAACGGAGCUAACAGAAUUGACGAAAUUCCAUUCUGGAGCCAUCUUCACACUGUUCUGACAACAAUCCAAAUUCUAAAAUUUAAACUCUCAUUUAGGGACUAAGUGUCCUAAGAAUCUUCGAAACUCAAAACGAAUCAUCCCGGCAAAUCACAAUAGAAGAAUUAGAUACGGAGGAAGUAGUUAAUAGGGGAUCGGAGCGUUAAUUCUCAAAAUGACCAGCCGGGUCAUUACAAUUUUAAUACGCAACCCAUACUUUGAAUAUAUAUCUUUCGACAUAAGGCUCAUUCGAAAUAGUCAAGUUUAUAAAGGAUAAAUCGUAAUAUAUGAAUUAGGAACUUGAGCCAACCAUACUUGAAACUUACCGGAACUUGACUAUUUCGAAUGAGCCUUAUGUCGAAAAUAUAUACAUUCAAAGUAUGGGUUGCGUAUUAAAAUUGUAAUGACUUGCGAAUUCAAAGUAUGGAAUUCUAUUCUAAGAGAAAAAAUUUAGCCGGCAUACCUCGCUUGAGCUUUCCUUUAAUUACUACAAUAUUUCGAAAAUUCUAACAAUUCCAGUCAAUUUUGAGACAUAACAAAAUUGAACCAUAAUUAGAGAGAUAUUUAUGGUUUCAUCUUAUUUGAUUAUUUUAUCAAACACUAGAUGUGAAAAUUUGUUACAAGGUUCUUCAAAAGAUUUUCUUCACUCCAUAACCCAAUCUUUACUUAUUUGAGCUCAACAAAUUUCCCACAAACCUUAUUGGUACAUGCAUGAACAAAAUAAUACUCUCACACCCAAGAAUCAAACUCCAAAUCACCCAUCUUUUUACCCAAACUCGAAAUUAAAGACUAGUGUUAGAACCCUACAUCUUUGGUGAAGAUCUUGUGAGAUUUCCUUGUUCGAUUUCAAAGCUUGGACAAGAUCUUGAUGAACAAAGCAAUUUGUCUUCUUCCUUUCUCUAGAACACUAUCCUUUCUCUCUAGAAUUAUCAUAUUUUUGCUCCAAAAUAAGCUUCAAGGCUAUUUAUCGAAGUUGGGUCGGGUUAUAAAAAUUAAAAAAUGGACUCUCCGAACUCAGGUCUGCGAUCGCAUAAUCGAUCGCUUAAUAGAUGUGUGGUUCGCAAAAUAGAUUGCAGAAAUGAUGUCAAGAACUAGGCUAUUCAGUUUAAGUCUGCGGCAGUUCUGCGCCCGCAGACCUAUUCUGCGGUUGCACAAUGCACUGUAGGAAUUCCUUCCAGAAAUCUCUUUGUUUCUUCUGCGAGGUAUUGUGCGGUCUGUGAAACGAUUAUGCGGCUACGUAAUGGACCGCAUAAUGGUCCUAAAAUUAACUCAAGUUUAUGAUGCACUUUGCGGCACUUAUGCGGCCCGUGACAGUUCUGCCAUUGCAAAAUGGAUCGCAGAAUUUCCCUCGUCUGCCAAAAAUCUUCAUCAAUAGUUUGGUGUAUUCUUCAACCCAAAAAGUUUGUUCCGAGGCGAGCUUGGGUCUACCUCCGGCACCACAAAACCUUAAGUUUCUUGGCAAAAAUUUUUGGGGCCUUAUAAGGAUGGGUCAAGCAACAUGUCAAAUGGCAAAUCUUCAAUUGUAACUAGUCGGGUCACCUCAGCUCGAAGCUUAUCAAUUGACUUCUUGUUGGGCUGGGACUUCUGUAUCUUCUUCACCUGCUUGGUCAACCCCUUGAUCACAGCACCAUGUUGUAUCAAUAUAUUAAUAAUUAUCUUCUAGUUGUCCAAGAUUUUGCUCAGCUUAUCAUCUAUGUCAGAAGGAUCCCAAGGUGCCUAUGUAGAUGACUGCCAUACAACAGCCUAGAGAUCUCAGACAGCUUUGAAGUAGCUGUCUCCAUUCAGUUGUUGAGACUCGCUAAUAUCUGGGAGACUCGUAGAGAAGAUAGUGGACCUGUAGGCGUGGGCAUGAGCCUCGAAGUUGGAGUAGGCCAUAGGAGUUGUAAAUGGUGGCUUAGGCAGAAUAGAUGCUGCACUGGUUGAAGGAUCAGCUAAUGUGGAUGGAAUAUCAAACCACUGUGGUCGAGGGUGUUGAAAGAAAGAAGAAAGAGAAAUUAAAGAAAAUUAGAAAAAAAAAAGAUUAUUUUUCAAACUUUAUAGGUGACCCACAAUUUUUGAAAAUGUUAAAAAGGCCCCAUCCACCUUAACCUACUCAUCUAGGCAUUCUUCAACCCAAAAUUUUUGAGAAAGAAAUAAGAAGUAACUUAACCAAUUUAAGUUUUGAGGAGGUCUUCUUGACAACUCUAUUAAACAUGUGUGCAUGUAUGAAAGAGCAAUAACACAUAAAAAGGAGUAGUAGUUUUUCGAGGUUUGAGUUCGCUUAAAGAAAAUCUUGUAUGUAGUUACUUUUCCUACAACAUUAAUCUACAGUUAUAGUUAUACUUUAGAUAAUAUCUUUCGUUUCGUUUUUUCUAAUAGUAGACAAUUACACUGUUGUGGUUGAUUUUGAAAAAGCAGGAGAUUUCUUUUUCUUUAUUGGUUUCUUUGCCUGCUAUCGUUAAAGGGAAGUGCACACUUAUGAUAUUGCAAUAAUCAGGGAAAUGGUUCCAAGUGUCCAACUAUAUAUGUCACAUACCAAUAAAUAUGGGCUGCAGAGAUAGGCUUUAUUCACUUUUACUUAUCCCAACAAACUUUGCACUCCCUCUGAAAAAUAACAAAUAAAAUAUAUAUUUUACCAUAAUAAUAAUAGCAUUAUAAAAACUUUUGAGAAAUAAAUAGUUAAUAAUAAGGUAAAAUAGGAAAAAAUUAAAUUUCUCUUGAUUUGCUAAAAUGGACAAAUAAAAAUAAAAAUAUAUUUUUAAUAUAAUAAAUAAGAAUGAGCGAAGUAAAUUUUAAACCACUUUAAAUGUCCGACUCACCAAAAACAUAGGAAUGUCGGGGGUAAAAAUCCUAGAGUCAUCUACUUGUGUACUUGCAGUGAUUGACACUUGGAUAAAUGUUACUAUUGGAAGAAAACCUGUUUUCUUCGAUAGAAUAAAGUUAAAAGUAGGCUAAAAGUUGUAACUAUCUUGCUAGCAGCUUUUGGUGAGCCACUUGUUAAUGAUCUAGGCACCCAAUUAUGUUGCUAUAUAGAUCUUCAUAGGUACACAUUGAAGGAAUUCCCCUAGGCACCCAAUUAUAUAGCUAUGAAUAUCUACAUAGUUAAACCCAUAGUUGCAACAAUAUUCUGUUAAAUGAUUGAGGAUGUCAUUGAAGAACGUUAGUCACUAAUCCUGACUGUAGCUCUAGAUUGCAGAGCUUAAUGUGUAGAGAAGUUGUGAAGAACUAGUAAAAGGGAUUGGGCUCCCCCUUCUACAUGAAAUAUAUACGUAAAGUCUAAUCCAAAUUUGAUUUUGAAAAAAUUAUUUUGAUAUCACGUGCCAAUAUGUGAUCGGGGUGAGCGGUGGUUAGAUAUAGGGGCGGCUUCGCCGGCUUGGAUUGGAAGGAAGGGCUUCGCUUUCCGAUCGCUUUUUGAGGCCGGUUUGGAUGAGCGUGGGCAAGUUCGGGAUUCACUAUCGCUUUCCGCUUGGAGCGGCUCACCCCCUUGUCACUUAAAGGGCGAAGUCGCCGAAGCGAGUCUAAAGGCCAAAGAGUCAUCUUUGAAGGCUACUAUGCAUCCUUAUUCAUAGUAGAGUGUAAGGUAGGUUUGGGUAUAGCAGGACUUGAACCUGCGACCAUUAGGUUAAAAGCCCAAUGCUCUACCAACUGAGCUAUACACCCCAAAAAAGAUGUAGUAGUAAAUAAGGAUUGGUACGGAAAAGAGGCCGGCCCCCCUUCUUCUCAUCAUAUUAAAGGAGCGCGGCUCUGUAUGAGGCUCGUACUGCAGAGCAAGCGGAAGAAAACGUAAGGUCGCGCGUUAGCACUCCUGCAAGAAAACGGAUGCGCUAAGGCGCAACUUCGCGCAGCUGCUACGCCCUUGCUUCUUGCCCCG